UUUGAUGCUCGUCACCAACCUUCCCCAAAUCACUGAAAAAUGCCUGCAGACACGGUUCCUACGCGUAACUGGGGGCACUCAGUUCUUCUAUGUUGAGGUGUUCUGCUUUUCUAGAGUCUGAACUUUAGUCCAUCUGCAUGGUUUCAUAUCUUAUUCUCGUAUUUAUUGUUUUUACAGUUUCUGUUUCAAUUGGUGUUUUUUUGAUGAUAUUAAUGGUAUGGUACUUCAGAAGAAGAAAGAAGGAUGCCCGUAGGACGAUGGAAACCAAAAUGGGCGGCGGGGAUCUGCGAUAUGCCUCCGUUACCUGCGCUAGGAAGCCAGAUUCGAACACAAUAGGGUUCCCCCUCCGGUCCGAGAGAAGAGACAGGUCAGACACCGAUUGCCGUCUCAUUAAUUAGUCCGCAUUCUCGAGAUCACUAAGCUAGACUUCAGUUCACUAUUAUUGUAUCAUCGACCCGAGCACCCUGGUAUCGCCAUGUGGGCACACCGUGAGCCGUACCUGGCACAUCAGACCGUGGACCAGGUGUUCUUCGUGAAGCGCAACCAUUCCAUGGUCCUGAUCGCUGGAUCAUGCCACCAUGGGUGGCCGAGGACCACUCCAAAUGAUCGCACACCCACCCCCAUCAAAUUUGUAGUAAAGUAUUUGAAACGUUGCGCGACAGGCAAAGGAGGACGUACAGCAGGCUUUCAUUUUGUUCGUUUUUUCUUCUCGAACUUCUAGUUUGCACCAUUGAUUGGAAUAAAUAAGCAUUGACCGCCAUCUCAUGCACUGCAGCUUGGCGAGAAAUUAUUCUCGACACCGAACGCAGCCAAUCACGGCCGCCCAUUUCUAUCAUUCCCAUUUAUCAAAUACGUAUUUUGAUGCACCAUCAUAAAAACCAGCGGCUGUGAUCGAUAGGCUGUGAUCGAUCUCUCGAAGCCUUGGCUCUUGAGAGCUAAUAAGGAUCUCCGCUAACUUAAUAGCAGCUCUACAGGAACGAAGAGAUCAGAGAGAGGAAGAAGGAGAUGGCGAACAAGGUACCCCAUAUCUCUGACUUGAUCCACCGAGUCGCCUCUUCUUGUCUCACGCACCAUCUCCCGGGAGCCCAUGGACUCGAAAGCGGGAACGAUGUCGAUGGGGAAAUAGAAGAGGAGGAGGACGCUGUGGAGAAGGAGGAAGAGCAGGAGGAGGAAGAGGAGAAUGAGCUCAAGAUAUGGGAAGAAGAGAAAGGGACUGGUCCUGGUGGAGUCUCGGAGAGGGUGAGGGAGAUGGAGUACCUGAUGGGCGAGGUGUUCGACGCGGUUUCGGCGGCGAAGAGGGCCUACGCUUGCCUCCAGGACGCCCACUGCCCGUGGGACACGGACAAGAUGAGGGUAGCCGACACAGCGGUGGUGGCGCAGCUGAGGCGGCUCGGGAGGCUCCGGGAUCGGUUUCGAAGAAACGGUUUUGGUGCGUCGGCCGCCGCGGCGGCGCCGCUGAGGGAGGUGGUGGCGCCGUACGAGGCGGCGCUAGAAGAUCUAAAAAGGGACCUGAAGGCGAAGGAGGCCGAGGUAGAGAGUCUCAAAGAGAAGCUCCGGAGCACAACUCUCGGUGGUUCUGGCAAGAAGAGCCGGCUUCUUUCCAGCAAAAAGGUCGCAUGCAGCAGUAUUUUAGGUCAGACCCCUGAAACUCUCUACAUUUAGUAGGACGCCCUUGAGUAAUCAUCGUAUUUUGGCCAAUCUAUUGUCCGGUGAGACCGACUCCCGAUCCUAUGACAGGGGCACCCGGGAUGCCGACUGCGGAGCUGUUCGAGACGUACAUGGAGCAAGUGAAGUCGGCGUCGAAGUCCAUCACCGGCCACCUCCUCUCGCUGAUGCGCUCCGCCCACUGGGACAUCGCCGCGGCCGUCUGGUCUAUCAUCGAUGGCGGCGGCGGCGGCGGCGCAACCGACCACAAUCCCCGCCACGCGAAGCACGCGGUGGAGUCGUACGUGAACCGGAAAGUAUUUCAUGGGUUCGAGAACGAGACCUUCUACAUCGAGGGGUCCCUCACGUCGCUGCUCCGGCCGGCCGAGUUCCGGCGCGACUGCUUCGCCCAGUUCAAAGACAUGAGGGGGAUGGACCCGGCAGAGCUGCUGGGCGUGCUCCCAACGUGCCAGUUCGGCCGGUUCGCGGCCAAGAAGUAUCUGGGCAUCGUGCACCCGAAGAUGGAGGAGUCGCUGUUCGGGGGAGUGGAGCAGCGGCGGCAGGUGAUGGGCGGAGCCCACCCGAGGACGGGAUUCUACGCGGAGUUCCUGAAGCUGGCCAAGGCAGUGUGGCUGCUGCACCUGCUGGCGUUCGCGCUGGUCCCGGCGCCCAGCCACUUCGAGGCGACCAAGGGCGCGGUCUUCCAUCCGGCUUACAUGGAAAGCGUGGUCCGGUUCGCGGGCGGCCGGGUCCCGCCUGGCUCGGUUGUGGGGUUCUCGGUCAGCCCCGGAUUCAAGCUUGGCAAUGGGUCCGUGGUCCGGGCGAGGGUCUACGUCGUCCCGAGAGCCCACGGGGUGUGAAAUCGCUGCCUAAAGACCUCCUGUUUGGCUGCUAGUUUAGACUACUCAUUGUUUGUCCGAUCGGUUUGUCCUUAUUUCGGGAGUGGAUGCCAUAUCCUUUGUAGUCAUUCGAGUGUGGCAUUUUGACGUGCGAGUAAACUUAGUAGCAGGUGCUGCCUCUUAUGUGCAACUUCCGGCGCUACCGGGGUUUAUUCAUGCAAAUCAAGCGUUUUCAUUUGUGGUGCAAUCCCAUAAACUAUAAUUUUCUUGAGCAUAUGAUCCAUAAACGCAUCCUUUGUUAUAGGGCAUGCAUAUGGAUCUGUUUUUCCUAUUUAUUUUUAGAAUUGUUGCUGUAAAAAUCCAAUCCAACUUAGGUGUGCUUUGAGAUUGGUGCUUGGUCAGCUCGGUCAGGGAUCGGAAUUGAUUGGUCGGAGCAAUAGGUCAGACGGGUAGGCGAAUGGUGGAUGAUCGGUUCUGCUCAAAUUGUAUCUUUUCGGAUGAACUGUCCUAUUUAGAGUUAAAUAUCCAACCUACAAACAAAAAAGUGAACACCGAAAGUUGCUAGAUUUUAUCUGGAGGGAGAUCGUCCGAUGCCCAAGCAGAUUGGAUUCUGAGAAACAGUGGAAAUCCAAGCAACAUAAAGUGGAGGAGAAUGUUAGAAUGAGCGCGAGCGCACCUAGAGGUCUGCCAUAUCUUGUCCAUAUAGAGUGAGAAUCAGUGUAAAUUACUAGAAAGGGUGAAUAUGCAUCUUAACUGCUCGGCGAGCAAUAAUUGUCUACACGUUACACAUGUCGUGAGAUGUAACUGUGAUGAGGAAAAAAUCAAUCGUCCAGCCCACAACUAAAAGGCCGCCCAGUUUCGGCCUAGUAAACAUCAACGACAAUCGACCGAAUCUUCACUUCGACUUAGGGCCAGCUCGUCCUCGGAACUCUGCAGAAAGCUCCACCAACUCCAGGCAUUCGCCGACUCUCCCAGCCAAGCUCAGGGUACCUCCAGACAAUCGCCAACCCGCCCCAAGCUUGGUCGGGGCGGCGACCCUAGCGAUACGCUCCGACCCUCAAGCUCGGGACGCUCCACCGAGCACAUCUCGGAAUCCGGAAAGCUAAGCUACUCCUAGCACCCGCCAAGCCGACCUCGUCAAACGGAUGAUGCGACUACUUAACAAGCUCGGCCUCGCCAACGACCACACCCAUGUGCGGGCCUACGCCCAUCUACGUGGCCGUACUUCACCACACUACUGUGACAUGUCUCCAUAACUGGUUAACAACAGUCAGACGGCACCUUGACUACUCCGGUCAUACCCUGCCGUGACUAUAAACAUCCUACCGUUCUCAAGAACGGGCUGUACCGCACGUCACCAGCCAGCCUGGGUUGCAUGCCAUCUGGCUCAGAGCCAUGCCCGCUCAUAAUGAGGGCUGAUAGUACCUCCGCCACCUGAGCCACUCCACCGAGGCUAUAAAUAGUUCGGUCAAGUAAUUUCUAAGGAAUUUUGGCUAGACCAACUUUACCCCACUCUAACUUGAUCGUUGGAGGACCCUCACUGGAAAUACCGGUGAGGCUUUGUGCAGGUUCGCGGCUGUCGCGUAGGCUGUGGUUCCCGUCUUUCUUUUUCAACUACCGGCAGUUCCCUCGGCUCCACCGGCGUAAUCCCCCUCGGGCCAAAUUUGAACCACAACAAACUGCAUGGGGCAUGCGUCCAUGGACUGAGCAAUAACCUCUGUUAGAGGAGCUUUAACUGACUUUAUGGUGCAUUUAGUGGAGGCUACAUGGUGAGCUCCUAUUGAUCGACAGGGGUCGGAUCCAAAGCACAUUACUUGCCUCCCAUGUUUGAGAUCGAGCCAUUUUCGUUGGCUCAAGCAAAGAAAGUAGUCAAGCCACCUCGCUGAGCUGGCCUAGUGAACUAACCCACCGAGUUGAGGAAAGAUAGAUAGGCAGCUCUAAAGCAAAGGAAGAAGGAAUGAAGAACUUUGCCCUAAUCUUCUCAAUGUUGUCCUCAUCCAAAACACUUUUCUCGAUAUCCGAAGCAAGGACAACCUCGAGAAGAUAGCCCUUCAAACUGUUGGGGGCUCGGUCGAGCGGUGAUCGAGCAACAACUUCAUGGUCCGACCAAUUCUCAGUCGAUAGGCUCAGGAUUUCCGGCUAAGCUAAGAAAGAAAAAGAAAAAGAUAAGAAGGAGACCAAAGAAAAUCCUAGGGAGACGAAGAAAAUGCCCUAAGGAGCAAAAAAGGCAAAAAAAAAGCAAGAACCGAUGAGAACAACAGAAAGGGGGAGAAAAAGAUUUACUUAAGAGCAGCCUAGAGGAAGAAAAGAGAGCAAAGAAGACCUCCAAGCACAAGUGUUUGCGACGAACAAAAGGGAGCAGCUUCAGUAGAAAUACUUCCGAGUCGCAGGAGAACCAAAAUGAUAACAGAUGGGGGGUAACUCGCCUAAUGUAGAAGCUCAGUCGGCCCAUAUCAAUCACCGCUCAAGCCAAUCUUUAGCCUUGUGUUGCUGCAGCAUACUGUAUAUAGAUCGUCGUUUCAAGAAGUUGAAUUGAUCUGCCAUAAAUGAUGGAGCCUUGGGAAGAACAUUGGAAGCCCACCAAGUAACAAAUGCUUCCAUGCUAAAUCGAGAGCAUUCAAUAAGUUGGGUGGAAAGACUCUCUUUAUAUUGACGUCUGCUUGCUUAUGCAAUCCAAGCACAUUACUUCUCAAGCCAUCUAAUACAUGGGAGCAAGAAAAUAAGGGAGUCAUGUUCCUUAUGUUUCAAAUUGAAGGAAACGUCUACCACUUCUUCAAAGCCAUUUAGGAAAUAUGCUGAUUCAAAAUUAUUAACCAAAAAAAAGGUUCCUGGGUCCCAUUUUAAAGUUUAUUUUUAAUUUUUAUUUUUCACAUGAUGAAGAUCCAAGUUCAAAGUUCAAACUAUUUAAAUUUCUUGCGAGCGGACUCAAACGUCUCUCCCGAGAAUGGCAGAUCCGUCCUCCAAGACCCUCGUCCUCCUAUUCUCCUCCCUCUCUCUCCUCCUCGCCUCCGCUGCUCCUCGCGGCCCCGCCAUCGGCGUCACCUACCGCCCCUCAAUCCCCGGCCUACCCGCCCGCGAGAGCGUCGUCGACGCCCUCCGCUCCGCCGGCGCUACUCACGUCCUCCUCCCCGAUCCCGACCCGGCCACCCUCCGCGCCUUCCUCUACUCCGGCAUCUCCCUCCUCCUCUCCCUCCCCAGCUCCCUACUCCCUGCUCUCGCGUCCAACCGCUCCACCGCCCGCCGCUGGCUCUCCGAACACGUCCUCCCUUUCCACCCUCGCGCCCGCGUCGCCGCCAUCUCCGCCGGCCACGCCGUUCUCUCCUCCUCCUCCUCCCCCGGUCUCGCCUCUUCCCUACUCCCGGCCGUUCAGAACCUCCGCUCGGCGUGCCUCGACCUCGGCCUGCGCGAGAUCUCCAUCUCCACCACCCACUCCUUCGAGAUCCUCGACCCGGCGCUCCCCCCCUCCGCCGCGCGAUUCCGCGAAUCCCUGGCGGAACCCUACGUCCGCCCGCUGCUGGACUUCCUCUCGGCGACCGGAUCGCCGUUCUUGAUCGAUCUGCACCCGUACGAGAUGUAUCGGAAAGACCCCGCGAUCCCGAUUGGGUACGCGCUCUUCGAGGAGGCGUCUUUUGGCUUCCGCGAGGACCCGGGGUCGAGCCUCCGGUACCGGAACCUAUUCGACGCGAUGGCGGACGCGGUGAUCGCGGCGGUGGAGGCUAUGGGAUACGGGGAGCUGCCGAUGGUGGUGACAGGGACCGGUUGGCCGAGCGGCAACGGCCUGCGGGAGGCGACGGUGGGCUACGCGUGGAGGUACAACCACGGGCUGGUGGAGCACCUGAGGUCGGGCCUCGGUACGCCGAUGAGAAGAGAAGGGGUGGCGGCGGUAUACGUCUACGAGCUGUUCGACGGUCCGACGAGGCGGGCGGAGGAGUAUUGGGGCAUAUGGUGGGCCAAUUUGAGCAGCAAGUAUGAGAUCGUCUUCUCCGGAUCGGGUGGUGGUGGGCUGGGCACGGUGGCGCUGGGCUUGGGCUGCCUGGUUCUAGUUUUACUACUCUUCUGAUGGUAAGAUUGAUUCGGUGUUGGGUCCCUCUCUUUCUUAAAUCCUUGUGAACGUAAAUAGUGGUAAGCCGGAGAAACCAUAACCAUGGAAGAAAUCGCAGGCGAUGUGCCUUAUAAUCAGAUUGGCGAUUCAAUUGAAUGUAGAUGAUCAUAACGACUCAGCGUCCUUAGGGCUUUCAUCUGAGUAUGAAUCUUUAACUCUACCGCCUAAUAUGCAACGGCCGAUCUCCAUAUGUUGCUUUCAAAUAUUGUCCUCGUUGCGGCCCGUAAGCACAAAAAUAGCUUAACUUUUCUGAAAUGGCAUCCUGACCGUAAGAGACGGGUGAGCCACCAAGUGUCUCUUAUCAUCCUAAUGUCUAGCUACUUUACCUUAGCCUUGGUGGAAAUGAAGGUGUCGCCGCUUGAAAUUCACCUUGAUUUCAGUGUUACUGUUGCAUUGCAGGGUUGGAGAGCUCAUCUGAUCGUCCGUUCACGGCGAUAGAGUUGGCCUAGGGUCACUACUGGUCUCUAAGUCGUGACAUCUUGAGCCGAGGUGGGAGGAGCUUUUUAAUAAUUCUCGCCAAGAAUGAGGGCUCGAUCGUGAAGUCGACAUCGUUCUCGAGUUUGACGUUGUGGCCCCUCAAGGCCUCAAGGUGGAUCCAUCUCCUCGAUCUUGCGAUCGAGGUCGACCUCCCUCCUGUAAGCCCUUUUUGAUAGACGGAGGAUGAACAAUCCAAUGUCAAUCCUUUUAAAACUGUAGCCUCAGUGAUCGAUGCCUCAUGUCUCAUCCUUAGCGUCACGGACGAGAGUGAUGGCUUUGUUGAGCUCGUUUUGGGCUUCGAGGACUAGAGCGAUGGCUUGGAUGGGAUCAUUCUAGGUUCCACGGAUGGGAGCGGUGGCUCGACUACACCAAGUCCUCGUGGUCGCUUGGCGCACGAGCCUCCUCCAGCUGUUAUUGGUUGGCAGCCGUUUCUUGCACGUUUUGGUCGGUUGUGGUCAGUGUCUGAACCUGCUGCACAAGCAGUUGUAAUUGCUCAACAGUUAUCGCCGAUGCUUACUGCGACUCCUAUGGUUGCGAAACUCUCUAUAGGCUCUACAGAGAGCCAUCAAACUUUGAGUGUACAUUUUGCUAUACAGUUGUGGGUGAUGUUCUUUUCGACUUCAUAGAUGCAAGUAGUAUGCUGAUCGGCCAGACCUCUAAAAGUAAGAUCACAAUCCUCCCUUUAGCACCAAACUAUUGUUGCUGAAAUCUAGCCUAACCUCUGUGCUGAGCAAGCUGUAGGGCUGGAGAGUUCACCUAUUCAAGUCGGUAGGGUCAACCUAGGGUCACUACUGGUCUCCAAGUUACUGUAGAAGAGUUAGAUGAUGACGGUUGCGCUUGGAUCGAUGCUCUUGCACCUGGUCCGAUCUAAAACAGAAAAUACAUAAGUCCACUUGCUAGAGAGUAUCCGACGGAGGAUCCUUCGAUGUCUAAGUCAAGCAUUGAGCAAAUUGGGCAUGGGUGUUAGCUAUUUUGGCAACAACCUGCACAUCUUGUCAGAGGAUCAUGCCUGAGCAUCUUGCUUGCAUGGAUAGUCUCCAUGUUCGAUAGUCUCCAUGUUGCGCACAUAAGAAAACUAUUCACGAUCAUGGACUAAACUGUCACUAGCUGGGAAGAGUUUGAAAUUUGGAGGAUUUUCUGCACGUCUUUUAGGUCGGCCACGCGGGCUCUCAAUGGUCGACCUAUAGUAACAUUGUGAGUUCUUAUUGAUCAGUUUUCCACAUCAGGUAUGUCACGAGAGUACCCAACUUUCUCCCGCAAGAAACUAAACCCAUCUUCGCACAGAUGAAUCUGGUUUACAGGUGCUUGAAAGUCGAAUAAAAUUACAUCUACAGUCCCUUCCAUCUCGUUUCAUAAGAAAAGAGGUAGAUCCAAAGCAAAGCCAUGCGAUCAAGGCAGGCUAGGUCAUCCUGAGAUGCACCUUGGAUGCUUUAAAACCUGUGCAAUCGGCAUCUUGAAGAUGCGUGCACACAUCAUGCUAGACGCAUUCACUCCCGCACGCCAAGGACGUAUUAAGCAUUUACUUAGCAAAAUCAAACACGACUGGUUAGCAUGACAUUGUUUCAGACAAAUUAGACGUCGAGCUGAUGUGUAACUAAGUUAUUGCUUUGGUUUUGAGCUGGCACUAAUACGUACGGCCAAACUCGGAAACGGUAGGAGAGCUGUCUGUUCGUUAAAACAUUCUACACCUUUUAAUUAAAAAAAGAAAGAAAGAAAGUAAAGAAAAUCCCGGGCCAUGAUGUUUACGUUACCACGUCCAGCUCGGAAAAGACUGGAAGUCGAAUUGAGCAGAGGAUGAAGAAAAAGGUACGUUGGAACAGCAGUGAUAGCACAGUGAUGUUGUGCUUCCGUCUUCUGUUUGUUUUUUUUUUCUCUCUCUCUAAAACGGGAACCAGCCUUCUCGCUUUUUGUUGUUUUCAACUCUGGGAGUCAGAUUCCAGCAGCCCCACCCGACCUUUCCUCCGUGAAAACCACUCCAUCUCGCACCCCGCGCAGCGCAGACCAGGAGACGGAAAGGGCAAGCCGCUUUUCACCGAUUCUCCACCGCCGAGUUCCAGAUCCUGGCUCACAAGAUCGGGUUCAUGGACUCCUCUGCUAGAUUGUUUGGGAGGCAGAGAUCCGUGCAUCGGAUCCUCGGAGGAGGAAUCGGUAAGUGAAUUCGGAACUAAUAACGCAAAGCUCUCUCGAGAGCGUCCUUAGAUUACUUGUUUUGAUCGGUUCAGUUUCUGGUCUUCCUGAUGGCUUGGAGUUUGGAAUUAGGUUGUUUUUUUUGUCCGUUUUCUGAAUUAAAGCGUUUUCGCUUGUAGGAAUUCGAGUCUAAUUGGAUAAUGGAGGUAGUUCUGCUGAUUAAUGUUUUCUUCUAGCACAAUAUGAUCUUUGUAUCAGAUUACCAAAUGUUUGAUCUCUUAGAUUCUCCAGAGUUUUGAGGGCCUUUAUCAGCAUGCGAUCUCCAAAAUUUUUCAUUCCAAGCUACAAAUUCCAUUUCUCUACUCUUGUUUACUUUAGAUUCAUUGUUGUUUGAGAUAGCUAAGGAUGGCAAUCCACAUUUAUGGUGGAAACUACUGUAUGAAUUUGCCUUCUGGCUGUGGUAUUUAUAUGUUUCGAUUAUUGGACUGAGCAUUUAUGCCGGCGUGUCUAACAGUUGCAGAUGUGGUGCUAUGGAGGAGAAGAGAUGUAACGGUCGGGAUUCUUCUUGGAUUGCUGGCUGCUUGGUUGGUCUUUGAAAGAUCCGGUUAUACUCUGCUGUCCUUUGUUUCUAAUGUUCUGCUGCUUUUGAUUUCCAUCCUUUUUACGUGGGCUAGGGCGGCUGCAAUUCUUAACAGGUAAUUGAGUGUUUCAUGGAGCACUUAUGAUGAAUCUUUGUUUUGAUCCAACGUAGCUUGUUAGCAUUUCAAUAUUCACUUGUAUAUAUGGGUGUUAUCAGUCUUUGGCAUGGGGUCAAAAAUUUAAUAUGCAGCACAAAGCAUCAAUUUUGUUUAUGUCCUAUGUUAUGCGAUAGUGAAUAAGAAGUAGAAAUGCUCAGGAUUUUUUGUCAUCACAAACUAUUAUUCAUGAUCUUUGGAGUUAGGAUGCUGCUAAAGCUGAUGCACUCCCAUCACAGAAUGCACAAGUUGAGCAAUGGUGUCUGGUUAACUGUGAACAACAUAAGGAGUUUAUACAUUCAAAUAAUAGUAUUUUUUCAUAUUAAGGUGCUGGUUCGUUUUCCUCUCUUAUUAUGCUAAAUCAUAAAUGUACAGCUUCUUGUCGACACAAAUGCAGGCCGCCUCCACCCAUACCAGAGAUGCACCUCACAAAAGAAGUCAUGAAUGAAGCAGCAGUACUUGUGCAUUCUCAUGUGAAUAUGGCACUCCUGGCUUUUCAUGAUGUCGCGCUUGGAAAGGACUCGAAGCUUUUCUACAGAGUAGCCAUAAGUUUAUGGCUGAUCUCGGUCAUUGGCAGCUUGACAGAUUUUCUUACUCUAUUUUACUCAAGUAAGUAGUUAUUAAGACAAAUUUAUAUUUUGAGUAUCAGCCUUAAAUUAACUGCAUACUUUAACUCUAUAGAGAAGUAAAUUAGAGUUCCUUGGCUUAACAUGUGGUGAGUUAUCUCCAUGAAUUGAACUGAUGCAAAAUAGUACAGAGCUAACUGUUAGGAAUAGGCCGGAGUGCUGAUGGUUUGCUGAUUUCUCAUCAACUUGGAAGGUUCAAGUUUCAGUAUAGAAAAAUGUUUUUUUUUGUUUUUUUGUUUUUUUGUUGUUGGGGGUGGGGGUGUCUACAGAAUGAUCUGGUCAUGGAAACCUGCAGUAGAAGCAACUACUUAUCAGUCUCUGAUCAUCUGAAAUAUUGGAAAUGAGCUGAUGGCAUCAAAUAUCAGAAAUAAAUUUUUUACUCUAUGGCAUUACAGGUUGUUUUAUCGUAAAGGUUAAGCUUUCAAGAAUGAAUGAACCAGGAUCUUUCUUCCAGAAUUAUCACCACCUCACUAACUGUUCUUAAGUUCAGUUUCCUUCUUUUCUUCCUUGCAGGCCUUGUUAUUGUCUUUACUAUCCCUGUGCUGUAUGAGAAGUAUGAAGAUGAUAUUGACAGAUAUCUGAAAUUGGCUUAUGUGGAGAUGCAGAUGUGCAAGGGAAUAUAUGCCGAGCAUUUUCACGAGGUUAAGAAUUGGAUUCUGGGGAAAAAGAAACCAGGCUGAUGGUGUCUGCAAUUUUUGCGAUCGACCAGGGCUUCUAUCCCCUGUUUUGCUUUUCUUCUAUGUCAAAAGCUCAAAGAUUUUGACUUUUUGAGUGCAUUUUAUGGGAUCCGGCUCUCUCCAAUUUGUGAGCAGUUAUUUUUGGCAUCAUAAGAAGAAUUUGUAGGGUUUCUUCUUUUGUUUGUUGGACUUUUCAAGUACAUGAUAUGAACCUAGGAAACAAGGAGGAGAUAGAGAUAUGUGAUUCACACAAAAUUGUAUCUUCAGCAACUGAUCCAACAAGUUUUACUCAUGUAAUUUGUGUCGAGUUCUGUUUCUACAUUCUCACGUUAUCCAAGUCUACUUUCUUUUAUUGAAGUCAUUCCUUUCAAUUACUGGUAGACCUCCACAUGAAACUGCUAGAUGAAAUGGGUCUCUUAGUUUGGUCAUGUUAGUAUGAGUAACCGUGGAUAGCUAUUAUCUGACUGCGGCUAGCUCCAACGGCAGGUUCAAUAGCAGAUGGUGUUGUGUGAUUGCCCAUGAAAAAAAUGAUGACUUUUCUCCUCUUUCCUGACUUAAAAUUCGAGUUUCAUGAUCUCCUUUUCCAUCAGUAAUAACUAGAGAAAGCGAGCUUCUAUAUUGCAUAAUGACAACAACAUAAAAUGAUUUUUAGUUAGUUUAACUUAUUUUCUAGCAUACCUUGCAAACACAUCGAAAAUUAUCAGAAAGGGUAGGUAAGGGAUAUACACGCAAUAUCGCGAUUUCAUAAAGCAGGAUUAUUGUGCUGAUGAAUAUAUUGCUGAAGAUAUUUUAAGCAACAAUAAACAACAUCGAGGUAUCACCACGCACACAAAUAAAUUAGAAGAGAUCUCAUCCUUUUCCCUUUUCUUGUCCUCAAUCAGCUGUAUCCUGUUAAAUAUCAUGUCUAGCCUGUUAAAAUUAUAAUGUCCUAACCAUUUAGUAGCAGCAUUUGAUUGCAGCUUCAAGGAAAACCAUUACAUGGAGAACCAUUGGCAUUCUAAACCCCUUAUUUGAUGUUUCGACAUGAAGAAUGCUCCUCUAUACACAAAAUGGUGAUGUUAAACAAGCACUGGAACAAAAACGAAGAUGCAAAUCCAUGAGAUGAAUUGAACAAAAUUUAGGUUCAUAUAUAAAAGCUCGAAUUAGCUCUCUUUCUGACUUGUUCUAUGCACAAGAUUUGUAACAAGAUUAUAGCCUAUAUUUCCAGGUUAUAUGAUUCUCUAGUUCGAUAGAGGUGUCUGCAUACGGUCAAGAAAGCCUCCCCAGUAAUGUAGAGAAAAAUUCUGUCAUGAAAAUUUUGCUGGUCACACAAAUGAUCAAGCGUCAGGUUAUAUCAUGUUACCACUUGCCUACUAUUGCCUGCAACAUACGUGCAGGUGCCAACUUAUCCUUGUUCCAUGAUGUCUGCUUGAGUAGCAGAUCCAACCCAUUCACCACUUGAUUUGUUUCCCCUUUGUUUGAAAAUUAGAUCGGACAUAAUUGUCAACGUCUAUUAAUCUAGUCCAGACUCGAAGCAAUCUAAAUUCUCCGAACCACAGUCCAAGAGGAGAAUUGCAUAUUGUAUCCAAGCAAGGCCCCAGAAAUUUGGGGGGUGCAAAAUUUUUAUUAGACUGGUCUGGUUAUUUGGUUUGAGCAACUGCAAAUGUUGGUUCGCAAUUGGGCAUUUUGCACCCUAAGAUGUGGAUUCAUGAUCCAUGAUAGACACGCGACCUGGGUCUGAACGAAUACAAACCCUAGCUUAUAAUUGGUAUUUUGUGCCUCUAGAUGAGGAUAUAUUAUCCACACCAUGCACGUAUACAUAUACAUACACACAUAUGUAUGUAUGUAUGUAUGUAUGUGUCGAUAGGAUUUAUAAUCUUGGAUUACAAAUUGAUGUAGUAGUGACAUAGGUUAUAACUAGAUGGAUCAACUUUUGUCCUCUUGCUCUGACUUUUUAAGAAUGCUAUAUUUUUAACUCAAUUUAUGCAGUGCCAUGUCAAUUCAAUUCAUUGGUUGCUUCAUUUGACUUUGGUACUAUAAUUUGCUAUUUGUCAUUCGCAAUGAAUUUGGUUUGCCUAAAAUAGUACAAGAAUUUAUGGUCAGGCAAGACCAUACUAUUUUAAAGUUUAUUUUGACUUGUAAAAAUUCUUAUAUAAUUGUCCGAUCAAGCUAGAUAUUUUUGAAGAAAAUAAAAGAUCUUUGAUUUAGCAAGGCACAUAGCAAAAUUAAUAAAAAGAUUUUUUAUAAAGAAUUUAAAAUAACAGAUAUUAGGAGAAAUCGCGGAACACAUGUGGUCUGCAUAACUCCGUGCAUUGGAUCAACUUGUAUCUCCAUCGUUUGUAUUGAAUCAAUUCAUUUGGAAGAUUUUUUUAAUAAAAAAAUUAGAAACUCUCAACAUAUUUUUAUUUUAAAAUUCUUAUAUAUAUAUAUAUAUUGGGCUGAAAUGGAUAAUUUCAUACAACUCCAAUAUGAAUGCAUUCAAAAAAAAGUCAAAUAGGAACCGCGGCAAGCACCUACGGCGUCACGCCCUCUCCAAUGUCACAGCACGGGCUCUCGUCCGUCCAAUCGGCAAAACAGGAUGAAAUCGAGGCCUGCAUUCAUUGGACGGACACGAUUAAAUCGCCUGCAGAACGGAUGACGUCUUACGAAACGGAAGAACCAACAAAAAAAGCCUGCGCAUCGGCAUAAUUCCACCGCAUCGAAGCGGUCGUGGACAGGACCAACCAGUAGAAUAGCGCGUGCCAAGCUAUUCCAUUAAUCCAUUAUUUAUUCCGCGAAAAAAAUAAUCCCAAAUAUAGAGUCAGCCCAUCCCGCUGCGGACUUCCCAACUAGAAAGUCCCAUAGGCUCCAUUCUAGCUCACAAGGCGUGGCUAUCUUUCCAAAUACACGUCGUGCUUCAUUCAAAAUUGCCACGCGUCAUGUAUGGAAAUUCGCAUUCUAUUUCUCUGUGCUGCUAUCAAACUCCAGAUCUCCACCUCCAACGGGAUACUUUUUAUCCCGGCAUGCCUGGGUGAUCAUGACGAGCCCUUUUUGCUGAGUUUUCUCGACCCGCUCCCAUCCUUUCCAUCAUUUUUUAUUCGCGGCCUCCGCUCGCGGCGAAAAGCGCAGAGACCGCCUCCGUCCUCAUCUCUUUCCCAUUUCCUCUGUUCCAAGUUUUAUUCCCAGUUUUUGCUCGGAGCUAAGGGCAAUCAGGGAGGUUUCCGAGGUUCCAAUCCUCGAUCGAUUGCGUUGUCCCGGCGUCCGCCAUUUCGCUCCCUCAUUUUUCUGUUCUUUUAUCAUAUUCUAUUACGUUUUGAGGGUUGGAUCUGUGGAUUUUGGUAGCCACCGGUCUCUAGAUCUCUGGACGCGGGUUUAAGAGGUCGGAGAAGUAUCAGGUCGUGUAGAUCGCGGACCGUCUGAUCGAGAAUCGAUGGCUUUCAGCGGCACGCAGCAGAAGUGCAAGGCCUGCGACAAAACGGUCUACUUGAUGGACCAGUUGUCCGCCGAUGGGAUCGCCUAUCACAAGUCCUGCUUCAAGUGCAAUCACUGCAAAGGCACCUUAAAGGUUCGCCGUCUUUGCGUUUGUUUCUUUAGCUCCUCGAUUCCUGUUGUGGUUCUUGAGAGGCACUUUCUGAAAAAUUACAUGCAUUGAUUCUGGGGUAAUAAUAAUUUUCAAUGCGCAAAUCAACUAUUCGAGGUUGUUUUUUUUUUUUUAAAAAAAGUUGGCAUAGUUCGUACCUGAUUCUUCCCCAAGUGGUAGAUGAUUCCGGCAAGAGUUCGAAAAGGAAACCAAGGUUUAUUUGACGUCUUUUAGAUCAACAAUAGCCUUUUGAUUUCGUUUGGUCAUGCGAGUUCUAUAAGAUGUUGAUAUCAGAUCGACGACACACAAUCUAUUCUUGUGCUAUUUCUGGGCAUGGCUCUACCGGUCUCCAUUAUAUGGAUUUCACAACCUAGAAUAUAAGAGGAUCGAUCGCUGGAUGCAUCGAUGCAUGCAAUGUGCCGAAUUAUCUCUGAUCUAUAUUGUUGAAUACGGGUAAAAAAUGCAUGCCGCUCUUUUAUGAUUUAAAAAUUCUUCUUUCAUGCAUGUCACUUCGAUGCAUAUGAUAUUUCCCUCUCUCUAUGAUGGUCAAUUGCUCUUCAUUGCUUCAGUUUUAUCAAAAUUACCAGCGUGUUAUGAUGAUUCAAAUCAUUUUUUCUAGAAUACACUCCAUGGAACAUUAAGCACCAGUCUUAGGCAAGAUUCUUAAAUUGUCAUGCUUUGAAACAUGCAUUGAAUGUUAUUUGGUUAUAUCCAAGAUAUGAUUAAAUGUUUCUCAAUAAUCUUGUGGUUUAUUUUAACCCGGCCAAUGCUGUGGACAAAUUUAAGUGCGUGCUGACUUAACUAAAAUAUCAGAAUGAUUAUCCAACACCAGCACCUAGCAUGAGCAAUUGAUGUGUAUGGAUGCGUGCAAUAGUGUUGUCCUCAACUUCACAAGGCGGGCUUUUCUCGAUUUCAUAAUAACCAUAUGGUACUGCAUUAGCAAAUGUACACUCUUGCCUAAUUUGUGCUGCACUUAGAAGCUAUUUGAUAUCUAUAGCAGGAGCAGGGAUAAGAAUUGAUAGAGGGAUCGGUAAUCUUACAUUGCACAUGGUUCAAAAUGGUACAGGAACAAGAUUAAUAGUAAGUUUUGCUUAUUAGACAUACAAUAACAAGCCAUUGCCCUUUUAGAUGUUGUUAAACAAGUCAUGCAUUCUUUCCUUGUGUCAUGCCAAUAUCGUAAGCAUUGUGGCCUUGCUAGCAGGCCAACUUGCUAGAUCAUAAUGAUGCUAUGCAAAGAAACCUAACCGGGCCUAUGUGUCAAGGGCACACAGAUUGUCUUCUCUGGAGAUGUUUUAUAGGUUUAUCACAUGUGCUUAACCAUGUGGUGCUCAAAACAUCACAAUUCCUGAUGGGCUCGAAUACAUGGCGAGUCGGAGACCCAACAUAGUGUUGGCUUCAUGGUGACCCCAAAAUAUGUUACUGCUGGGCAGCCAAGGCUAGAUCUGUUAAAAUCAUAGAAUAUUACUUCAACGAAUCAGAAGAUACUACCUUUAGUCUGUUCUAUUACAAAACCACUUUUGUUCUGCUAAUCUAUAUAGUAUAAGAGCUUCAUGUGUUAUAAGAGCAACAUCAGACUUUUGACAAACUCUAGGGAGUAAUAAGCAAUUCUAUGCACAUGCACUACCUUAAUUAUGAGACAAGAAAUAGAGAGAGAUCCAAAAUAAUGAUUAUUACUUAAUUUUGUUAUCAUUCUUUUUCAGCUGAGCAAUUAUUCUUCACUGGAAGGUGUCUUGUAUUGCAAGCCUCAUUUUGAGCAGCUCUUCAAGGAGACAGGCAGCUUCAACAAGAGCUUCCAGUCACGUGAGACUUCAUUUCAAGUUGGUUAGAGAUAGUUCAAUUAUAUUAUCCACACAUAAUCUCAGCGUUUGAUUGCUCAAUAUGUUUUGCUCUUUUACAGCUGCAAAGCCAGCUGAGAAGCCAACUCCAGAACUGGUAAUUUCAAAAUUUUUCUUUGUUUGUAUCUGUCGUGAUGUCCUUUACGAAAAAAGCCUAUAAUUCAAUCCAAAAAAGCAUAUAACUAUCGUGCAAUGUCAACUGACAUGUCUUGAAUUCAGACUAGGUCUCGUAGCAAAGCUGCUGGCAUGUUUUCAGGAACUCAAGAAAAAUGUGCCACUUGUGGCAAAACAGCAUAUCCGCUUGAAAAGGUUUGACUACAGAAAAGUUAUUUGUUAUAAUCAUCCGCUUCACUAUAUACUUUUAGUUAAUGCUCCAUAAUCCUUUUUGCGAUGUGUUGUUUCAUAAAUUGUUUUAACAACAAUGUUUUCAAUUAUUGCAGUCCUUUGAACGUGUUGGUAGUGAAUAUAAGUCAUAUAAAAUCUAGUAUUUGAGGUUGGCAAUUUUCCAAAAGUUUGUAGAAUUUAAUCAGGUCAUGCUGUAGUUAUUAGAAUUAGUUUGCUCCAUAAAAAGCUUUGGAGCACAUCUUCAGAUUUCCUUGUGAUUCCCAUGUAGAAUAAGCAUAGAUUGUUCUUUGUACUUUUUCAACUACCUACGCUGCUGUGUGAUUACCUUUCUACAAAUAAUUUACUCCAGAACUAUCCUACUUUCUGAUACUGACAUUCUCCUAAAAGAAUACAUGUGGAGAAUUAAGAAUAGACUCAUCCAAGAGUUGGGUUUUUAUCUCUUCACAAUUUUGUGGCUUGGUCUGCCUAAUUCUUAUCCUCCUUGGUUUUCUUUUUUAGAAUCUAUUUUGACAUCCAUCUUGCCUAAAUAAGCCUGUUGCUUGUGGCUGCCUAGCUGCAGUUGCCAAUCUUGAAGCUGAACUGCUACGGCAUCAUUUUGCUGGCUAAUAGAUCCUUGGGUGCUCCAAAUUAUACAAUUUUAAUCCAUGGGAAAAUUUAAAUAUUAUAAGUUGUAUUUUUACCGAAGAAAAAGGUAAAGUAAAAGUGUUCUUAAUUUCUUUUUUUUUCUUAGUUUCAUAUGAAAUGACAAUAUCUCUGUUUACAAGCAUCUUUUUAUUGUAAAACAACUAGAUUUAGUUUUAGUUUACUAGAUGCAUCCAAAAUUGAUAACAUCCCUUUCACUUUGCAUGGUUGUGCUGUGAAUGCUGUCAGGUGACUGUCGAAGGACAAGCAUAUCACAAGUUUUGUUUCAGAUGUUCCCAUGGAGGCUGUUCUAUAAGCCCUUCAAACUACGCAGCCCUUGAAGGCAUCCUCUAUUGCAAGCACCACUUCUCUCAGCUUUUCAAGGAGAAGGGGAGUUACAACCAUCUCAUCAAGAGUGCUUCCAUCAAGCGCACAGCGGCAUCCACCCCAGAUCUUUGAGUUCGUUCUGUUUACUGCAGUGGAUUCACACCCAAGCUUACCAUCUGAACUUAUUAUAUCUUUCGUUUUGGUAUGUUUUCAUCCUUUCUGAUUGUUCAAUCAAGGAAUUGGCGAACUUGCAUUCCUCUGUUUUCCUAAUCCUUCUUGUGUGUAUUCUGUAGCUAUGUCAAACCAUAAAAAGCUGGUAUUCCAUAUUCCAUGCAUUUGAUUUGUGUUUUCCAACAGGAUUUGCAGUUAAGCUUCAUGUUUAUGUGAAACCAGGUGCGGUAUAUAACAUUAUGCUGUAAUACCUAUGGCCAUGCCCCUGAUCAUUCCUAGGAGGGGAUGGUGCCUUCAGUAAUUUCAAAGCUCUGACUUUGUUGGCGACUUGUUUACUUGUAAUUUUCUUGUAUCCAUGCACAUUUGAUCUGUUUCUAAGUUCAUAUUUCUGGGUUCUCGUAUUUGUGUUGAGAGGCCUUUUUUAAAAGUUUGAAGAGAAUGCCAUCUUCCCUUUGAUCAAUGACAAAUGAUGCUUUAGGGUUAAAUUCACGACGAUCUUGUUAAUAGGGUCAGAAUGGAUCCAAGAAACCGAGAUAUAUACCUGUUCAUAGACCAUUUAGCCAACAAGAAUAUCGUAUAACAGGAUAACAUCCAUAGAAUGUUUGGGUGAAAUUAGUUUAAGUGCCUAAACAUGGUUAGGAAUAUCUACCUUAAUAGCAAAGAGAAUGAUCCUUGUUUUUUAAUUUUUUGGUGAAAAUUGAUUUUUGGUUUAUUGGACCGGAAGAGUUGUAAUGAAGGCGCACCGGAAGAGUUAUUUUUAUGAUUUAGAGUGGCGCACUGGAAGCAUGGUGGAUCCAUAACCCACAAAUCCCAGGAUCGGCUUUUGAUAGAAGGCUUCCAGUGUGCCUUGCUUUUUUUUUUCAGCAUAAGUUUUAAUUAGAAAUUCUUUACUGUAUUGAUUACAUAUUUUCAAAUUUAUUUUCUUCAUUUAAUAUAUGUUUAAUUUAUUCAAAGGUAAUUUUUUUCUUCAUCUAGUAGAGGUUUUUACUGAAAAAUCUUUUCUUAACUUAUUACAUUUUUAAAAAAAUAUUUCUUCAUUUUUUAUUUAGUUAUUUUCUUCAUUUACUUUUUGCUAAAAAAUCUUUUCUUAACUUACUGCAUUUUUAAAAAUUUAUUUCUUCAUUUAAUAGGUGUUUUCAUUUAGUUAUUUUCUUCAUUCACUCAAGUGUAAUUACUUUUAUUUCUCUUCUUCAUUUAAUUCAGGGUAGGUUUUAAUUGUUUUCAUCAUUUAGUCAAAGGUAUGUUUAUCAAUUCAAUAACAAUAAAUCAUCUUCAUUUAAUUCAGAGUAUUUUGCCACACCCACGACAAUAAGUUCCAAUAGUUUAAUCAAAUGUAUUCGUGCCAAUUCAAUUAUAUUAAAUUCUUUACAGGCGAUCAAUGGUAUUUUUAUAAAUCUAUUUAUAAUAAAGUCCAAUCCAUUUAACUAAUGGUGUUUUAGUCCAUUUAGUUGCAGCAAAUUCUUUUUAUCUGAUCAAGGUAUUUUCAUUAAUCCUGUUACAAUAAAUGCUGGUUAUGAUGCAUAUGAAAAUGCACAUGGUUAUUAAAACUGAGUUUUGUAUAAGAUGUUUUUUUAAUAAAUAGCAUGAAUUAGGUCAUAAUAUAUUUUUUUGAUAUUAUUUAAGAUUUAUUUGAUACAUUAUAUUUGCUAAGAAAUAUAUUAUAUUUUCAAUUUAGAUGACCUUAAAUUUUAUAUACCAAUAAAUCAUAAUUAAUUUAAAUUUUGGAUGAUGUUGGGCUCUUAUUACAUGCAUCCUAAACAUCGACUCCAUUUAUUUAUUUAUUUAUUUUGGUGAGCAUUUAUUUAUUUACUUAUUUUGGUGAGCAUUUAUUUAUUUACUUAUUUUUAAGUAUCAAAUGGAGUUUUUUUUUCUUCUCUUGGCGUGUUUGUUUUGUUUUGUUUUGCUCGGUUUCCUAGCAAUAAAUUAAACCUCUUAAAAGAGUCAUAGUUGGGGCUUUUUUCCUUUUAUUUCACUCCGAAAAUUUGAGCACACAAAAUUGCAAACUGUAUUUAUAUAUACAUAAUUUAAGGACAAAUAAAUACUCAAAGGAUAUUUUUUCGCUUCGCAAAAAAACCCAUGACUAUGAGAGAGUUACUGGAGCCUGGAGGACCCUAUGAGGCGCGAAGAUCGCGAAAACCCGAGGCGGGAAAGGAAAUAAGUUCCCGCCAGAAACGCCAGCAAACCGCUCCUGCCCUUUUUACCCUGCCAUUUUCCUGUUCUCCAAGGCCCCAACCCGCCUCUUAUCUCUCUUUCCCAGAGAAAACGGAGGGCUCUUUCUCUCUCGAGAGAGACGAUGUUGGAGCUCAGGUUGGUGCAGGGAAGCCUCCUGAAGAAGGUCCUGGAGGCGAUCCGGGAGCUGGUGAACGAUGCCAACUUCGACUGCUCGGCCACGGGCUUCUCCCUCCAGGCCAUGGACUCGAGCCACGUGGCGCUGGUGGCUCUCCUCCUCCGAUCCGAGGGCUUCGAGCACUACCGCUGCGACCGCAACCUGUCCAUGGGCAUGAACCUCAACAACAUGGCCAAGAUGCUCCGCUGCGCCGGCAACAACGACAUCGUCACCAUCAAGGCCGACGACGGCAGCGACACCGUCACCUUCAUGUUUGAAAGCCCCAGUAAGAUCCAAAGAUCCCAUCUUUUCCUCUUUUUCUUCCUCAGGAUCAGGGUUUCCUUCCGGUCUUUCUGCACAUUGCCGCAAUUUGUUUACGUCUUUGGAAUUUUAUACAUUCUUCACUUUGCUAUUACUUGAGCUGGCUUUCAAUUGAUAAUCUGCUUAUGUUCAAGGAUAGAUUGAACACGUAUAAGCCUCAUUAUUUUGUGGAUUGGGGCAGAUUCAAAAGAAACCUGCUGGAUUAGUAUUCGUUUCCCACUCGUUGCAAGUGCUUGCAUUUCAAUACUUGCAUCAAUUUUUGUUUUGGCCAGAUCAAGAUAAGAUUGCGGAUUUUGAGAUGAAGCUUAUGGACAUUGAUAGCGAGCAUCUCGGCAUUCCAGAUGCCGAGUACCAUGCCAUUGUUCGAAUGCCAUCGGCGGAAUUUGCAAGGAUUUGCAAGGAUCUCAGCAGCAUUGGUGAUACUGGUAUGCUCUUAUUCCCGAUUGAACCCUCAUUUAUCUUGUACAUGCAUACACUCUGUCUGAUAUUUCUUGUGGUUUUGGGAUGGCAGUUGUUAUUUCAGUAACCAAGGAAGGUGUGAAGUUUUCAACUGCUGGAGAUAUCGGAACUGCAAACAUUGUUUGCAGACAGAACAAGACUGUCGACAAGGUACCUACUAGAAUCAGUGUGUCUGCAACUGUUAUUCCACUUCCAUGCAUUUCACUUGCCAAUCAAAUUUAGACAAAUCAGUGUUUGCUUUUCCUACAUAGAUUGCUCUGCUGCAUGCGAUUCAAAUCUAUGGGGGUUGCUCACAGAUGUUCCCUGCCCUUCUCACUUGAGAUGCCUGGUUAACUAACUGUUCUUCCAACUGCUGUCUCUCAAACAAACAGAAAAAAAGGAAAAGAAAGAAUCUCUCGACAUUUAAGUUCGACUUAGAGUAGUUCAUCUGUUGAUUUAUAGUGCAGCAUGUUUGCUUGCUACUCCCUUUUGCUUAGGACUGGAUGAUUAUUCUUACAACUUUUAGUAAUGUCCUAGAAUUGCGGUCUCCUAAUAUUCUUUUAAACUAAACUGCUCUUCUGUCGCAUGCAAUACCUCAACAAGUUGCCUCUGCCUACCAUCCAUUCCAAUGCCUCAUUUUGUUUGAUCUGUGCAGCCAGAGGAAGCAACCAUCAUAGAGAUGCAAGAGCCAGUGUCCUUAACUUUUGCUCUGAGGUAUAUGAACUCCUUCACCAAGGCAACGCCACUAUCUGAAACUGUGACCAUCAGCCUUUCUUCGGAGCUUCCCGUGGUUGUUGAAUACAAGAUUGCGGACAUGGGUUACAUACGGUUUUAUUUGGCUCCCAAGAUUGAAGAGGAUGAGGAGGAUAAGAAGCAUUGAGCAUAAUUUAUUUGAGUUUUUUUCUUUCCCAUCUCUGUUUCUUUAUGUUUUUUCUCUGGAAAAGAGUUGGUCUGCUUACAUUUGUACGGUUUUCGUAAAUUUCUAUUAGACUGAUCAUAUUUUUCUGAGUUCUUAGUGGUAGAUUUUUGCUUGUUUUUUUUCUCCUUGUCGUGAUGAUCCAUGAGCUAUGACGGACAAGCAUGGGAGUCCCGUGCCGUUCUGCAAGAAAAUUCGAGAGUGCUUUCAAAUGAUGAUCAUCUUACCCCAAUAGCCGUUGCUGCCUCAUUUGGUUGGGCAACUAGAGGAUGUGCAUCGAAAAAAUAGGAGCUUUUAGAGCAGUUGGGGUUUAGAUAAUUUCAGUUAUAUGAUGCUCUUUGGUUGCGUAUGUAACUUAGUGAUGCAACUUAGUAGUUCGUGCAGCUUCUUAUUUGACUUAGUGAUGCCAGUUUUGGUUGCAUGGUCUGCACUGGAACUGAUAACAAAUAAUAUGCUAAUUUGCCGUAAGUGGUACAAGUGCAUGGUCCGGUGUAAUCCAUGCCCCCAUGAGCUUCCUUCAUGGUGCAAGUUAAUGGUGAGGAAAGAACCCUUAUACUUAUGGACUGAAACCAAUCCUAAACAUCCUAAGCAGUUGAAGUCUUAUUUAAGGUUACAGGCUUGCAGCGAGUGUUCUGGCAUCAAGAAAAAAAGUUUCCAUGCUCUAGUUAGAUCACCGAGAGGAGAAAGUAUAAACUUGUAACUAUUUCCAUGCUUCUGCUAAAGAAUGGAUAAUUUGCCCAAGGUUGCAGUCUAUGUGCAUUCUGAUGCUUAAGGGUAUAUCUGUAAAUUGAUGUCGAACAAAUUAACUGAUCAAAAAUACCUGGACUUUUCAGAUUGGUCAACAAACUACGCAGAUGGCCUUGCUAUCUUGAGCCUAUAAACUCAUGUACUCAAGAAUUUCAAACUCAUUUUUACAUGCAAAGCCACCGCAUUCAAUCACAUAAAGGUUCGGUACAACUACCAAUCUCAAUAAUUCACUGAAAACUGAAGGCAUCUUUUAACCUCAAUCAGUUUUCAACCAACGACUACAGUGUGAAGAAUUCAACUCAAAAAACUUGCACAGAUGUGUUCAACCUAUUAAUGAAACAAGAAGCAAGAGAUUUGGAUAAGAAUAUCAUGACCUUGAUCCAUAUGGCUUCAUGAGAUCAUAUGCAGAGCAAAAAUGUAAAAAUGAAAACCUGCUGUAUUAUGGCUGUCGCCAGAUCACUCCAGCAUAAGCAGCUUCACUUCAAGUUCUUCCUCAAUUCUAAGUAGCUGUAGGACAAAAAAAAAAAAAACAAACAUUGAGAAGUCAUCGUGAGAAAAUUAGUGACAGGAAAAUUGAAAUUACUAGUUGAAACUAGACUAGCCUAUACAAAUCAUGUAUAUGUAUGAUUUCGAUUUAUCAAAGAGCAAUUUGGGGCAUUUGGAGCAGUAUCCAGCAUGCACGCACAUGGCACAGAUCUCAUAUAUGGAAAGGCUGCUACCUAAAAUGACAUCAAUGUCUAAAUUACAGUAUUUGUGGAUCAUGCAUUUAGCAAAUGAGCAUGCAGAUGCGUGUCUAAAAUAACAUUACAAGUAGCCCAUUUUUGAAAUUUGGCAAUGCUCUCAUAAAUCAAUGCCUGAUUCGAAGACAAAUCUGAUUGUAUUUUGCAAGUCGUUCACCACGAGGCGUAACUCAUUGUAAUUGGAUAAGUUCUUAGGAAUAUGACGGAAUGAAAGACAAAGGAAAGCUCCAGCUUUAAUCUGGCUGGUUGGAAGGCCAACUGCUAAAUCAGUAAUGAAAGAAUCUUCAGUCUGCUUCUGUGAGAUACGAUCACUCCCCAGCGAGCAUCUUUAGCCCACUUCACAACUUCUAUAGCCUCUGUGACAGUUCCAACCUAAUUUACCUGGAUUUAUAUUGGUAUGUUUUAUCAUCAUUUUGAGGAAAACCAACAGAAGUUGAUCAAACCAAAAACUUAAGUGCUCAACUACGCAUGCACGUCACCAGAUUAACAUAGGUCGUGCUUGGACAGCUAGAUUAUUCCCAGCACGUUUUCCACCACUACUGAUGGUGAUGGGUGGAAGGGGAAGGACUGGAUUGCUUUUACCAGAAAGAUCAACUAUAUGUUAUGUAGAGAGGAACCUGCAAGAUCAAACAGUCCAAAAAGAAUCAGAAUUAUGAAAGCAAAGGAAACUAAAAAAAUUAGUAGAAAAGAUAUCAUGCCUCCCUUUUUCCACAGCACCAGCUUUACAUGCAACAAUUGAUGCAGCUAACAUAGCAUUUGCUCCAAGUUCAGCCUGCAAAAUGUUGCCGAACUCUUACAUUCUGCUACUUAAAUUAUAUAAGUUGCACAAUGAAAUUAUAGGGGAAAAAGAUGAAGUUUCCUCUGCAAAAUAUCUCUAUUGACAAAAAAUAAGAUCAUAUUGAAAUGUUAAAUGCAUUAAAUCAUUUAUUACUUUAGAUAUAUUUGCAUUCAAGAUGAACAAAUAACUUAUGAAAGCAAGUAGAGUUCUCCGUUGGUAAUAGACAAAUGUGAUUUGAUACAUAGUGCAAUAUAAAAUACAACAGGACUGGAGUAAAUGAAAACCUAAUACACCAAAAUGCAAACUCAAGCAAUAAUCAACGAAAAAGCAGAGUCGGCAAUUCCUUAACAACUUUACAAGUCUGUUAAUUGUGCUACUCCAUUUUGCUUUUCUUUAUUGGUAGAGGGGACGAGGUUGUGGGACAGCAUUGUUUAUUUACUGUUAUUAUUGGAAGGAUUGGGGGAGGGUGUGCUUCAUGAGAUAAACUGUAAACAACUUGAUGAAAACUUAAUGAAUUAAAAGAUUUAAAUAAAAAGUAAUGUAGAACCAGGAGUUUUUUAAUGACAUAAGAGUAAAAAAUAAAUUGGAGAUGGUAAAGAAGUUUGCGCAUAAAUACAAGCCAGUAUUGUGCACUGCAUUGCAAUUACGAAGAAAUAUUUCAAGUACAAAAGGCUUUUUAAGGAUUAAAUGUAGAGAGGCAAAGCAUAUGGAAAACGUUGACAGAAGAACUUGCCUUAUUCUCAUUUUUGUCCAAAUCCAUCAUUGGUUGAUUGAUCUGGGAUUGAAGUACAGAGUCCAUGCCAAUUAAAGCUUCAGAAAUAUUUUCAUUAGUAAUAUACACUGCUCUUGGAACAUCCUUUCCAAGAUAUUUACCUUUCUCACCAUCACGCAAUUCAACAGCCUCCUCAUAGGGUCAGUAAUUAAACCGAAGCCCAAUAACUUGACUAUAGAUCAGUGAUCAGGUUUUGCGUACAUAUAAAAGCAAAUGCGGUUGACAUUUCAAAACAGCGCAAACCACUAAAGACAAAUCAGGCAUUGAGAUUACAUAUGUUUCUAUUUACUAGUGCUGCAUAAUAGUAAGCUAGUAUCAUCUACAUAAAGAAAAUGAAUGCAGAAACAUAAAAGCAAAAGCAGAACAGCUAAGUAUCAUAACGGACAAACCGCAUGAAGAAAGUCAGAGAAUAGACAGCUUCAUGCGGUCCACUAAUAUGGGUUAUGAUAUUGCCUACAUGGCUUUUCACAUUCCCAGAUGGUGAUUCACAUAAUGAAAAGGCAACAAUUCCUACCUCUUGAAGGAAUAUAAGAACAUAGCAAUGUUAAAUAGCCAAAUAUGCUUUCAAGACAUAUUCUAGGGCUGCACUUCCAUGUUUCUUUAAAACAUUUGUAAAGCCUUUCCCUGUAGAGAGUUUCAUUGAUCCAAAUUUCUCACAGUUAUCUUCUGGUUGUACAUACUACCAACAACGCUACUCCUCUUCUUGAUUCUUAACCAAGUAAGCCUCUUACCGUAAAUUAAAAAUCUAAUCUCCCAUCAAUAGCAGAGCAUAAUUAUAUCCAUAUAUAUGCAAAAUAAAACAACUGGAGAAUUAGAUUUUAGAUGAUUCGUCUUCUACCCUAGAUCGGAUAUUUCAGCACAGCAACUCAUUCCAAAGAAGCCAAAAAAGUCUAAGAAAAGCAGGCAUAAGAAAGACAAGCAGCUUAAAUUCCAGUAGCGGCACCGCUCGGAACCGAGUUUCGAUGCGUCCCCUUGUUCGUGUAGAGAUGCACUUCCACAGUAGGGAUCCCCUGCUAUCCAAGAUCCGCCGCGCUUUGAUCUUUGUGAUCGCAGAAAGAACAGCUUUCUUCAUAUGAUUUGACAGCGCCAUUCCCAAGAAGUUUGAAUACAUUCAAGCGAACACAUUAUAUUGGAUGAACCUAAAAGGAGAAAACGAGAACAAUUACAACCAAAGAAGUUGGAACGAAGGCAGCGUACGAUGAAGAGAACAUGGUCUGGAGUCUUGGGGCGUCUUCGAUCUUCCGAGAGAGCAUGUGCGCCGUGAUGCUUCUCCCUUCCUGAUCUCGGAUUUGAGGCAAGCUCGGCUGCGAUGUCUCAAGUAGAGCGGCCUUUCUCGUCGAUCUCUACGAGAAAUCGACCUCGAGGGAUCUCUCCCUCUCCUUCUCCAUCCCUCUCUCCCGCCUUGCCCCAAGCCAAUAGGAGCACAAAUGCUCGGAGAAGCAGAGUUGAGACUUUUAAAAACAAAGCAGCUUUGGCCAAGGUUCCUGAAUUAAAGCAUUGAACUAGCUAGAUAUCCCCUUAGAAUGUUUCCAGCCAUUUUUUUAAAAAGAAAAUAAUAAAAAAAAGAGCAUGGUAGAGUUUGUCACAUGCAAUGCACGUGAUAAGCAUCGAUCCUAUGGAUGGCUGUGCCCGCAUUGCCGGUUUCAAGGGAGUAAGGGGUAAAUUAGUCAUUUUGACGGACUAGUUAGUAGUUACUGAAAUCGGCUGCGGGGCGGAGGAUGUCCAGAAACAGUUGCCGACUUCAAUUUAAAUAUGUUACCUUAAAUAAUCUGAACUAGUUGCGGGAAUUGAAAUUUCGGAAUCAGCUCAAUCUCAAUCUCGACUAAUGACAAGACCUGGAAUCGCACGGUAAGUAGCUUACAUAUGUAAUAUGUUAGGAAACAUCAGCGAACCUACCGCCGAUGAGGUGGAAUCACAGCCAUUCAUCACAGAUUAUUCUCGUCGUGUUUUAGGGGAGCAGCACCUACCUAAGUUUUCUAUAUUCCGCAUUCGUUUUUCGCCCGCCACAAGACCGGCCCUCCACCCUCGCGUCCUCUUUGUCGCCCGAUUAGGGUUUCCCUCCCUCCCGCAUGGCCGCUUCUUGCUCCAAGCCGUGGAUUUCUCCACGCGCUGUCGCGAGAUUUUCUGAUUCCAAGAAGUUUCCGCGCGUCCUUCCUGUUCGCUACGUCUCCAAGUGCCACGAUCUUGAACGCAGGCGAGUUCUCUCUGUUCGCUGUAGCCGCUUCGACGGGGACGCCGGGAAUGGCUUCUCCGACGCGUACCCCGACAGGGAGAACCAGCAAUUCGUGGGCUGGUUUCGCCAGGCGUGGCCGUAUAUAAGGGGCCACAGGGGAAGCACUUUCGUCGUCGUCAUCUCGGGGGAGAUCGUGGCUAGCCCGUACUUGGAUAGCAUUCUCCAGGUAUAUCUAUGUCGAUCUUUGUCUCCUUCUUUGUGCUGUUUUCAUUCAUGCACUCAUUCAUUCCAGACGUAAUAGAAUUGGAUUGUUUGUUUGCGGUGAACUUGUGCUGGAGAAGAAAUUAAUUGUGUUUUUUCAUUUGUUGGAUUCCACUUCAUACUCAUGGAAGGUUCAGGAAAGGCCUGAGCUCAUGAAAUUUUUGGAAAGAAAAUUUCGUUUAAACAAUUUGAGCGUCUAGGGCCAAAUGAGAUUCAGUUUUCUAGGUCAUCUCAUUCCCCUCGGCUGAAAUGGGCCCAAAUUACUGGAAGAUAGUAUCGGCAUAAAGCUUAACUGUCAAAUUCAUAGUCGCGCGACCCUUCGAAGGUGCACUUUCGUGAUUGAAUGAACUAAGAUACAACGUUUUGGAACCGUGUUGCGGGGCCUCUUAGAACUCCUCUAUAAUUUUUGUCCAAGCUCAUUAGUAAUUGGAAGCCCUUUUGAAGCUUUCACAGGCUCCAUGUCAGGUAAGCUGUAUAUAAUUAACAGACAUGAAAAAAUAAGCCCUGUCCCAUCCAAGUUGUUAUAUUUGAGCAUCUUUUUGCUUUCUUUGGAUUUAAUAAUUGUUUUUCUAGUUUUUGUCAAUAUGUUUCUAAAAUUAUUUGAUUGAUCUGUAGCGUCUGCAAAACUGUUACAAGAUUGACAAAACUGAUAUAAGAUUGGGGUUAGUCAUAGUUCUGCACCCCCACUCCUUUUUUUUUGUGUCAUCCAUUUUUCUCAUUACUAAUGAAGACAUAUGUUCACGUAGCAAAGUUGGUCAAGUAAAGAGCUUGUUACUUUAUAGUGUUAAUAAUACACACUCAGUCUAUCUAGGAUCCACAUGCAAUUUAUUUAGGCUGCUUCUUCCUCUGCAUUAAUUAGGAAGCAAUUAUGCCAGCCUGCAGAAGAAAGCAGCUAAGCAGCACAUGCUUCCUUGUCUGAUCCAUUCAGUUUUUUAUUCAAUAUUUGGUUAUUAAUCAAUUGACUGAAAUUGCAUUUCAUAGAACUCCAUUAACUCAUAUUUCAUACAUCUUUGUUUUUUCUAGUUGUUGACAUACAUCUCAAUUGAUGCCUUUUUAUUUCUUUUUGGGAGAAUUUUUGAACUGAGAAAACCUGUAACUUGUAGAGAAGCCAUUGCUGCAAAUAACUUACACUGAUCAUAAUUUUUCAUGCAUCUGUAUUCAGGAUAUUUCACUCCUCCAUGGUCUGGGGAUCAAAUUUGUCCUUGUUCCUGGGACUUAUGUCCAAAUUGUAUUUCAUAGAACUCCAUUAACUCAUAUUUCGUACAUCUUUGUUUUUGUAGUUGCUGACAUACAUCUCAGUUGAUGCUUUUUUUUCCCCUUUGUGGGAGAAUUUUUGAACUGAGAACUGGUAGAGGAAGCCAUUGCUGCAAAUAACUUACACUGAUCAUAAUUUUUCAUGCAUCUGUAUUCAGGAUAUUUCACUCCUCCAUGGUCUGGGGAUCAAAUUUGUCCUUGUUCCUGGGACCCAUGUCCAAAUUGAUAAGCUCUUGGCAGAGAGAGGUAGGUGGAAAAUUAUCACAUCUAAAGGUAGAUUGGUUCUUGCAUGAUUGCACUUCUUGGGCCUCAUAUCCAUAUCGAUAGUCAUUGUUCCUGGAUUUUUUCAUGUGCUUGUGUGCUCAUGUUUUUCUUUCUCAAAAGCAUCAUGAUGAAGCCAGCUUUUCAUUCAAUCUUUUUUUUUCUUGAAAUAGAUCUUCAUCUUUUUUAUUUAUUUACUUAUGCUUGUUACAACAUAAGAAUGUUGAAGUAAAGGAACUCAUGGGCUUUGAGUCAAACUGUGACUUGUGCAUAUCAUUGGCUGAUAAGAAGACCCUCGGUGCACAACUUAAGUAUCUAUUCUUGGUUUCUCUAAUAGAAAAGUCAGGGCAUACUAUCGUGAAAGAAUGAAUUUUGAUCCUACAUUAUUGCCCAAAACUAGCAAUUAUUUAACAUAAUAUAAACAAUUAAAGCAAUAAAUCUGAUAUUAUUUUGUUGUGUUGCUGUAUUUUAAUGGAAAAAAACUGAUAUAGUAAAAACUCUCAUGUUAACUUUCUUUUUCCUACUCUAUUUUUUUAAAGAAUAUCUAUAGGACUAAAAUCCUUGUCAGAUUUUUCUGAGGCAAUGCUGCAGAUUUUCACAACUUUGCCAGAAUUUUAUAAAAAUCUCAAUUUUCAAAUUUAUGAGUUUUCAACUUUGUAAAGUUCGACAUCUAGUACCCAUUUGAUGUUCAUAGUUCAAUGCCAUCUAACUAUGUUUGCUUGUAGAGCAUAACAGAAAAAUGUCUGUUUUUGUAUUUGUUGUUUUGGUGCUUACUUCAUGCUAUGCCUUUAUCGGUGCUUGCUGUUCUAGUGUCAUGUGAUAUGCUCUCACGUGUUCUUCAUAUACUCCAUUAUCUUUAAGGAAGCAAGGGCAAGUAUGUUGGCCGGUACCGAAUCACGGAUUCUGAUUCGCUAGAGGCAGCAAUGGAGGCUGCUGGGAGGAUUCGUCUUACAAUAGAGGCAAAGCUUUCUCCAGGGCCCCCUAUAUUGAAUCUUCGCCGGCAUGGUGAUAAUAGUCGUUGGCAUGAACUUGGUGUUUGCGUUGCAAGUGGCAAUUUCCUUGCAGCUAAGGUGAUCAAUAUUGCAUAGCCUGCCAGAACUGAAUCCUAGAAUUCAUGCUAUUGUUCCUAAGAUCAUAGGAUAAAGACAUUCAUCUCUUGUUACACAAGUUCUUAAAACCUUUCUUUGUUAAUAAAAAGGAUGUUGUUAAUAAGAAAAUUCUGAAGGAAGUUGUGGUGCCUUGAAGAUGUCCUCUCAUGGCAUCCUUCAAACAUUUUGCUGAAAUCCUAUGGGUAAAGUACUACAUUAGCUUUCUGAGCUUAGAACCUACACUCAAACAAUUCUAAAAUUAGUCUCAGUAAUGCUCUUGGGAACUUUACUGUUGUCAGAUGUGAUUGAACUAAGCUUACCUCCAUGUACAGUUUACUGCAUAGACUAUUCUCUGCCAUUUCAGUUGAUAAAUAACCUGAGAAUUUACAACCAAUCAAUCAUGGUAGUCAAUUGAUCUCCAGUGGGUGAUCAAUAACUUACUGCUUUAUGAAGUUGAUGGUAGUUGAGUUUGUUAGAUCAGAAUGGGAUUGUAAUCUGCUUCCAGAUUUUCCUCAUUUUGGACUUUCUUCACUAUGUUCUUGCAUAGACAUUUUCUGACAAUGUAAGACAGACUUACUAUAUAUAACUGUGUUCGCAUCAGGUGUAUUAUCAAGAUCAAAUUAUAAUUUUGUUCAGAAAUGACUAAUAUUUCAAUCCUGACACAAAAUACUUAUUUUCUGGAAUUCUUUGCUUCACUGCCCAGGAGGAGUAACCAAACAAUGCGGCUUCCUGUGCCGUACAAAUAGUCAUAGCAAUUAUCCUUUUUAGUCCUUUUCAAGUUGGCAACUGGACCCAAACAAUUGAGGUCUGAUCAACUUUUUUGGUUUAUCCAUGAAUUCAGCAUUUUUUCCCCUUUCUCCCUCUUUAAAGAAUUAACAAGUAGGGAGUUUCUUCUGGUAUAAGAGAGAGAUGUGGGGCAUAGCACAACAAGGUUCUAAGGAGGUUACCAAGACAGUGGUGGCAUCACAACAUUAGUAAGCUAGUAACUUCCUUAAUUUACCAGUUGUUUUGCAACAUCUUGACACUCAUGUGGCCGUCGAUAGAUAUAUUUUAGACCUGAUAAUAAAUUUGCUGUUAAUGUUCAAAAAGGUAGUAAUGUUAACUGUAAAUAAAUCUAAGAGAUUUCUUAGAAUGGUUGAAUGUUUUCCACCUUCUUUCCCCUUUCCCAUGUCUAGUAGACUUAUAUAACUUUUCUUUUCUGACAGAGAAGGGGUGUUGCUGAAGGUAUUGAUUUUGGAGCAACUGGUGAAGUUAAAAAAAUAAAUGUUUCCAUGAUACGAGAAAGGCUUGACAGAGAUUGCAUAGUUAUAGUAAGCAAUUUGGGUUAUUCCAGCUCAGGAGAAGUUUUAAAUUGCAAGUAUGCUGCUUAGCUUUCUUUUUUUUACUUGUUUUUUAUAUUUACUAUCAAGGACCUGUUCUAUCUUCCAAGAGGGUGAUAGAUUUUGAUUUGUUUUGUAUAUUCAAUGUACUUUUUUCCUGUAAGCAAGAAAAGUAUUAUUUUCCAAUUACUAUGUCAAUCUAAUUAAAUUUAAAUAUAUGAUCACUGCAUUUGUAUUAUCCUUUUAAAUCACAACUUGCCAGUGUCUUGUUUUCAGAGAAAUUUACAUCCUUUUUGUCAAAUUAAUUUAGAUUGAAUUUUGAUUUUUCAUUUUCCUUUCUAAGUUCUCUUCUUGCUCCUUGUAAAAAAUUCUUGACUGUGAUUGGUUAUCUCAGUUCCUUAUUUGAACAUAUUAACACUACCUAUAUAUUCUUGUUUUUAGAGAUUCUGGACACACAUAACCUGUUAUGAUUGAGGGCUCACCUUUUAUUUUCUUAAUAAUGCUUCAGCACUUACGAAGUCGCUACUGCUUGUGCCUUGGCUAUUGAGGCAGACAAAUUGAUUUGCAUUGUAGAUGGUCAGAUUCUUGAUGAACAUGGACGACUUGUUCGUUUCAUGACUCUCCAAGAUGCAGAUUUGUUGAUCAGAAAGAGAGCUAAGCAGAGCGAGAUAGCUGCAAACUAUGUCAAAGCUGUAGGCAAAGAAGAUACUAAUUGUCCAGGUUCUGCUGAUGCAUAUAGAAGUAACAGUACUUCUUGGAACGGGAAAGGCUUCAGUGAAAAGUAUAAUGCAACAUUUCAGAAUGGUCUUGGAUUUGACAAUGGCAACGGUCUAUGGUCGGGUGAGCAGGGAUUUGCUAUUGGCGGUGAAGAACGGUUGAGCAGAUUAAAUGGUUACCUUUCAGAGUUGGCUGCUGCAGCAUUUGUUUGCAGGGUAAGGCUACUUCAUAUCAUGUUAUGCUUUUUUUUAAAGGGUUUCUCUUCUUGUUUCUGGUUGAACUUUGUAUAUGUUUACUAGAGAAGAAGUUGUUUAAUAGAUUCUUUCUUUCAUUUAUCAAAGAUAUCACGUAAGUAACACAUUCUGCGGGGAUGACCACUUUUUGCUGAUACUUGUUUGGUCCCUUUUGUCCUAUAUGAAGGUUUGAUGAUAUCAGGGAUGGAACCAUUGGGGAAUGAGGGGAGCAAUGGCCCCCCAAGGCCCAAGCAAACCUUCUUAGACACCCCAUAUUUUGUCUCGUGUGGCCUCCCUAGCCUAAUACCAUGGGUCUCCACCAUUGCAUGAUAGCCUGCCAUGCAAAAACACCCACAUACUUGGUACUCUUGUUCUUCAUUUCAUAUAUAUCAUAUAAUUUUUAUUAUUAUUUUAAUUAGGACUACUUAACAUAUCUCUCCAUUUAAUAGAUUGUGGCAACCCAAUCUCCUAGCUUACCUGUUGGCUUACAACUUACUUUCUGUAAGAGGCCUUUGCCAACUGAAUCAACUGCCUUUUCACUCUUCAUUGGUAUGGAAAUGUAAUUAUAAAAAAAGGAUACAAGCUAAUCGACAGAUGAGCAUCAGUUUUUCAGUCUAGAAUCGGUAAAUGCAGUCGUAGUUCUCCAAUCUCACAGAUUGUGGAGCUGAGAUUGUAGCUGUUACUUGCCGACAUUGAUUUUUUCUUUAAAAAGUAAAAUAAAUAGUUGUCACAAUGACCAUAUCAGCCUUGUAAUAAAAGUAAAGAAAAAUAUUGUUUGCUCAAAUUAAUAUUUAUAGUAUAAAAUGUAUAUUGAAUAUACACAAUAUUAAUGUUUAAAUAACAAAAUAGGAUAUCUUUAAUGGGAUAUGGGGAUUUAAUUUUUAAUAUAAUAUUUUAGUCUGAUGCAUAGUGAAAAAAUGAUUGAAUGAGUGCUAUGGGAUUAUAAGGAAACAACAUCCAUCAUUGAAAUCCCCGGCAACACAAAACAUAUUGCCUAACAGGAGGCAAGAAAAUUGAUAUCAUAUCCAUUAUAACAUUAUUUGGACAGUCAAUUUUCAUUAGUUUCUUCAAGCAUACUAAAGAUCAAUAUUGUUAAAACUUAGUCUUGCAUGAUCAUUCAAAUAUAACAAUUUAGUUAGUACUUUGGCCCCCUAGUAACAAUUCCUGGUUCUGCGACUAGACAAUAUUUCUGUCCUCUGGGAAGAUUUGUCUUGUUACUGUUUCUUCUUGAACAAAUGAUGUUCAAUACGCUGUUUCUUUACACUAUUGACCAUUUUGUUGGCUUUUGUUUUGGUUUUUGAUGCCUGCCAAAGCUUGUGGCUUGACCUGCCAUGGCACAUAUCAAUAAACUACAAUUACACCAUGGUUCUCAAAGUAUAUUCCAGAUCAUUUCCACAUGGCACCAUUUUUGUAGUUUGCUUUGUGCUUACGUGAUUAUGUGGUUUCACCAGUCAUGAUCCAUGAUAAGCAUAUGACAGGGUUUGAAGGGCCUGUCUAACAGUUUGAUGACUGGGAUUUCUUAGAUAUUAUAUACCUCCAUGCAAUGUUUUGGCAUUGAUCUUUGUUUUUCCACUUUACAGGGUGGAGUUCAAAGAGUCCAUUUAGUAGAUGGUACUCUUGGUGGGGCCUUGCUUUUGGAAUUAUUUACAAGAGAUGGAGUAGGGACUAUGGUGGCUAGGUAUGUGACCAUCUGAACGAACUUUUUUUUAUUUUACAAAUCCACCGAUCUUAUAUCUGUAAUGUCUGUAAUGUGAUUCUUACAAAAAAUUGAAACUGACUAAUGACUUUUGUUGUCUUCUUAUGCUGGCUUUACUUUGAGCUUGCAUCAUUACAUUGCUCUAUCCGGCCAAGUAAAAUAUGUCUUACAUCCUUCUAGGCAUUGCUCUACCUUUUUCCCCUUUAUUCAAAGUGAUUUGUUGUGUGCUAUUCUCGUGACCUGGCUGAUUUGCCUUUUGGUUUUGUCCCAUUGUAUUGAAGCUCCAAUAAUUUGUAGAUUAUUAUCUCUCUUCUUUGUUCAGUCUUGAUCUAUAUGUCCACUAAAAUACUGGUAGACAUUUUUUUUCCACAUUUGAUUCAUGAGAGAGUUAUUCAUGUUUGCCGACACUAUUGUCAGUGUGGAAUAUCAGAAACUCAUCUGUUUAACUUUUGUAUUCUGAGGUUGAGGCAUCAUUAUGAUAUCCUUAUUGGUAUAUGCUGUAGGAACGGGUUCAUCUUUUUGUUAGACUGCUUUCUUUUGUUGGACUGCUUUCUUACAAAGUGCUAUUCAUCUCCUGAUGUGUACCUUUUUUGGCACAAGUGAAAUAGUUAGGCCACGAGGUAAUUUAGUUUGACUAUGUUGUAUGACUGAAUUGUUCUAUUGUGUCCAUAUUUUCUUUUUUAUUUUAAUUGCAUGGUUGCUUGGUAUGAUUUGGCACCUCUCUUAGUAAUUAUUUUCAUUCCUAUAGUGAUUUAUAUGAGGGAACUCGGAAUGCUACAGUGGUAGAUCUUCCUGGUAUAAGGCAGCUAAUUCAACCUAUGGAAGAAGCUGGUGCAUUGAUUCGAAGAACUGAUGAAGAGGUCUAUGUUGUCUCAUAUUCUAUGUUUUAUUAAUAAUUUCAAAUAUACUAUUUGCAAUUAUUUAUGUUAUCCUGAUUCCUUUUAGAUCAUGCAAUUUAUAUAAACAAUCCAAGUAUCAGAAUUGUUUUUCUCUAGUCAUACAUACAUACAUACAUGUAUGCAACAUUGCCUGAAUGAUUCUAACUUGAUAUUUCUUCUCAGCUUAUCAAAUCAUUGGAUUCAUUUAUCAUUGUGGAAAGAGAUGGUUCAAUUAUCGCCUGUGCAGCACUUUUCCCUUUCUUUGAGGAUAAAUGUGGUGAGGUUGCUGCUAUUGCUGUCUCCCCAGAAUGCCGCGGGCAUGGACAAGGAGACAAAUUGCUUGGUAAACUUUUUACUAUAUGCAAACUACUGGAGUCUCUUGUCUUGUUCCUGUUGAAUGCAAUUUCUUGAUUUAUUUGAGAAUGUAUAUACAUGCAAUCACGCAUCAGCUAGCAGAGUUAUCAAAGUAAAACUUACUAUCUUACAAAAUCCAGAAUGAACUUUUAGUUUUUCCUUUCUCUUCUCUCAUUGUGGAUGUUUUAUAUUACAAAAAAAUGAUGAGAAGCAUAAAGAAAAUUCCACUUUCUCAUUAAACAGGAGUGCAAUAUUUCUCCAUGGAACAUGUCUUUUUUCUGUAAGGUCUAAGCCUGAUUCAAUUUAUUAAACACAUGAAAGUUGCAGCAGUUAGCCUAGGCUGACCAAAGUAUGGGAGAAUAGAAAGCAGAGGAGCGAUUUGCCUCAUCUUUUUCUCUGACCAUUUACUUGUCCAACCUCUGGUGAUGACUUUGACUACAACUGCUUAUACCUGCCACUUACAUGCCCUCCAUAACCUCACUAUAACCUUUUUGUAAACAUUUCUUCCUUUACCAAGUUACCUACUCUGUUUCUCCAUCAUUAUUUUUUUCAUGAAACAUGAAUCUUUCUCCUCAGUAGAACUUUGGUUAAUUCCUAACCAAGAAACCUGCCUGACUUAUCUUUGAUAUAAAUUCGUUUUAGGAUAUUGCUGUUUGAAUUAUUUUUCCAAUGCCCUAUUUUUCACUAUGCCAGUCAGAUUAAUUACCAGACCUAUCCUUGUUUUUCCCAUGAUUUUUGAAACUUUUGAUAUUUUUUCCGAUCCUGUCGCACUGUUCUUUUACACCUUCUUCAAAGUUUUCUUUUCCAGAUUUUAUGGCAAUUUACUUGCCUUAUUACCUAAACUUAUUUAUUUAUUGAUUUCUAUUUGUAAAUGUUAGCCUAUCAAAGUAUUUAUUUGACAAUUUUAACUAUGCUUUUCAUGAUCUAAUCAACCUUCACUGAGAUUUUAAGUUCCUUGGUGCAAUAUCUGAAUGAUGUUCUUCGGCUUUUCCUCUUUGAUGAAAUUGUAAAUCCCCAAUUUACAAGUGAUUUUCCAUAUGUUGUGCCAUCAAAACCUAGCGUACGAGAAGUUUACAUGCUGAUGCGUGAGAGAUAUCUGCAAGCACUGUAUGCAUUAACAUCUUUGGAAAAACCACUGCUUUGUGACUGCUUUCUUGUUUUACUGUCAAUAAGAAGUAUUGAUCGAUAUCAAACACAUAGAUGCUAUCACUCUGAAUUAAUUUUGUUAAAUUUUGUUUUUUUUAUCUUUAUAAUUCUGUUUGAUAUCAGCAAUACACUUCAUUUAUGGAUAAUUCGUUAUCAUUCAUCAGCAUUCAUAAAUGUACAUGCACAUGUUAUUUGUGUUUAAGUACAAGGUUUUGUUUUUCGAUACAGAUUAUAUUGAGAAGAAGGCAUCAUCCAUUGGACUAGAGAGACUUUUUCUGCUUACAACACGUGCUGCAGAUUGGUAUAUUACUUGUACCUGCCAUGUUGAAUUCCUAAACAGCUGUGCUAGCUUUCAUUACUGAUAAUGGUUGCCUGAAACCACUGACAAAUAAACUCUUUUGCAGUUUGUUUCCUGCUGUUUCUUUUUGUUGUCUUGCAAUGAAUGUAUGUGUAUAAUAAGCUAUCCUCUUCAUAUAUACAAUAGUUAAGCCAGUGCAGUGACUUCUUGGUGCUCCUCUUUAAGAGCAUUUGGAAAACAAACAAUUUGGCUAUCUAGGUGAUCUCUGUUGUUUGUUUUCAUUCUCGAGUUUGAUUCAAGAAAAUUAGAAUUUUAGUAAUUUGUGGUAUUAUUUUAUGUUGAAUUCUGCAGUAUAUUUUUAGGAUUUAAAUAUAAAGAACAAUGUUGGAAUGCAUACCGCAUCAUUUGAAGAACUAGAGUUUUUGGUUAUAUUUUCCUGUAAUGACCAAAAUAAUAAAAAAAUAAUGUAUUCCAUGGUAAUCAAAAACAGUAAAGAAACAAUGGAUCAUGUACCAGUGUUGCAUAACAUAUGGCAGCCGAGCAGUUGAUUUUAUGAUCUUAUCAGUAUAAUUUGAUAGCAGUAUUCAUAUGAUGCAGGUUUGUGAGACGUGGCUUCUUGGAAUGUUCUAUUGAAUCCAUUCCGGAGGAGAGGAGGAAAAAAAUCAAUAUCUCACGUGGCUCAAAAUAUUAUAUGAAAAAGUUACAUCCAGAGCUAGGUGGAAUCACUGUCAGCAGCGCUGCCUUCAGAUAUUAGUGAACGGUGUAUAUCUUCAGCAGCGCUUCCUUCAGAUAUUAGCGAACAGUGUAUAUCUUCCUGCUGAUUCACCUUUACAUGGUGCAUCUUAGCCAUUUGUGACUAGGGCAUUCUUUAGUGGGUAGCUAAAUGCAUCCGGCGGAUGGUUGAACAAGCAAGCACAGAAGAUAGGAAGAGAUUUGCGGGAGAUGUACUCUUUCCAAUCGAUGAGAUGUAGAAUCUCUUUUUCUAAGAUACCUGUUGGCAUCUGUACUGAGCAGGAAUUAGGACCUCAUUUCUACUAUUUUAGAAAAAAGAAUAUGUGAGAGAAUUUUGUGGUUGAAGUAAAUUAUUUGAUUAUUCGAUCAACUAACGUAUAUGCAUGUUUUGUCAAAAUGGCCGUUGAAGGUGCGUGGUUUUGCUUUUGCAUUUGCAUACUCCGCCUGUGCUUAAUUUGGAUGCCACUUAGUACUGAUCGAAUGGUUAAUGCCAAGUUACAAGGUCACUUGUACUCUCUUUUGUAUACAAAUUGGGGUCGGCCUUUGGUCUCACUAAUUUUUUUUUAUCUUCUGAUAGUGAUCUGUUUUGAAAUGUCCUCCUCUGUGCCGCAUGAAACUUUCAGGCUUCAGGUCCGGCCCAAUGUCGGACCCAACGGGAGAGGAUCCGAACUUCGGUGUCAUUUCAUGCCCACCCGGACAUCGCAGGUAGUGUGUACCGACGUGUUAUAGGGUUUUGUCUACGUCAAAGUGCUUCUCAUAAAUCUGAACUAGUUCCCUCAGUCCAUGCGCCGGGACUAAUUCAAAUCUAAUAGAAGAAUUAAUGUUAAUAAAUAUGUACUCACUAAUGCUAGCGGAAAAAAUUGUAUUUACUCGUAAUGCUUCUGUUAAAUUUGAAUUCGUCCCGGCAUUUAAAUUGACCGGCCUGGCUUAGUUAAAAUAAUAACGGCAUAAGAUAGAGGUCUCUGGAGUAUGUAACAAUUAUACCAUACAUCAUAUGGUACUGUUAAACGAACUAGUCCAGGCACUUCAACCGUGGGGACCAUAUCAAGUUCAGUGGAUCCAUAGUUGCAUAUAACCCCUAGAGAAAAAAUGAAUAUUUAGUGAGGGAAUAGUGAGGGAAAUGCCUUGAGAUUAGUGCGCGGGGGGGGGGGGGGCAAUCGGUCGAAUAGGUGUGGGGUGUGUGCCAUGGCUGAGCCUGGAGCUGGGCAGCCGGAGGCGCCGGUGCGGGGGACGACUGGAGGGGCAAAUCCCACUGCUUCUAAGGCUACNNNNNNNNNNNNNNNNNNNNAGGAGGAGAGAGAGAGAGAGAGAGAGAGAGAGAGAGAUUGGUUCCAGAUUCUUAGCAGACGAGUGUGGAGGUGGAAACCUUAUAGCUGAUUUAGGAACUAGUUGUAGCUUUUUUUGACUCAAGAAACAAGAAAAAUCUACAUCACUUCAUAGUCAAGGUUUAAGUAUGAACUCAGUAACAGCAAAUCGCAAACUUAUGAGGGAAGCAAGGAGAUGCUUAGUUCUAGAAUCGAGCCUCGGAGCUACAACUGCAAGAGCCACAUCUAAGAAGCUAAACCAGACAGCAUUCAGCAAUUGCCAAGGCUUACGGAAUCCUGAUGGUUAAUUCUUCACUUCCAAGUACAUGUGAUUUUUCUGAAUAAGACACCCAGGAAAAGUUCAUAAGCCCCCCUGCCAGGUUCAUAAUGACUUAAAGGAAUAGCAGAAGAGCUGCCGAUUGUGGAAGGAAAAAGAAAAACAUUGCCUUCUCCUACAUGUGAUGUUUCAGAACAAGACUCCGAGGAAAACUGCUCAAGCCCCGGUCAUGUUCAUUAUGUCUCCAGGGAAUGGCAGCAGAUCUUCCAUCAAUUUGUUUAUGUUAAAGUAGGCACUCUCGGCACAAAGCAUUCCCUAGCUGGUACCCAAGUAUUCAUCUAUUCGACUUGCAAACAUCUGACAGAUAAGGCAAUAGAUAUCCCAGAGUCAACUUGCAAAUCGCUCUUCAGCUGCGACAGGGCAAACUAUGAUGUAAAACAACAGCGUCUACAGCGUCUUAUUUCAUCCAGACGAGCACCAUUCCUUCAGCUUUUUCUUUGUCAGCAGUGACUGUUAAUGCAGUUCAGAACCAGCGGUAAGUGGCUUAUGUUUCCUUCUGGCAAAGAUGUGAAUCGAAUUGCACUAUCAAAGAAGAUGUGAAAGACAAGUAGAUAUCAUAAUAUAGUAUAAAAACUGAUUGGGUCAAAAGACAAGGACCAAGCAACUAGUAUGUACAAGAUGGAAGGACCCACAUUAUGCCAUCCACAAAGAACAAAGCCUGAACACAACCUGAAUCAAGUGUCAUUGCAUACCAGCAUAAUAGGUACAUCAAAAGCAAUAACACGUCAAACUAUUCUAUCAUCAGGUCUAGAGCCUUCAAAAUCCUGCUGUUUAGUUCCAAAUAAAACCUUUUGAUAUACGAAGUGUGGAGUCAGAUACUAAUAAUUUCAACCAAACAAACUUUCAUUGCCAAAAGUCAUUCCACCAAGCAAAUGAUAGACAGCUCAUCUUUGUGUUUGUAUAAGCAAAGUUUGUUCUUGCAUGUUGCAAGAAGGACCUCCAUAUAGUCUUCUUGUUGUUGCCAUUGAUGUGAUGAUAUAAGGCCAACAGUCAAUGUUCAAAAAUCUUGCUAGCCUCCUACAUUCUUUCCUUCUCUUUCGCUGGAUCCCCUCCUUUGCCUCAUUAACUUACUACAGAAUCCACUUUCAUCAAAUUAAAUUCCUAUAGAUUAUAGUAACUCCCCUUUUUAACUCAGUUAUACCAUUUUUUGCACCACCUACUCAUUUACCCACCUCAAAUGGAGAUCCCUAUACAUAAGGCUACCAGAAAUUUGUGAUUUUAAAGUUGUAAGAAAAAGCUUAGAAAAGGCCAGAGGUUAUAUAGUUUAUUAAAUUUUAAUCUGUGAUACUUCUUUUAUGGGGUUAAUACAAGGUUUUCUAUGCCUAUCUAAAACUGUGGCAGCAUUCCUGUAUUAUAGGCAAAAACAAGACCUGUAGUACCAUUAAUGUUACUGAAAUCUAGCUCUUAUGUGACCCCUGGAAUGUUGUAAACCUCAGGAGUACCCAUUCCUGUACUAACAGAUAGAUCAUGUAAGUUACAGAGAACUAUUUUUUCCUAUAGUCAUUUCUGUGGCUUGCAGUAAUUAUAUGAAAGAAAUUAAUGGCAAAAAAGGGAAGAAAACAGUAUUAAAGGAGCCAAAAGAAUGCUGAAAAGAAUAUAUGGUGUUUCCUGUAAUAAUAAACCAAUCAUGCAAUCAAAGAGCAUUGAUUCGCCAACAGUUAUUUCUUUUUGCUGUCACUAUCAGUAGUAUCAAGAAGAAUAUUAUUUGAAAAGGAAUUGCCAGAGAAAUGCUUGAAUGAAUAUAGAGGGUCCUGUUGACAGGCUGAUGCAGCAAGCUUAACUUGAGUUGCCGGAAGUAAAUUCCGCAGUCUGUUCUACUACAAAUAGAGAUAUUCCAACAUCAAAGAAUAAGCAAGUAGCUGCAGGAGAAAAUAGAUGAGCAGAAAUGGCAUGUUCACUCCCACUGGAAAGGUAUCAUGUUCUAGUUCCAAGCUUAUUGUCAACGAAUCUAUAGAGCAAAACAUCUCUUGGUUCUUAAGGUAUGUAAUCCAAACAUGCAUAAUUUAUUCUGUUUCACUAUUCCUAUACAAUAAAAGUUUGUAAUAUGUUCUCCUAUUGAUUUAAUUUUGCAUGACAAUUGCCCUCCAAACCAUGUAACUUCCUCGAGUUGAUUGGGUAACGCAUCCACUAUAAAUCAGAAAAUUCCCAAAUUUCAGUGAGUUGCAAAAUUUGAGAAGAUCCUGACUCAAUAGUCAGAAGUUCAACUGCUAAAUCAAAUGAUUAUUUUUUGCAGCACUGGCAGAUGCUCCUUAGCUUUCACCCAGGGGGGAAAGGGAAAUAAUUUGAAAUCUUCUAUAUGCUUGAUUAUAUAAUCAGAAAAUUAACAGGUCAGCUAUUAUCUAUUCUUAGACUGACUUAAUUCCAGUCUGUGAUUUGUUUCUCCAUAUUUGUACAUGAAUGCACCGAAAUGGUCAGUUGUCAUAAAUAACAAGUUGUUCUCUUCCAACAAAAUCACCAGUAGUCCUUACAUGAGCAUAUACCAUCCUCAAAAUGAUGAAAACGAGUAGAAUCUCUGACAAUUAUCUUACGGUUAGUGAUCUUUGAGACUAGUUUUGUGACCGUGUGGCAAUCUCCACAAACGCGGAGGUUUUUUAUUAUUUGGAUUGUCAUCCCUGGUUCUGUGCUCAAAAGAGCAAAGGAUAUGGCUAGUCUCUCACUAUGGCCAUGUAGGAAGGAUAAUUUCUCCUCUUCCUCCACAUUAUGAAGCACUGAACUUGUGUCUGCGACAUAACCCAUAUUCUCCAUCUUUUCAAGCAAGCCAUUCCACAGAUUACACAUGCUUUUGUAUUGUGGGUGGGAUUGGUCACCAACUCUAAAUGCGUGAAUGGCAUUAUUUAUCUCAACCCAACUACAACCAGGUGUCUUGUUCAGACCUGUCUGAUUCAUUGCUACUCUCACCUUUCUAGCAUCAGCCCAUCUUCCUGCCUGAGCAUAUAUAUUAGCCAGAACAACAUAAUGUGCAGCAUUCUUCGGCUCUAGUCUAACUAAGCGGUCUACUGCCAUUUCUCCCAUCCAUACAUUAGAAUGCAGUCUGCAAGCACCCAAUAGAGCUCCCCAAAUACCAGCAUCAGGAGUCAUUGGCAUUCUUUGAAUCAAACCCCAAGCUUCAUCCAAUCGACCAGCACGACCUAGCAAAUCUACCAUGCAGGCAUAGUGUUCCAGGUUAGGCUCCACCUCGUAUUCAGAUUUCAUGGAUUCAAAAAUCUUUCUACCUUCUGCUAUUAAACCCCCAUGCCUGCAAGCAGACAAGGUGCUAAUAAAGGAUACUGAAUCAGCUUUGAUGUAAUUGUCUUUCAUCAGUGAAAACAACGAGAUGGCAUUUUCACCAAGCCCAUGUAUGGCAUAUCCAGCAAGCAUCACAUUCCAUGUUACUGUAUCUCUAUUGUCCAUUUGAUUGAAGAAGUCACGAGCAUAAUCAAGCCUUCCACAUUUCGAGUACAUGUCAAUUAGACUGUUUGCCACAAGCACAUGAGAUUCAAACCCUAUCCUGAUCACAUAUGAAUGGAGAGCCAUGCCUUCUCUUAAAGAAGCCAAGUAUGAAGCUGCUGGAAUUACACUCAUGAGAGUAACGAAAUUGGGCUUAAGAUUCUCAGCUCUCAUUAGGUGGAAAGUAGCUAUUGCUUCACUAGCAAGCCCAUUGUGCAUGUAUCCUGCUAUCAUGGUAUUCCACGAUAUCACAUCAUUAUAUAAUUUGGUCUCAAAGAAUAAGAUCCUGGCAGAAUAAAUAUCCCCAAACUUGGCAUACAUAUCAAUAAUUGCAUUUUUCACAUGAAGAUCUGAAUCAAACCCAUUCCUGAUAACCAGUCCAUGUAUGCAAGCACCUUCAUCUUGGCAUCUUAAGAGAGCACAAGCUGGAAGCACACCAACUAUGGUUCCAGGGUCCGGUUGCUGUCCGAAUGAUCGUAAUUGAUAAAACAUCUGCAAAGCCUUACAUGCUUCCCCCAUCUGUGCAUAUCCAUUGAUCAAUGCAUUCCAAGUGACAACAUCUUUGUGAUCUAAGCCAUCAAACAGAAUAUGUGCUGAGCUAAAAGAUCCACACUGAGCAUACAUUGCUACCAGGGCAGUUGCCAUUGUAACAUCUAGACUAAUCUUUGAUUUUAAGGCAUAGCAAUGCAUGCUUCUUCCCAACUUCAGAUUUAACAAAUCAGCACAAGCUGGAAGUAGACUGACAAGAGUCACAGAAUUAGGUGUAAUGCCUGCUAGUAGCAUCUCUCGAAAAAGGUUCACUGCUUCUUUGGGAUGGCCUGUUUGAACAAAUGCUGAGAUCAUUGCAGACCAAGAAACAAUAUCUUUUUCUUGAAUACCAUCAAACAAUGAUUUUGCCAUCUCUACGUCCCCACACCUAGCGUACAUUGUCACAAGCAUUGUGUUGACUGCAAUAUCCAAAUCUGAUUCUUUGUUUAUUGCAUAGUUGUGAAUUUCAAUCCCCCUCCCUAGGUCUCCUAUCUCAGCUGCAGCUGAAAGAGCACUCACCACCGACACCUGGUUCAACUUCAGGUUCUCUCUUGUCAGUUCAUCAAAAAGCUCCAAAGCCUCCAGAAAACACCCAUUGUGGACAUAACCAGAGAUCAUGGUCCCCCAUGAAACAUCAUCUUUAGAACUCGACAUCCCAUCAAAAACCUUACGAGCAAUGUCAGUCCUCCCACAUUUGCAGUAAGCAUCAAUCAACCCAUUAAAAACGGCAGGCAAAAGAUGCUUCCUAAUGACAAAACCGUGAACAGCCCUGCAAAGCAAAAGAGCAGACAGUUCACAAAUAGCCGGAAACAAGUUAAGAACGGUAACUGAAUUGGGGACUUCACCGACCAACUGCAUCUUCCGGAAAAAUGCUAAUGCUUCAUGAGGAUCACCGAUCUGAGACAGCCCAGCAAUCAUGGCAUUCCACGAGACAACAUCCAACACCUGCAUUGACUCAAACACCUCGCGUGCAGUAUCGAUCAUGCCCAGUUUAGAGUACAUGUCAACAAGGCUAGUCCCAAUAAAGACAUCCUUUCGUAAUCCUCUGCUGACUAUCUCGCGGUGAACCAAAAUGCCAGUAUCCGAGUCGAGCGCCCCGGUGCAGGCCUUCAAAAGAAAGGUGAAGGUGUACUUGUCGGCUUCGAUACCUCGUCCCACCAUGUCAUUGUAGAACUGAAUUGCCUUGUUAUGCUCCCCCGUUCUGGUGUAGCAUCUGAUCAUGGAGUUCCACAGCAUGACGGUGGAGUAGGGAGAGGAUUUGAAGACGGAGAGAGCGGAGACGGAUUGGUGGAAGGUUGAGUAGGAAUUGAGAAGCAGGGCGCGGAUGGAGUCGUCGGAUGCGGCUCCGAGGACCACGAGGCGAGCGUGGAUUUGGAGGAGGGAGCGGAGAUCUUUGCACGAACGGAGGAGGUGACGAUAGUCCAAGUAAUGAGUGGGGUUGGUGGAGAACGGCGUGGGGGUCCGGGCGGAUGCCGCUGCCGCCAGGGAGCUGAAGGGACGAAGGCGGCAGCACGCGGGCAUGCUCGAUUUGGAUUUUUCUUUCUCAAUUUGUUUUUAAGAAUUAGGAGGAGAGGAAGCCUCAUAGAAAAUCAACUUAAAUGCCGAAUUCAUUCAUUUUCUAAUCAAGACAACCUGCCACAGAGUACAUUCGAAGAAAGUCGCGAGGAUAAUGGCUGGAGUCGUCGCUACCGCGUCGAGUGGGCCCCGCCCAGGCCAAAGCUUCUUAGCCGCGAAGAAAGCGAAAAUAGCCUUUGGGAUGUCCGACUUUACGAAUCAAGUCACCGGCUCGGCAUUUUGGCAUGUACUAUGUGGGCCCACGCUUUCCAACGGCGAUCAAACGCCGCACGGUGUAUAAACAGCGCAAUGGUCAUAGGACUCGUUACCCGUUCCCCCUUGGAGGAAAAAAAAAGGCAAUCGGUGGUCCGCUAUGGAGCAGCCACUGGUCUCUGGUACUGUACAUCCUCCGCUUUCUCUUUCUCUCUCUCUUCGUCUCUGAUAUUCCAAUUUCCACUGACUACUAACGAGCUGUUCCGCUUUCUAAUUGAUCCGGUGAUCAGAAGUGGAAGCGGGAGAGAAAGGCGAGGAGGAGUGGAGGGCCUACCAGUACGUGGGUAGGAGCGCGUCGGUGCACGUAGGACGAGGUGAGGAGGUGAGCGUGGAGGAGAUCCGAUCCGCCUCCGCCUUCUCUGAUCCCUACUAUCCUCCUUCCAUCCACGCCGCCCUCGUCAGCUCCCCCGAGCCUGAUCAUCCCCAAGGUACAGCAAUCUCAUCAUCUCUUCCUUAGCACCAGAUGGAUAGAUAGAUUGAUAAUAAAAAAAAUUGUGAGAAUUUUAGGCUUUUUUUUCUGGAUUACUUCCCUAAUUUGGACAAUGAUGCUACCUGUGCAAAUCGGAGCAAUUAAUUUGAUCUGAAGUUUUUGGCGAGAUUAGGUCCAAGGAGACGCACUUGAUUUGUUUCUCACGUGCGGAGCAGGAAUUGAACCAACUUGGAUUCUUUAAUGAAAAAUGGGAAGAGAUCUAUAAAUUCGGCAAUACUGCAAACGCUACAUAAAGUCGAAUCUUCUUUAGGGAAAAAGAGAAUACCACAUAUUAACUGAACUAGGCGGGUAUUUCAAAAAAGGAAAAACAAAAUUCGGUUCAAACUGAUGCCCAUGAGAUCGCCAAUGAGCUGUUAUAUUGAGCCUGGUUUUAGGCUACUUUUGAUCAAAUAUAUUGAACCGCAAGCAGGCUGAAACAAGUUACGAAGUUCCAAUUUUAAUCAUGCAACAAACUGAACUUUAUCGAGUUUGAUGAUAAGUAGCAAUCAUUUAUAUGCUAUUUGCCCUUCAAGAUCCAGAAACCAGAAUGUGUAGACAAGCAAAUAGUUGCAUGAAUAACUAAACUAUUCUUGGCCAUCAGCUGUGGCAUUUUCAGAGUUAAAGAAGCUGCAAAAAGCUGAUGAAGGAGAUUUUAGACUAGGUAUUUCUCCAAUUAUAUCAUCCUAAUCAGCUGGCAUUUAUUGGGCCAUUUCUGAAACUGAACGAUAUCAUUGUAUGGAGUGUCUGCUUUCAGUGUUGGGCUUGUAGCUUUGUAAGACAAAAACAUAAGGCCUGCGUAGCGUCGCUUCUUCUUCUUCUUCUUCUUCUUAUUUCUGUUUUAAAAGGACAAAAAAAAAAAAGAAGACCAAAAGAAUGUUUCGUACUUCUAUUUUCAUUUUCCAUUUUUGAAAAUAUUCUUUAAAUUUCUCAAGAAAAAAGAAGUGAAAGCAAGAAGAUCUUUCUUUCAAUUUUCUACAAACUGAGAACUCGAGCUUUUCAAGAAAACCCCCUUCCCCCCUCGAUACCAUUUUCACUGGUGCCACCGUUGUUGCUGCUUCUACCACUGCCGCUGCUGCCACCACUGCAAAAGGUUGUGCAGUGGCCGGUUUUUGUGUAUAUGAGUGUGUUUAAAGAAAUAAAAUUGGUUACCUACACCACACAUGUUUAUGUCUUCUCAUUUUUUUUUAAAAAGGAAAAAAUUCUGUUUUCUGUUUGCAGAAUAUGAAAGAGAAAAUAAUGCCAAAUGCAAUCUUGAUUGUAAUUCAUUCUAUAGUUGUUUUUCACCAUUGUUCCAGCACACAUUUAGAAUAUUAAUUAGCUCACAUGUGCCGAAAAUGUGAAUGGAAAUUUUGUACUCCUUGGAUCAUGUUAUGUGCCAUUUGGUUUGCCACUCAUGAGUUCUGCACCCAAGAACUUCGAAGAAGCUGGUGGUCAUAUGAUUCUUACAAUGUGAUGACAUUGUGUAAGGUUUUGUUAGCUUUUGCUGGACAUAAUAGAUGAAUGUCAUAGGGGACAGUGGUCAUGUUAUGAUAUUGUUUUAUUGUUAUGUUCACUGUUAUCAUCAUUGUCACUUGUCCAAUAUUUUGCCUUUGGUACCACUUAUUACAGAUCAAGCAGUUGUUUAUCAAGGAGGGUAUGGUGGAUACCCUACUGGAUACACUUCAAAGGAAUAUGGAAGGUGAGUCUCGGCAAGAUGGUAUUGCUUUUUCUAUUUUAAUACACAUUCUACUGCCCUUUUAAUCAUUGAUUCUUUGUUAUUGUCAUAUUUGUCCAUCCUGGUCUUGUAAUUGAUGAAGAGGAUCUCCAUCCAUGUUGAGUUUUCCUGCCAGUGAUGCUGUUAUGUUAUUUGGUUCCAUAGUGUUUAUUUUGAUGGGCCUUCAGAAAUUUAUCCUCCUCCUCCUCUCUCUCUCUCUCNNNNNNNNNNNNNNNNNNNNNNNNNNNNNNNNNNNNNNNNNUCACUCACGCUCUGCGGGUGGCGGAGGGGUUAAUAAAGCAUUGCAUGCCAAGGGUGUCAAUAGCUGACUAUUUUCCACUACAAGAAUAGGUUUAGAGAACUUCUGCCUUUCCGGUGCUUGCUCAUCUCUAUCUGUCCUCACAGAUAGCAGAUAAUUGAAGCAAAGACCAUCUAUUUGUGAUUUAUAUUCCAUCUGCAGGUGCUAGUUUAACAUGAGGUUCUUAUGGUGUAUUGUAAUUUCACUGAAAAUUUACUGUUCUCUUGUUGAAGCUGUGCUUUGCAUUCUAAUCAGAUCACACAUCUGAAGUUUUACACCCUGACUUGUACACCAUAUGUUGCUAAAAUAAUUGAUAUGGUAAAAGGUUUUUGCCUUUACACUCUUUAGCAAUUUUACUUACGUCUUUUAGUUUCAUAAAAUCGUUUUUCUUGAAUUUUCCAAAAAUAAUAUUCUCAUAUGAUGCAUAAAAUAAUAUCUUAUAGGGAAAUUUUGGAUGAGGUGGAAAUUCGGCAGUUACUUAUGGAUCACGUUGGGCAUCGUUGUUGCUGGGGAAGUCGACCCGCCCGGAGAUGGAAAAUUUGUGCCAUCGAAGACUGCAAUGUGUAUAUGGGGACUCUAGAAACUUUCAUGGAAGAGAGAGAAAUUAUAAGAGAAACAGAGCCAUACCUGGGUGGGAAAAUUGAUGGCAAAGAUAGGGGGCCAGAACUUGGCAUAUGGGAAUUGGAUCUUAGGUCCGAAUUUCCACUUCUCUUUGUGUCACACAAAGAAACAAAAGUUAAGAUUCCUCAUUCUGAAGCUAUCGAGAAAUGCUCGGGUAAGAAUCCAUGAACUGAUACUUCAGAUCAUAGCAUAUACUCUGAAAGCUUUGUUGUAAAAAUUCAUUGGCUUCGCCAGUUUCUGCAUAAGUUUUACAGUUCAAGGUAUACUCUUCAUAUUCGUGACUAAUUGGGUUGACAUCAUUUCUGGGAAAUGGCAACAUUAUUUUGAAAUUUUCUUAACCAUCAAUUUUUUUAUUAUUAACUGUUAAAGCUGACAUUUGGGAGGAGGAAUAUGCCAGCCUUUUAUAUAACGAAGUAUAUACAGAAACAAGUACUCCUUUUCCUUUAGUUUGCAGCUGUCUUUUUGACUGCUACGCAACCAUAUCUACCUGUCUGAAACCAAGUCCUCCAAGGUGAAAGUAUAUUCAAGUUAUUUCAUCCAACUCUUCUUUGAUCUUACAAUCUUCUUUUUUACCCCUCAACUGCUAUGCAAGAUNNNNNNNNNNNNNNNUCCCCUCUCUCUCUCUCGUAAAUCGAUGCCACCUUAUAGGCUCUAAGAUCCUUUUAUAUGCUGAGACUUACUCCUGUUUAUCCUUUUCUACCAGACUUCCACCCCACAAUCCUCAUAUUUUUGCUAUUUUCAUCUUGUCCUUGUGGGCUAGAUGUAACUUUUCUAAAUGGAACAAAACGUAACUGCUUUUUGGAACAAAAGGGCAUGAACGAGAUGCAACAUAGUUGACGAUAUCCUUUACUAGUAAUAUGUUUAAUAUACGACAUAAGAUAAUAUAUCCUAGUGGACUGCUGCUUGCGUUAUGCUAGUCAUCUUAGUGUUGAGUGGUGCUGAUUAUGAGUUAUGACUGAUAGGGUAAGAGUAUCACAUUCUUAUAUUUCUAGCUACUUAAUGUUACUUUUAUGUGGUGUGCAUUCAUUUUUGAAUAUACGUCUUAAGUACUUAAUGAUAACCCUAUUUGGUAAAUUCCCUGACAUGUAAAACUAUUAUGAUCUUAUUCUCAAAUAUUUUUUGCAUUGAGUUUUUUUCCCUUUUUGUUUUAACCCUAUCAUCCAUGUUUAUCAGACUGAGUAUAGCAUUUAAUAAUUUUAAUUUCUUAUUUUUAGCGUAAGUGCUCUUUAAGGGGCAGGACAUAUGAUUUCAGGUUAAGUGACAUGUAUCCUAAAACUGAUAUGUCAAAUACAUGGCAUGGUACAUUAUAUUUAUGACAAUUAAAUACAAAAUCAUCAUAUAUUUCUAUUAUUCAAGUUUGAAAACUUAUGAGGACAUGGUGGCUUAUGUCCAUGAUCAAAAUAUCAACCUAAGAAAAACUCAAAUGGGAGAAGAGAAGAGAAGAAAAUAUCAACCUAAGAUCAAAAUCCUGAGGCAUGCCAGAUCUGAAUUUGGGCAUUCAAUAUUCUGAAUUCCUUUUUUUUACUGAAAUCACUUACAUUGUGUUGAUCCCUUCAUUACUCUCCCUAGAUGCCCAAAACAAAUAUUUUUUAAAAAAAACUUAAAAUGGGCUAAAUUUUAGGAGUCUGGUUAAGGAUUGGCAUGUCUUAUUUGAAACAAAGUGUAAAGAGUGAUUCCUUCCUUUUUUGUACAGUUUAGACUUGAUGUUCUGUUCACCCAAUAAAAAACAGUUUUUAUAUUCUUUUUUACAAUUUUGACAUCUUUCUGUAACUGUAAAAUAUUGAAACACUUAUCAAAUUGUGGAAAACUGACAGGUUGUGAUAGUCGAGGUGAGAUAGCCUGCCCAACAUGCAAUGCUGGCCAAGAACGUGGAUGUUACAAGGAAAAUCAGAUGACUCAAUGCCCUGCCUGUUAUGGGAGGGGUUUAAUUGCUCAUCGAGAUGGAUCUGAUACAGUGUAAGCUUACUUUUCAAACAUUCUGAGAAAAGGGCCUAUGUUUCAGCAGGUGUCAUAUAGAUGUUUGAUUUUCUUGAAUCUAUCUGCAGAUGCACAAACUGCAACGGUAAGGGGAUGCUACCUUGUGCAACUUGUGGAUCACGCGGGCUCGUAAAAUGUCAGACAUGCAGCGGACAAGGUUCCCUCCUCGCACGCAGCAUUGCUCUUGUUAAAUGGUAUGUGUGCUACAUUAUGAUGCCAAAAUUGUUGUACCAUGUGAAUGGUAAUACUUGAACUAUAUUUUCUUAACCGGUGUACUCCUAGAUAUGUGAAUGCAUUAGCAAUGCUACUGCAUCUUGGUUGAAUUGUUCCUAUAAAGACUGCAACUCUGCACUGGAUUGUUCUCUCUAUUUGCUUAUCAUCUCUGUGUGUGUGUGUGGGUGUGUGUGUUCGUGCCUAGUAGGUAGCUUAGUAGUGUCAUUACGUAAUAGAUAUUAGGGAGCCUAUGACUUGGUAGAGCAACCUGUGACUCUCGUAUAGUGCACCUUGCUGGCGAGCAUCCAAGGUAUUGUUUGUUUGAUGCAUUUAGCUUUAACCUGCAUGUUAUAUUGCUAAAAAUAUAAUAAUGUUGCUGAAAUAUGCAAGACAUCAUGUUCUGAUGUUUUCUUAUGAUAGAUUUGGUUAUAUUUACAAAAUAUAACAUGAGAACAGUUCAGAUUCAUGCUUCUGUGGAAGGAUUCGUACUGUUCCUAGGAGACAUUCAUCUCUUCUUGCAACCUAGUCAUGAGCCAUUGGCCAUCAAUGAUUUAGUUUGGGACUGAUAGAGAUUCAUUGAUCUGAACAGCCGCGGUGGACCUUCUUGUGACAUUAUGCCUAAAAAAAUAUUGAUAGGCAGCUACAAGAACUAUGUCAUGUCCUACUGCUGUAAAUUUCUAGCAAGUGGGUUGGUACUAAUAUUGUCAGAUGAUACCGUAUGGAACAAAAGUUUAUUGGAUGUUGAUAUCAUACAUGGUCUCUGCACAUACUUAUCUCUUGCAUGAAUGACCAGAAGCAUCUCAUCUUGUGUGCUUGCCCACACGCAUAUAUACUCAUUCUUGCAAGCAGUCGACCACAUUUAAGGAGGAACAAGUGCCUGGAGAUAUGUAUAUCUAUAUGUGCUUAUGCAUUAAUACGAAAGCAACUGAAGAGCCAAUUUUGUCAUUUACUUUUGGUUCUAUAUGCAGGAGGACCCUUUCAAACCGAAAAGUUAGUGCUGCCAGUGGUGCUGCCUCGGUUCCUGAUGAGGUGUUCCACGGAGCCAGAGGUGUCCAGCUGUGCAACAUACAGGCAUACCAAUGCACGCCUGCCUUCUUUGCUGACUCUUAUCUCCUGAAUAGGUUCUCUUCAGAAGUUAUUGCCGGACGGUCUCCUGUUCCCCCUUCUGCUAGGGUCAUUUGUGAGAGGCACAUGAUCUCUGUUGUCCCUGUCACACGUGUGACGAUGGCUCAUCGCAACCGAUCUUUCAGUUUUUAUAUCAUUGGGUACAGCAGAGAGGUUUAUAUAAGGGACUAUCCUGGGAAGCUUUGUUGGGGUCUCUGUUGUUGCUUGGAGUGGUUGAAGAUAUGAGAGAGCUUCAUCGAUAUGGAAAAAUGAGAGAACGAUGGCAUACUCUUUCACACUGUAUCCCCGUCCUAUGGGUCAAGGUAAUGUGCUGAGUGUAAUUGUUGUUGUUUGUACCUUCUUGUGCCUUAUGAAUCAAAUAAAUGCCCUGUCGUGUGCUAGGUAUAUUGGCUUUUGCAUGGUAGCUUCGAAGUUCCGAGUUUUAUUUUUUCUUGUGUUAGGUAAUUGCUGUUGAGUGUAUUGCCCAUGACCGGCAUCCAUCCACUCCCACCAUCCGCCCUCCGACUCCUACUAAACCUCAUAAUUCCGACCAUCUUAGGUUGUUCAAAGUUGUUUCAAGUCCAAAUCGAUCCGACCGAUGAAAGAAAUCGGAGAGAUCACACAUGACCGUCCUCAUCCUUGAUGCACGCCCAUGCGACGUUUUAUGGUGACAAUAAGGAAGAAGGGAUUGAUGCUUUAUUGAAAAAUACAAGAAGGAAUGAUGGCAUCGUUUUUUUUCUCUUGAAGAUCUUGUUAUACGAUUGCCCUCCUUUAAUUUGUCGAGGUAUCAUCACUCCCCACCCAACCAGGAAGCAGAGGUUGAAGAUGCUAAAAACAGAAGCUAUGGGAAACGUGGAUUAAGGAGCAGAAUCCCGUGAAUACUUCGCAGAAUAGAAGGAAUCAGACGUUACAAUCAGCCACUCGAUGAAUUCAUCAAAUGACCAGCAGUUCAAUCAUCGCAAAAGAUCUGCACUCUAGAGAUCAAAUCACGGUAGACAUACAAUUCAAACGGUUCGAUGAACAAAACAGAACACUUUACUAUCAAUCAAGAAAAAAAAAGUGGCAUCCAUUCACGUUCAAAAUUUACAUAGGUUGCAACUGACAUUCCAGAAAGACAAAACCCACCACGAAGCACGACACAGCAGGGGGACGUAGGUGCUAAGGUGGAAGACCCUUCAGCCUGUUCACACUAAUAACAACAAACGACCAGUCACACUUAACUGAGGACUGAAGACAAACAGGACGCCGGCACUAGACCUUUUUCCUUCAAAAGGACCGUCAGCCGGAGAUCUCGAUGGAUUUCACCUCCGACUUCUUGGCCUCCUCCUUGGGAACGGUCACCGUGAGCACUCCGUUCUCCACGGCCGCCUUCACCUGGUCCAUCUUCGCGUUGUCCGGCAGCCGGAACCGCCUCAAGAACUUGCCGCUGCUCCUCUCGACGCGGUGCCACGUGUCGGUCUUUUCCUCCUGCUCCCGGCUCCGCUCGCCGCUGAUCUGGAGGACGUUGCCCUCCUCCACCUCCACCUUCAGCUCCUCCUUUUUGACGCCAGGGAGGUCGGCCUUGAAGACGUGGGCCUCCGGGGUCUCCUUCCAGUCGAUGCGGGCGUUGGCGAAGGCGGAUGACUCGCUAGGAAGGGAAAGACGAGGGAAGGAGGAAAGGGAGGUGUUGAAGGGGAAGCCCUCGAAGGGAUCCCAGGGAUCGAAGAUGCUCGACCCAAAACCCCAGCCGCGAGGGAUAAGCGACAUUUUCUUCCAAACGAUCGGCCAACUAAAGCAAAGAUAGAGAGGGAAAGAUGAUCGAGACGACGGAUGGCUUCUGCAAGACGAAUAUGCUUAGGAACUUCUGCGGAUGAGGAGAGGGAGAGAGAGAAAGAGAUAUUUAUAGAGCGAACAGAUCGUUCGCGAAGCUUCUCUGCCCUUCUCGCCUGGCGAGUUCGCGACAAUUCUACGGUCUUCCAGAGAGACUUGCUGCGGAACCGGCGAGUAUGAUGGGCUGGGCUGGGUGGGCCUAGGCCCGAGGCAAGCUCAGAACUCAAAGAUCAGGCUAGAGCGCGGCCUCAUCUGUAGGGGUGCGACCAAGCCUGCCAAGAUCCAUCCCCAAUAAAUAAAGGUUGGCGACUAGUUAAUACUAAAUUAGAAUUGAUUGCGAAUAAAUGACGAGCGGUCCAUUGUGGCGGAGCUCGGACAAAAAGAUCCAAUCCGAAAGAAACAGAAAUAAUACUGAAGGUCCGUCUCGCAAAGAAUUCUCUGAUGCCUAAGUCCGGGUAGAAAUUUCGGGGAACAAUAGAGACUUAAGAGUAAUAAAAGAGCAUCGCAUAAGAACAAGGAUCCUUUGAAUGCAUUUUAUAUAGGAUGACGUUAAUGCCGUUAUUGAGAUAGGCGGGCAUACACUUUAACAUCUCGAUAAGCAAUAACUACCUGUGCUAUGAUAAGCUGUAACUGUCCCAUGCCUCAUAUGUGCCCAAAGUCAUAAUUGUCUCUUUAAUGAGCUUUAAAUUUCUUAAAUAUAUUUUUUUUAUACAACGGCCGCUCAUACACGAAGUUUGCAACAGGGCAUACUUCCUGAUCUCGCAGUUGGGAGAAGAGUGGAAGACUUCGUACUUGGGUGUCUCCUCUAUCAUCUUUCCGAACACCAGGCCCAUCCUGUCUUGGAUAACUGGGUCAUUUCAGGGUUAGGCACGAUGAUGGGGAUGGAGUAGGCUGAAAAUAGAAUUUUGACACAAAGAUGGGGCUCCUUGGCCCUUCUGAGAUGAAUUCCCUGGCUCCUAACUAAAAGUAAACUGAACCUUCUAAAAGCUGGGACCCAUAAAUAUCCCAAUGAAUGAAGCAAUUUUAAGUGGAGCUAUUGGCCCGGAGUUGCUUGAAAUUGAGCCAUCCCGAAGAAGAUGUAGCAGAUUGAAAUGGCGUCAUCUUGACUCAGACGGUGGCUGCUUAAUCUAUGGUUUCUGGUUUCUGUGUGCCCGUUCAUUUUGACCGGUGCAUGAAUUAAGAUAUCAUGCGACCGUGGGUUAGACAGGGUAGAUUGGAAAGGAUCCGACUCGGGUCCAAUUGUCUGUAUUUUGUUGAAGAAGUGGUAGGUCUAGGCCAAUAAUAUGUUGAAGAAUUGGCCGCAUACAAAAGAACAUAACUGUCAUAAUCUAGAGCAUUGAUAUAUGAAACCACUUAUGCAGUGGCAUGAUAACCUUCACAAAUUAAGAUUACCUAAGAAAAUGAACUAAGAAACCUUCAAAGAUCAGCAAAUAGAUGAUAGGUUUUUGAAUCAACAACAAUAAGCCUUAGGGCAGCGACAGCAGCAACCACAGCUAAGCAGCUGAAUCCAACAAUAUUCAGCCAAUGGCAAACCUUCCUGAAGGCUGACAACUGCUUCUUUUUCACAGUCAAAAACAUGUGAUUUGCCAGAACGAAUGUAAGUGGGAAGACGCUCAAGGCCCCCGUCAGGCUCAUAAAGUCUCCAAGGAAUGGCAGCAGAGCCGCCACAAAUGUGUUUACUGUAAGGUAGCCUCCUCUUACAAGGACCCUAAAUGACACGUUAUGGAAAGAGAAAGCGCUCCCUUUUCCUCUCCCAUACUCUGUAUCCAAGUACUCAUACAUCGGACUUGCAAAUAUCUGACACAAAUGAAAGAUCGGUGUUAAUAAGCUAAUAGCCAUUCAAGAGCCAAGCUGCAUGCAAAAAACAAGAAAAUUAUAUGAGAAGACAUUUAUAUGAAUGUCAAAGACUAUGAGUUCAGCAACAUAUCAUUUUUUUUUUUUAUGACAAGGGAAGCAAGGAAAUGCCACCCGAUUUUAUUACUGAUGGAAGCAAUGUAUCAUAUAUGACUGGCCUAUUUGCUCUCUGGUCAAGACAUCGGAUACAAUGACUAUAAUUAAUUACAUGCAACAUCCCAUGAAAAAAGCUACCAUGCUGCCAGCAAACAGAGAAGAGACUAGGUUUUGAGGGAUUCCAGAGCACAACUAUGAGCUUCAGACAAUAGAAUGCAAUAUCAUACUAACCUACAGACUAAUUAACCGCAGUCAACAGUUUUCAAGGUGAACUAUUAUCUUCUUGAACUGCCUGGUGGAUACUCGUUUUCUCAAUUAUGAAGAAAAUAAAAGCAAAAAAUAAUGACAAGGACGAGGGAAAGUACAUGCAGAGCAAUGACUGUAUGUAAAAAGGCUGCAAUGUUGGCCAUUGCCUUGACCCAAGUUGGGCCAUUGACGCUAUUGAGAAGAUAUGCUGAUGUUGAAGAGCCAUAAGCCCAGUAUCCCAUAAAAGUAACAGCAUAUAAUGGCAAGACACCAACAGUGAACUGAAACCAAAGUGCUUUAUCCAUGUUCUUGAUGACAGGUGGUUUUAUCGUUGCCUGUAGUAAGAAGAACAAAAGAGUAUGAGAAAGAGUUGUUAUGAUCUUGUUAUAACAAUAUUUCAAAACAUAUGUCAUCAUCUUGUUAUAAAACAAGACAAUGGAGAUUCAGAAAGAUAAAUUUUCAAUCUUUUCUUUUUAGCAGAGAUACUGGGGUGAGCAUAUUACCAUUACAAAAAUUUGGUACUUUAUUGUAAGCAAAAUCGGUGGGAAAUAUAAUCUGGGUAAGCUGUGCAUAUUAGUCCUCAAAAUAAUAGCUAAAGCAAAAUUCAGUUUUACAGCUUAUUGUAUCAUUAAAUGAACAUAACUAAAGCAAAUCACUUCUACAUAGAUACGGUGUGCCUACCCUACAGGGUUUGACAUCAAUUUAAAAUAUUGGCAGACCAAUGUUUCAGCAUAUACUUUGCUUAGCCUCAAGGCCUGCCCAUCCAACUAGAUAUUAAACCUUAGCCCUAAAUCAGGAAGCAAACUUAUCUAUUGCCCAGACAUCCAAAGGUGAUCCAACAUCCAAAAAUUAAAUGGCAUUUUCUAACCUCAUUACAAGUGCUUACAAGAACUGAAAAAUAAACAGAUAUUCAUUGGUUCAUGAAAGAGUAACGUACUUCAGAUUCAUUUUUUGACAGUUCCGAGAUAGGUGGAUUAAGACCAAAAAUAAGUGGUAAUUUGUCUCUUUGUCCUUAUUGAGAAUAUUUAUGUCAAAUUGCAUUAUCAAAGAAAAGGGGGAAACACUAGGACGCCAAAAAUAACUAGGAAUUUAGAAUUAACAAUAUAGUAUUAGAAGAACCAAACAAAUUAAAAGAAUACAAGCAAAAAAAUAGGUUUAACAUUGCAUUACUUCAAUAAGAUGAGUUGUCAUUCACUACCGUUUUACUCAAAAAAAGAGCAAAAAUGUAGAAAGUUCAAGGACCCACAUUAGGUCAUCCACAGACAGUGCAACCUAACACACAUCUAGUUCAAUAGGCUUUAUCAACCAGCUUAACAAAAUUAUCAAAAGCCACGACCCUCCAAGUCCAUGCCUCCUCAAGCAUAGAGACCUCAAAAAUCAUAUUAUUUUAUUCCCAUUUAUUCCAAACCUGUUAAUGUACAGCUUGGGGGAUAAGACAUGGAUGAUUUUAGUCUUUCUUAAAAUAAAUCUCUUACAACCGGUGCCCAAGCAAAUGACAGAAAUCAUCCUUGUCCUUUGUGUUUGUAGAAAUUUUAUGGUCCCUAAUAAAUCCUCCAGAAAUUAGACUGCAAGAUGCACAAUAAAGUUUCAAAAUCACUUUCACAAGCAUGAUUGAUAUGGCUUGCCAUUAGGUGAAAAAAAAGCCCAUCAGUGAAAGUCACAUUAGCCUCCCAUCUCCAAACUUUUCUCUGUAUUCUUGCUAUCUAUUUCCAUUGUCUCCAUUCCAUUCAUGUCAACAUGUCACUACAGAAUUCUAUAAGGAUCCACAAACCUGUUAGCCUGUUGCAAGUAGAGAUUAUCAUAGACAAGGAUCUCGGCGCUAUGCAAUUUUGAGUUUGUAAAAUCCAGUUUAGAAAAGGAAAGGGAUUCUAUAUUUUAUUAAAUUUCAAGACUGAGAUUUAUUUUGCUAUUUUAUGGGCUUAACAUGGGAUUUGCUAUGCCUACCUGAAUCUCUGGCAGCAUUCCUGUAUUGUAAGCAAAAACAAGACUUGCAACAGAACCAAUGGUAGUGAAAAUCUUGCUCACAUGUGACCCUGGAAUGCUGUAAUCUCGAGCAGGAGUACUUAAUCCUGUAUGAAAAGAUAGAUCUUGUAAAUUGCAGGACAUUAAUUUAAUUUAUAGUCAUUUCAAUGUAUUGGAGGACAAUUACCAGAAUUAGUAAUAACAGAUAGAAGAGAGGAUAUUAAGUUGCAAAAAAUGCUUAAAAUAAUAUUAUUCUUGAAAUAAUAACCAAAAACAUAAUUUCUCUUACAGACACUUCCUUGCAGUAGUCUUACUAAUAUCCAGAAAAAUGUUAUAGAAAUAACAAUUUCCAAAAGAUGCUUGAAAGCACAUUUGAUUAUUAAUAAUGUGGCUCAAUUCAAUACACUGAUAAGCACUAAUAACUCAAGUUACUGGAAGCAAAUUACACAAUUUAUUCCACUUUUUUUCUCUGUUUUGAAACCACAAUCAGUUCUACUGUAACAGAGAUAGUUUAAUGUACAAGAUUAAGCACACGAGAACUGGGAAUCGUAAAAAAACAAAAUAUGAAUAGAUUCAAUAGAAUUGGAAAGUUCAUUCCCAGUGAAUAGGAAAACAGACAUGCUAGUUUCAAGCUUAAUGCUAUGAAUCCAUAGUCCAUACACAGAACACAAAGUUUCCUGGGUUUUAAGGUAAUAAUCAAAACAAGAACAUAAAUGUUGAAUCACUACUUCAAUGUGAGAAAUUUUAGUAUAUUCUUGUACGCAUAUUCAGCAUAAAAAUAGUCUCUAAACCAAUUCACUGCCUUAGAGUGGAUACAGCAAGACAACGUGAAGGAUAAAUUAGGAACCUCCCCAAAUUUCUGUCUUGUUUUACUCUACACCUAAACUCAUUUGUAAGCAUUAUCCAGGUUCAGGUUGAUGAAACAAAGUUGAUCCAUCAAAAUUUGAGAGCUAUGUCAAACCUCUAAUAAUUGGUUCCAAAUUCUUAACAAGGCAGCAUUUUGCAGGAAAGUGGUCAUCACAACUCCUAGAAUAUCAAGCAUCAGCAAGAGAAUUCUUCUUUGUUGUCUAUGUAGCUUAGACUCAUAUAAUUAUAUAAUUAUGAAGACAAUCCAAGAUUUCCUUAGGAUUAGAGGGAAAAGAAAUAUAAACAAUAAUGCUAAGCCAUGAUACAUUUACCAAACAAAUAAAUCUACUCCACGAUCUUGCUUUGAGAAUUGUAACUAGCAAGACUGUUUCCCUGCCAUUAUACAAGUUUUAUUAUGUGUUUGACCAGCAUGGAAAAUGUAGAGAUUAGAACAAUAAAAUAUCUUGAUAUCUGGAAGUUUGAGGGGUGCCAGUCAAUUUGUUAUACCUAUCAACCAGCUAAUAAAAUUUAUGAUGUCUGUCUUCCACUAAACAAAACCAGAGGGGAUUAUAGAAAAGUCAGGAGGCCUUGCUGAAAUUUCACCCAAUAUCUCAGAGCCACGUAAUAAAAUUAAAGUGACCACCGCAUGGUUUCAAAAGGCAAACUUCUUUCAUCUGAAUAGUAAAAUAUUUCUAACCUCUACAAAUCUUAUGUAACAACUAGAUUCGUUCUCUUCUCCUGUCUCUUUGUGUGUGCCUUAAAUAUAGAUAAGUGCAGAUACUAACUAUACAGCAUAGUCUAAACCCUCUUUUCAAGGAGUUGACUUGUUCAAUGUUAUAAGAAAUUUGCUGAUGAAUAGUUGAAUAAUUAUAGAAGUGAUAAAUGUAGGGAGUAUUUGAUUUCAAGUUAGAAUGAGAGUCUGAGUAAUAUGCAGCAUUUUAUCUAGCUGGUAGUCUGGAAUUCAAGAUCAGUCAUGGUUUGAAGGCAAAUGUGACAAUUAGAUUGGUACCAUCCUUAAGAGACAAAACGAAUGCUACGAUGAUAAAUAUGAGACAAAGAAAAGUUGAAACGCCCAGCCAAAUCCUCAGCGCUGAUAAAUGGGGUAUCCCAAAGGCAAACAAAGCACAGACAAACCCAGCAAUAGCGAUACAGUAGGGAAGCUUCAAUGCAUUAUCAUCCCUAUAAAGAACACAAAUGGCCUGCACAAAAAGAAUAUGGAGGUCAAGAAUAAGGUCAGUGGGCAACAAAACAUGCAUUUUAAGUAACAGAGGAGGUCAGCUUUCCUGAUACUUUGCUGUAAGAUUGUAAUAACAUAGCCAUCAACCUUAACUAUAAGCCCAUAUGAUUCAAACCUCUCUAGCAAAACUUUUGCAGAUGCUUGUAUUGUAGAAAGUUUAAUCUUCUGUGAGUUGAUAAUGAUUUAAGAUGACUGAACAUAAGCAUGUUAGGAGUUCAUUGUACAGAAAUAGAGCAGCCACUAGUCAUAGAGUGAUCGACUGAAGUAUUUUAUGCAGUCAUUCACCUGCUUCUUGUUGGAAAAUAUAUAAUUUUAUUUGAUAUUCUUCACAAAUGUGAGUAGUUGGGUGUCCACUUCUUUGUCAGUCAAAAUAACUGAACCAAUAUGCAAGUCCAUGCUAAUAUAAUCCCAUGGGAUAGGGGUGUCUCGAUUUCUCUAUUUAACAGGAUGCGCUGCUGUCCCGCCCCAUCCCAGUGUCUAUCCCAUGCUCAAUCUCUCUCCAGUUCUUCUUUCAUUUAUUUCUUUUUUCUUUGUUCGUCUUUUUUCUUCUUUCCUUCUUUUGCUUCUCUCCUUCCUUUAUUUUUCUUCUCACAUCUUUCCUUUUUCUUCUUCAUUCUUUCCCUUCUUCCCUCUUUCCUUCCUUUCUCUCUUUUAUUUUUCCUUCCUUUCCUUCUUACUUUUCUUGUUCUUUCCUUCCUUCCUCUCUUUCCUCUUUCUUUUUCUUUCCCCAUGUGGAUGCUUUCAGAGUCUCACCCCCUUUCUAGUUCCAUUUUCUCUCAAGAAGCUGGGCCAGGCGGCCGUUGCAACCGGGUUGUCCUUGGGCCAGGGCCCAAGCCCGAUGAAGCGGGCCAGGAGCCCGGCUAAGUCAAAUCAGGGUGCGAGUGGGUCGGCUAAGAAUCUUCCCAGAUUGGCCUCUUCUUCUUCCUUCGACGACCUGACGACUCGUCGGAGGGGGGAAGGGAGGAGACACUUCCGGAGCGCCUCCCUGCCCCCGGUGAGAGCCCCCAGUCGACCACUAUCGGCGGGUGCUGCUACCGGUGGAGCAAUGGCGACCACACUGACCGUGGGAGGUAUUCCCGUGCCGAGCGGGAUGCAAGCGGCGGAGAAGGUACCACCGCCGCGGACAGCAGCGACUAGAGGUGGAGGGAGGGCUCCGGCCGAGAGGCGGGGGCUGGAUGGUGGUGCAACGGUAGAGGACACGGAGGAGGGUCCGGUACGGUGCUCUGAUAUGCUGUCAGCUGGGUGUUCUCAAAACGGGAUGGCCUCUUCAUCUAAGCCAGCAGGAAAGGGGAGGCCUGGAAAGGGGUACUCUGAGGCGUCGAAGUGCUCCAUCCCAGGGACGAUGCGGUUGCCAUCGACAUCAGGGGCAAUGUUGAGGAGGGGCAUGGCUUGUGGCUCGAGACAGGGAUCGUCUUCACCGAUUUUGGAGCAUAGGAAGGUGGUGGACCUGCUAAGGGCUGCGAUCCAGGAAAAUGAUUUGGCAUCAGGGGAGUCUCCUGCACCGAGAGUGAGUAGCCCAGGGAAAGAGGGCCAAAUUUCUUCUCUCAAUUUAGAAUGAAGGUACUCGCUUGGAACUAUAGGGGGCGGCCAAGCCGUCCUUCUUAUCGUCUUUCAAGAGAUUAAUUUAGCUUCAUUGCCCGGAUAUUUGCUUUCUUUGUGAAACCCAGGUGUCGGGAGAUGGGUCGCAUCAUGUGCAGCGGCGCUUAGCAGGUGAUUGGGAAUCUUUUGCAAUUGAAUCUCAAGGCUUGUCUGGGGGCAUCCUAGUGUCGUGGAAGCGGGGGAUAGCUUCUGUAGAUAUUAUCUACAAUUGUUCUCAGCAGGUUGUAAUGGUAAUUUCGGAACUUAAUGACCCUCCGUGGGUUCUGUGUGGGAUUUAUGCCAGCACCGACUACCGAACUAGGAGAGUCCUUUGGGAUGAAUUGACGAGUCUGUUGACCCAAAGAGUGCCGACUAUGGUGGUAGGUGAUUUUAAUUGCAUUUUAAACUCCAGUGAGAAAAGAGGAGACAGAGCCUACUCAGAUUCAGUGGGCAGAAGCAUCUAGUAGCCUGUAAGAGAGUAUGUUUGCCUUUGCGGGAAGGUGGCUUAGGGGUGCAAACACUUCUGGCGCAGCGCGAGGCUCUUCUGGCGCAGCGGGCAGUGCAGGUUGUUUUGGAGCCACAUGGAUUUUGGAGUCAGAUCGUGAUAGCUAGAUAUGGUCGAGCCGGAUUUAUUGCGCAAGCGGUAGGCGGCCGGAAAUGUUCUUUCAUGUGGCGAGAGAUUGGGAGGUACUUGUCGAUGGCUUUGGCGCAUUCCAGAUGGUUGAUCGGCGAUGGACGGAGCAUUGAUGUGAUAGAGGAUCCGUGGGUGGAUGCACUACCAUUGAGAUUAUGGCCGACGAUGUUUAGUAGUGAGGGGGCAGAAAGGCUCCAGAUUUCUGACCUUCUCAAGCCGGGGGUGGCGGAAUGGGAUGGUGACAGACUAGACCAGCUGUUUGGAAAGCAUUUGGCAGAGCGGGUUCGGGUGCUCCCCAUUCUGAAAUCUGCAGGUCCAGAUGUCAGGAUUUGGAUCACUACUUGUAGGGCGAGUGUCGGGAUCGGUGAUGUUUUCCGAGCUAUUCAGCAGGCGUCAGAGCCGAGUUUAGACUAUGGCUGGGUGUGGAGAUUUGGGCUACAGCAGAGGGUCGCUCUCUUCCUCUGAAAGGUAACCUGGGAGCGUCUGCCGACAUGCUCAGUGUUGAGUAGACGAGGAGUGAGUCUUUUCCCCCUAUGCUCGGAUUGUGGGGUGGACGAGUCGGUGGAUCAUGUGCUCUUCCAGUGCGAUUGGGCAGGGGGUGCUUGGAGUUUGACUGGAAUUCCGGAGGACGCUUGGAGCCGGAGGGUUUGUUUUUUGGAGGUGGUUCGGCAAUGGGCUAGUAUCCCUCAGAUGCGCAGCAGGGCAUCUUGUACAGCUUAUCAGAUGUGGCUGGCCAGGAACGCCCGAAUUUUCGACGAGGGCAGCCCAUCACCACGGUUCGUGAUGGAGCGGGCUCGAGCUCAGGCAGCAGAGAUCUUGCAUGCAAACCUAGCCCAUAGACCUUUGACAGCUCGGGAUAUCUGGGGCCCCCAUACUGCUUCGGCUGCUCCAUAUAGGGUAUUCUUUACCUGGGAGCCCCCACCCCCGAGCUUCCUCAAAGUCAAUUUUGAUGGCUCGAUCUUGGAUGGAGAUAGGAGAAGAGGGGUUGGAUUCGUCAUCAAGGGGCCGAGCUCUGGUGUGAUGGCAGCGGGUGGCUAGCAGAUCUUUGACACCUCGGUUCCUGGGGCAAAGCUGCGGGCGGCCUGGAUGGGUAUGUGUUAUGCACGGCGAGUGCUUCAAGCGAGCUCAGUCUUACUGGAGGGAGAUUCGUCCACUGUGAUCAGCUGGGUCCGAAAGGGCUCGAGCAGCUAUGGGGGCGUUCACCCCUUGCUCCGCGACAUUUGGAAGAUGGCGAGGGAGUGUGUUACAUUCCAGGCCAUGCAUGUAUAUCGCGAGGUCAAUAGGGCGGCCGACUGGGUGGCGGCAUAUGUUGCGAACCACUCAAGAGGUACCCUAUGGGCUGGAGAGAGAGAGAUGCCUGGAUCACUUCGAGGCCUUUUGUUUUCCGAUUCCAUUGGGUGUAUUCGUACCCGUGAUGUAUGAAAUGCCCGUUCUAGCAAAAAAAAAUACGAGAUGGAAUAGCGGAGAUGCUCCCAGUCCUACCAAGAUUUAAAACAUUGACUAUCAUUUAGUAAUCAUAUGUCAGAAAGUGUUUGACGGAUUUCGAUUCGUCAUGCUCGUUGAAGCCAUAACCAUAAAAAAGAGGAUUUCCAUAAUGCCUAAAGUCACGGGAACCAAGAAGACUCUAAAAGCAAAGUAUAGUUUUUUUGUAAAUUAUGUCCAUACAAGUAGUUUAAUGAUUGAGACAAAUGUUUUCUACAUUACAUCAAAAACAAAUGUUUCCUAUAGUAUAAAAUAUAAGAUAUUUUGUCUCUCAAAUAUCGAGAUGACAUCAUUCUAAAGAAAUAGGUUGCCUCUAAUGGGGUUGAAUCCUCACAUCUAACCCAAGCAAAUUUGUGAAAACCAAUGAGAAUCCUACCUUUAACUAUAGCAGCAUAGAUAUAUUGACAUGAUUAAGAAGAAGAAGAAGAAGAAGAAAUAUUUUUAAAAAAAUAACUUUUAACUAUAUGUUUUCUAAUAAGUUUAAAAUGACAAUGGGCAGCAUUUAUCCUACCUUCAAUGCCUGCCCAGCCAAAAUGAUAUAUCCAGUGUUGAUCAUGAACAGAUUAACAUAUUGUAGUGCCCAUGUAAGACGAUACAUUUUUCUACCUGCAAUCAUCAAAACAGAAGAAAUCAUUGAAUAUCCAGAAAAAAGAAAAAAGUCCAACUUUCUAGUGAAGGAAGGGAAUAAAUUCUAAAAACUCAUGUUAUACGAAGAUGUGAGAUGUCAUCUAGAAAGAAUGUGUGCAAAGAGAGAAGAUUAUGUUGCUUUAAGUUUGCACAUUCUUCAACUCAACUUCCUGCACAAGAAAUCUACUUUAAAAUAAAUAAGAAAAAUCCUGCAUGAGAAACUUUUGAAUGAAAUGCAGAGCAUUCAAGAGAAUAUACCAUAGAGAUAACCAGCAAGAUCUCUGUAUCUAAUCCGCCGUUUACCGCCAACUUCAUGAAUAUGGGCAAGAAGAGUAUUAGCAUGCAAGGAUACAGCAGCCGCCAAAACCAAACCAAGUAUACCACCUAACCAACCCAAAGAAACCAUGAUUGAUCCAGAAUAUCCCAAGACAUAUGCACUGUUCACUCCUGUUGUGAGGACGAAUGCAACUUGAUACCAAGGAUCUGAACAACCGGUGCACAAGGAGAAUAUAACAUGCAUCAGCACAUGCUUUAAAUAUAGAUCCAAAGAAAAACUUGCAUUGGGAACUUAAAAAUAAAACUCUUAAAUAAUCAUGAUCACCGUGAAUCCGUGAACAAAAUUCUACCAAGAAAAAGUGCAUGCAAACUGGUGCACAUCAAUGUUCCUGCAUAGUCACAGGCAAUUGGGAACUUUUAUCAAGUUCAAUAGCAUAAGGAAUCAGACUAUCCAUAUAUAACAGCAGUCAGUGAUCCUUAACUUCAAGUUUUUCAAAUUUGAUGCAAGAAAAGAAACUUCAAUAACCGGUAAAAGAUAAAAGGAUUAAAAACAAGGUUUGAAGACCUGAGAUUUCCUCAUCCGACCUGCUCCCUGAUCGAUACCAGGUUGAGGACCAUGAUUUCAAAACCCUGAACAAAAUAAUAGUUGUACCUACUUAAACUUUUCAAAAUUUUGUUAUCUAUAAUAGAACAAGAAAAUUGUCGUGCCGGUGCCAUCCACCUUACAAAACACAUCGUUUGCUUGGUAUUGGAAAAGAUUUGGCUUGAAAAACCAUUGCUGACAUUUUCCCCUGUGAGUUGCAUAGACUGAUGAUUGUCCUGCUCGGGAUUUAAACCUUCUAAAAUAUCAUAUCGAAUUGAAAUCCACCACAUGUUAACAAGUAAAAUUGCAAUCAGCAAAUUUGAAGUAUUGGAGACAAAUCUGAGGGAAACCAAGAAACCAGAUGCAAAGAACUAAAAGGCAUGAAAAGCACCGAAAGAAGAAGUCAUAUUCGAACAGCAUAACUCCAAAAUGCGAACCAAAUAACGAAUUUUCGAUCGUUAGCUCGUAGUGUGAAUCAAAAAAAAAAUCUCAAAAUUGGUAAUUAAAAAUGCCGAUUCAAGUAAUGUUUCCCAAGUAUUCGAACAACGCGAAAUCCAAUCUCCACCAAGCAUUAUUCAUUCCCAUCUCCCCAUUUUCCAAAUUAAUCCUUCUAAUUUCUGAUAUCAGACCAUAAAUUCGAAUGACUAGUGCUCAGAGAGAGGGGGGGGGGGCGUAAAAUUAAAAUACCAUGGCUGAUUUUGUGAGCGGUGUCAUCAGACGCUUCGAUCGCUGCUCCCUCUUGGUAGCGGCCGUUAACCUCCGGGACAUCUAUCGCCGCCAUCAUCGAUUCCUCCUCUCUGCCGCCGCGCCGUCUCUCCCUCGGUACUGUUUAUCGGGAAGAAGGCGGCGGCGGCGCGUUACCCCCUCCGACCUCAACCCCGUACAGCGUUCCCCCUCCGACCCUCCUUUUCCAUAAAUAAGCAACGGGGCUUCGACAGCAAGAAUUAAUUGCCAAUUAAUGCCCUCCACGAACAAAAACCAAAAAUAGUAUAGCCUGCAUUCAUUCAUUCUCCUGUUGUAUGAUAAGAAGAUAUUCGGGCGGAAGAGAAGGGACGGAUCUCGGAAUCGCUCUCCUCUCCGAAAUUGUCGCGAUUUUUAUUCACGAGCCAGUUCUCCACCGCCUCUUCCCACGUCGGGAGCGUAUAAUCCUCAUGCCGUUCGAUGGUCACCGUUUUCCCUGAUGGCAGCCUAGUCGCAGAGAAAUGCCGUGGAGCGCGGCUUAUUUUCCCGGCACGGACCCGUUUGACGUGAUGACGUGUCCCCGUGGUUGAUCUUUUCUCCCUGCUCUGUAGCUCCGGCGUCUUUGUAUUCUCUUAUUCUCUCUAAUUUUAUGGGCUGCACCCAUAUUUCGUUGUGUGUGGGUCGUUACUACUGUACAAAAAAGAGGGGGGGGGCGCGCAGUGCCAAUGACAGCGAAUGUAGAAUAAUACGUGCCGAUUACUUAAUCGACCACGUUAACGGGGUCCAGAAAUAGACACAGCACAAACUUGGACACAACCUGUUUGGAGGUAGAUAUAACAUAUGUAUGAGUCGUUGUUUCAUAAACUCUAUGUUCGAUCCUUGAUAACCGAACUUCGAAGAAGCGAAGAUGCUUAGUGAGCUGGAUAAUUACAUCAUGACAUGUAGCUUUUUUCCCCCUACCCCCACCUCUAUCUAUAUUAUUAUCCAGAAGGAUCGUCAUAUGGAUACAUUCUUUUAUUCUUAGGGUAUCUUUUCCAAUGCCAGACAAAUUAGGCAAUAUGAGAGCAAUUAUUUUGUAGAUUGUUUUUUUUGGAAAAUAAAAAACUUACUGCAUUGAUUUUUUUAUGCGUCCAAAAUGUUUCAUAGGUUAUUAAUUUUUAUUUUCUACCAACCAAUUUUAGUUUCCAAAUUACAAGGCAGACAUGUACAUUCCACUUGCCAAAUUUCUAGCUAUCUUCUUAAAUCAAGACCUUAAAAUAGGUACAUAUUUACUCUUUGGUUUGCUCCACCAUGUCAUAUAUCCAACCUAACACUUUUCAAUUUUGUUAAUAAAAGAAUAAAAGAGACCGAGAUAGCAAAAAAUCCUAUAAUGUGAAAAAAUUGGAGCACCUCCAUCUCAUAGGAUUUAAACUUUGAAUAAAAUUUCAUGGAAGAUGAUACCACAUUAUUGUUAAUUCUACAAACUAUUAUAGAAAUGUGAGAAUAUGAAAGAGCAGAAAGAGAAGAUGAAAAAAAAGAGUAGCCGAUGAUUCAAUAGAGAAUAAUGAAGAAAUUUUAUAACCCGUUUUAGUUGAGUGUCUUGAAAAAAAACAGAAAAAGUAAAAAAAUGACAAAUGUAUGAUCUAUAUUUAUUUUUUAUUCAUUAAUGGAUAAUAAAUUAGAUUAUAUAACCUUCAUUUAGACUGAUGAGAUCGGUUACCACAUAAUUUCAAUUUAAAUAAUAAGGAGGAACAACUUUAUAUUAUUUACCAUUCAAGAUAGUAUGUGUCUACAUGGAUACCUAUUUUCUUUCGACAAAAUGCCACAUGCUUUUGUCAUAUAAUAAUACCAGAUGUACCUUUAGUUUCAAAGCUGAAUUAUAUAUUAUGAACCUUUGCAUUUGCUUGCAUUGUUCUUGACCAUCUCAAUGAACUCUUGAUUUAAUAAAAUAAUUUUUUCUUAGGAGGGGAGAGGGUACCCUUGCAACAAGCGAUUUGAAAUGAGAUAAAUGCAACCAACCAACGAUAGGUAGACAACAAUAUACCAUGCAACUGAUGACAUAAAAUCAAAAAUUUAAAUGAGAAAGAAAAAUAUAAAAGCUAAUACGACCAACUAAUUUCUAUACAAACAUGGACUAAAAUAUACACUUAACCUCGACUAAAGAAGGUGGCAUGGUAAAAAAACUCAAAAUUAUGGAACAAGAAACUUUAUACUAGGAGGUUUCAUCUAGACGAGCUAAUGUGCCCGAACAAAACUAUCGGCUCACUUGCUAGCAUGAUUGACCAUAUGCUUCAUAGAUGGCCCAAACCAUCAUAAAUUGUAUUAACAAAUAAGCUAUUAACUAGCUAAUAUUCAUAAAUAGUUGAAAUAAAUAUUUUUUUAAAAAAAUAUUGAACAGAAUAAAGGGGGAGUAUCUCGAACGAGGUGCAUAGGAGAAUGAUUCUAGGAAUAAAAUUUGUGCUCUUGUAAAGAUAUUUUGCAGAAUCAUUUUUAAGUCAAUCUAUGACAAGAAAAUAAAAAGAAAGAAUGAAGAUAAAAAGAUAAAAAGAUAAAAAAAAAUCAAAAAUUUUGACAAUCCAGCGGUGCCAUUCGUAAGGUAUAUUAAAGUCAACUCGUUCGAAGCAAUAAUAUAAAGCAACAAAGAAGAUAAAAAAUAGAAAGAACUUAAAAAUUUAAAACUUUAAAGACUUCUACAAUAAAUUUGGUUGGGCGAUGUGGUUAGCCACAUGCACGAUCACGCCGUUCAUGCCACGUAACUAGUUGAGCCGAGUGAGCAUGUACGCAUAUUCUUACGGGUUCAAAAUCCACAAAGGUCAAAUAAGGCCUAUAAUUAUUGGACUUCAUUAAAGGGGCUAUGUGGAGACUUGUAGUUGAAAUUACAUAGCAACUCAUAUGGCAUUGCAAUUUAAAUUGUUCUAGUUGAUUUGUAAGGAAUUUUUUGUGUUGCUAGGAGAGUUUAGGAAAAAGAGAGAUAUCUUUGAUACAUAUUCCAUCGAACACUUUAUGAGAGGACACUAAGCUGCAAACACUAAUGGCGUAGGCUUAGUUGCGGACUUAGAUGUCCAUGUGGAGAAAAUAGGUGGCUGUGUAUACCUUGAGAAGUGCGGUGAAGAUGAAGGAGAGGGGUGAGGUGGGGAGCUAGAGGCGAUGAUGCAUGAUGAUAAAGGUUGAAGAAUAGCGGAGGAGGAGGAGAUGAAAUGGAGCAGAGUAUAGAAGAUGAUUUAUUUUAAUUAAAAUAUCUACUCAAGUAGCUUGAACUUGUCAAGCAACUAUUUUGACCGUUAGUCAACUUGCCAUCAAAUAGUCCUAUUGUAAUCCACGAGCAACUCAAUUUAUUAUAUAAUUUAAAUUAUAAGUAUUUAAACAAGCGGAUUGCUAUGCAUUUGCAAGUUGAGCUGCAUAUGGUUUGCUUAUAGAACUCUGAAAAGUUCCUAAAUGUACCUUGCAUUUAAAGAUCCAAUAUAGAUUAUUUCAAACAUGAAUAUUAAAAAUUUUAAAUCUUUCAUGGCGUGUCGUACUAUACUCUUCAUAACAUUUUUUUUCUCAUUUAUUAUAAUUUUUCCUCGUGCGUCUAGGUGUUUUGGAGACUUCACAAGUCGAGCACGGGCACAUGAGCGUGGGGCUGGGCUGGAAUAUGCUAGCCUGAACCAAAAUUCCAGGCAGAAAAAGCCUACUUUAAUGGGCUGUAACGGGCUUCCCUGACCCCUCUCUCGAUUGUAAAGCCCACGUAAACCCAUGCACCGCCGUCUCCGUCAAGAUCGUUCAUAAACGGCGUUAGCGAUUUGACCCAGGAACAAGAGCACGAGACGGGUCACUUGGCAUCUCGCCCUCUAUAUAAGCCACCGCCCCUUCCGACUGCCCUCCGACGUCUCUCAUACCACCACCUUUCUCUCUACCUGGCCCUCUCUCAUCUCCGUUCUCCCUGGCCUCCCAUAUCCUUCUGUCAGCCCCCCCUCACCACACAAAGAAAGUAUAAGUCUCGAUUCUUUCUCGCAGCCAUCCACCAUCGCCGCGGCUCUUUUCUCGAGCCCAUUUGCAAACCCUAGGCUGGUUCUCUUCUUCCAUCCGGUCAAGGUUUUAUGCCUCAGUCUCUCAGGAGCCGUUUGCGAAUCAGGCCCCUUAGCUGCAAAAACCUAAAAUUUCAUGUAUGGAUCUCUAAUCCUAUUUGAUUUCCAUUGCAGCUUUAGACGGUAGCCAUUUUGAUCGUUCUUGACGAGGAAUUUGGGUAUUUUUCUUCAUCUUUCCAUCGGAUUUCAUUUUCGUUCACGAUAAUCGUUUAAUGCCAAAUCUGUCGUGCGGAUUGGAUUUCUUGGUCCUGUGUUAUAUUAGGAUUUUGAGACAUUCGCAUGUAGUCUUAGUUCUCUUGGUCUUCUUCACCUUUCUGAUGGCUUCUUGUUGUUAUUAUUGCUUAUCCACGGGAAUCUGGAGGCCUGGAUUAAUAUGGAAAAAGUUGUAGUUAUUUUAUUUUAUUUUUUCAUUGCAACAUGCUUUUUUACUUGGUGUUUGAGUACGAAUUGAUAACUGAAUCCAUAGGCGUUGUUAAUUUUGAUAUGGGUUUUGCAUUUGUGACAGUCUUACCCUAUUACUGGAUUGUACCGGAGCCAUUUUCAAUGUCAAUGCUGGUAAAACAAGUGAUACGGUUUGAUGGUAAAGGUAGUAAUUUUUACUGCACAAUACUUGGUCGCAUAGCAGAUUAAUUUUACCUUCGUCGCUCUAAUGUUGAAGCUUACAAAUUGAGACUUAGGUGCCACAUAAGUGGUGAUGAAGUAAGCAAGAAUUUUAUAUUGUAUAAUAAACUAAGUUGAAGUAUAUGUGCAUAAUCAUUUUAUUAUUGCUUUUUUUUUUUCAAAUUUGCUGUUUUAAGCAAUUAAUAUGCUGACCGAUUCCUCUGAGUUUGAAAACAUUGCUGUCAGAGAGAAGCAAGAUGAGCAAUUUUUUUGAUUUUUUUAUAAAAUAUCAUUUUUGAGAAUAUAUGAUCUUAUAUAUGUAUAUACAAUAUUUAUUCUUUUUAUAUGUUUAUUUUUAAAUAAUAUUAUUUUGAGGAAAAAAUAGUAUAUUUUGAAAAUUUUUAAAAUAUGUUUUGAUUGUUAUAUAAUAUUGUUUUGAGGAAAAAAAAUUUAUGCUGAUUGUGGGUUUCAAGCACACUAGCUUGACUAUGUGCAACGUUUUUCGCUUCACCUCGCAACAUGUAAAUAACAUUCUACUUAAAUAAUUUUGACAUGAGUACUUAAAAGAAAGGAAAAACUCACAUGUCCCGUCCAAAACUUUCUAUCGUUCGUCUCCUUUUUGUUUUUUAUUUCUUUGCUUCUCCUUUUUUUUUUUCUUUCUAUCCUCCCCCUUUUUGCCCAUCUAGCCUCCUCCUCCUCUUCUCUUUUCCUUUUUUUUCUUUUUUUUAACAACAUAAAAAAGAUCAUACACUUCUAAUAUAGAUAUGUCCAAUAAAGUUAGCAAAUUAUAGAAUAUAUUCCGGACGGUUAACAGAUCAGUCCAAAAUACUUUUUUAGGGUGCUCUACCACUAAUGAGGCAAUCUAGUCCGUAGUAUUGUUUGUCAGAGACAUACUAGAUAUCGGGCAGGAGCAAGUGAGCAGUCUUCAAAACCCGCCUUGCAUAGGAUUUAUUUUGUGAUACCCAGGAAAAAAAAAGAAAAAAAAAAGAAGAGAGAGAGGUGGACGGGCCGGCCCGAAAAGACCGGGCCCAUCCACCAUAUACGAUCGUGCCUAGGGCACGAUCGUGGGAGAAGAAACACAAAAAAAAAAAAAGGGAAGGGGGAGAGCGGCGGCGGCAGCGUCCGGGGAGAGGUUGGUCGCCGGAGGGGUUGAUCGCCGGAGAGGAGACCGAGAUCCGGCCGGCCACGGAGGAAGUUUUCUUCGGUGAAGACCUCCCGCAAACGGGAGAAAAAGCUUUGGACCCGGGCGUGUGCUCACNNNNNNNNNNNNNNNNNNNNNNNNNNNNNNNNNNNNNNNNNNNNNNNNNNNNNNNNNNNNNNNNNNNNNNNNNNNNNNNNNNNNNNNNNNNNNNNNNNNNNNNNNNNNNNNNNNNNNNNNNNNNNNNNNNNNNNNNNNNNNNNNNNNNNNNNNNNNNNNNNNNNNNNNNNNNNNNNNNNNNNNNNNNNNNNNNNNNNNNNNNNNNNNNNNNNNNNNNNNNNNNNNNNNNNNNNNNNNNNNNNNNNNNNNNNNNNNNNNNNNNNNNNNNNNNNNNNNNNNNNNNNNNNNNNNNNNNNNNNNNNNNNNNNNNNNNNNNNNNNNNNNNNNNNNNNNNNNNNNNNNNNNNNNNNNNNNNNNNNNNNGACGGCGGCUGGGUGUCGUCGGUUGGGGGCCGAGCCACCAUCACGGUGGCCUUUCCGUGGAAGAAAUGGAGGAAGGGGGAGGGGUCUGUGUCGGUUGGAAAGAAGAAGGAGAAGAAGAAGAAGAAAAAGGAGGGAAAAUAAUAAUAUAAUAAUAGUAAUAAGAGAAGAAGAAAAAGAAGAAGAGGAAGAGACUUCUUCCUCUCUCUUUCUCUUAGCCGGUUACCAUCGCCGGCGACUGCAGCAGGGGCGGCCGGCGAUGGUUCGGCCAAUGGUGGCCGAGGGUGGGGAGGUGAGGGCACAGCCACCCUGGCUGUUGCCCUUGGACCAAGGAGGUGGAGGAAGAACCCUUCUCUAUCAUCCACCCUUCUUUUGGUCUUUUCAUCGGGACCGGCCAUCGUCGCCGGCGUGGCAGCGGCCACGGCUGGCGACGACAUGGGCCGGUGGUACAAGGGUGGGAGUCGGGCCACCCCGACUGCCCUAGAUUUGGAGAGAUUGAGAUGUUUGGGGAUCUGGUUAUGGACCCCAUAGUAAAUAUCAAUUAUGGUUUGGAAUAUUUAAAUAUUAAAUGAUUUAGUUUGUGAUUUGUAAUUGAUGUUGUAGAGGAAGAGUCAGCGGUGCCAGGAGGUUUUGAUCAGGGGACUCAGCACCCCAGCGCGUAGGUUGUGAUUCGGACCGUGUUUGAGUCAGUCUACAAUUUCUGUAAGAAUCCCUACAUCUGAGCACUUCUAUGCAUAUAUUGAUUUAUCGUUGGAUUUAUUUACGGUUUUGAUGUUAUUGCUUGUGAGUUGAUAUGAUACAUAUGAGACGAAUUUUUAUCAACAUAUUUUCAUUAUUAUGUUGUUAUUGUUUAUGAGCUGAUGCGGCACCUAUGAGGCGUGCAUGUUGUUUAUAAUGAAAAUAUUGAGAUAAAUUCAUUUGGCAAGAAAUAACAUAUUUUUUGAAAAUUUAUGAAAAUAUGUGAUGUGAUGGGAAUGUGAUUGAACAUGUAAAACUAGACAUGUAAUAUGGGUUGGACUAACCUUGUCAUGAGAUAGCCUCUACGAGCUUAUGCGGAGGAUAGCGGNNNNNNNNNNNNNNNNNNNNNNNNNNNNNNNNNNNNNNNNNNNNNNNNNNNNNNNNNNNNNNNNNNNNNNNNNNNNNNNNNNNNNNNNNNNNNNNNNNNNNNNNNNNNNNNNNNNNNNNNNNNNNNNNNNNNNNNNNNNNNNNNNNNNNNNNNNNNNNNNNNNNNNNNNNNNNNNNNNNNNNNNNNNNNNNNNNNNNNNNNNNNNNNNNNNNNNNNNNNNNNNNNNNNNNNNNNNNNNNNNNNNNNNNNNNNNNNNNNNNNNNNNNNNNNNNNNNNNNNNNNNNNNNNNNNNNNNNNNNNNNNNNNNNNNNNNNNNNNNNNNNNNNNNNNNNNNNNNNNNNNNNNNNNNNNNNNNNNNNNNNNNNNNNNNNNNNNNNNNNNNNNNNNNNNNNNNNNNNNNNNNNNNNNNNNNNNNNNNNNNNNNNNNNNNNNNNNNNNNNNNNNNNNNNNNNNNNNNNNNNNNNNNNNNNNNNNNNNNNNNNNNNNNNNNNNNNNNNNNNNNNNNNNNNNNNNNNNNNNNNNNNNNNNNNNNNNNNNNNNNNNNNNNNNNNNNNNNNNNNNNNNNNNNNNNNNNNNNNNNNNNNNNNNNNNNNNNNNNNNNNNNNNNNNNNNNNNNNNNNNNNNNNNNNNNNNNNNNNNNNNNNNNNNNNNNNNNNNNNNNNNNNNNNNNNNNNNNNNNNNNNNNNNNNNNNNNNNNNNNNNNNNNNNNNNNNNNNNNNNNNNNNNNNNNNNNNNNNNNNNNNNNNNNNNNNNNNNNNNNNNNNNNNNNNNNNNNNNNNNNNNNNNNNNNNNNNNNNNNNNNNNNNNNNNNNNNNNNNNNNNNNNNNNNNNNNNNNNNNNNNNNNNNNNNNNNNNNNNNNNNNNNNNNNNNNNNNNNNNNNNNNNNNNNNNNNNNNNNNNNNNNNNNNNNNNNNNNNNNNNNNNNNNNNNNNNNAACUUCGUCCCACUGUCGCGAAAUCAAUUUUCUCGUUAAAAGUCGCCGUUUAACUGCUGGAUCGAUCUCGACGGCCCGAGUUUGCAUCAUGCGGUAAACUAAAUCAUUCCCGAAGUUUCGAUCGAUGAGAAUGUCCUCGUUAGUGGCCCAUACAUGGACUUUGUCUAGUCCAGGUCCAGAUGAACUCCGGCCCAAUACUGUUGCAGACCGGCCCUUUAUAACCAGGGGUUGUCUUUGUCUUCCUCAAUCUCUCUUCGUCUCCCCGUUCCUUUUCCUUCCUCUCUCUCUUCAUCAGUUCAUCUCCUUUUUCUUUCUCCACUCCAUUCCUCCAUUCUCCACUCUUAUCCUAAUCCUUCCAUCAAUCCUAACGAGCCAAUCACCGGCGACGCGCACCACAUUCAGAUCUCUUCUGCUCGUCUGAUCUGCUUUCUUUCUUUUGUCGAUUUCAAGUACCGGAGGCUGUGGGUCAUCCAAAUUCGAGUAUAAUUAUUUCUACGUAGAGCAGCCAUCCGAACUAGAACUUGAAAGUGGAAUUGAUUCGGUGGUUAUAUCAAGAAAUCGAAUGGAACCCUAGCCUGAACUUGAAGAAGGUAGAUUCUUUUCAUCUGUUUGUGCAACAUNNNNNNNNNNNNNNNNNNNNNNNNNNNNNNNNNNNNNNNNNNNNNNNNNNNNNNNNNNNNNNNNNNNNNNNNNNNNNNNNNNNNNNNNNNNNNNNNNNNNNNNNNNNNNNNNNNNNNNNNNNNNNNNNNNNNNNNNNNNNNNNNNNNNNNNNNNNNNNNNNNNNNNNNNNNNNNNNNNNNNNNNNNNNNNNNNNNNNNNNNNNNNNNNNNNNNNNNNNNNNNNNNNNNNNNNNNNNNNNNNNNNNNNNNNNNNNNNNNNNNNNNNNNNNNNNNNNNNNNNNNNNNNNNNNNNNNNNNNNNNNNNNNNNNNNNNNNNNNNNNNNNNNNNNNNNNNNNNNNNNNNNNNNNNNNNNNNNNNNNNNNNNNNNNNNNNCUUGAUGUACCGGGGUCGACCCAAUCAACCUUUGGGUCGACUCAAUCCACACUUUGCUGCAUUCUCAAGGUUAGAUUCAUUCAAAUGAACAAGGUCAUGUAUCUAUUUUCAAUUAACCAAAUAUACUGAGAGUAAUAAACUUAUAAAUGAAGUAUCAAUUUAACUUAUAGCAUACUCUAGAUAAUUGCUUGUUAAUCAUCAAAAUAACACUAUCAUCCUCAGCCACAGAGGACUGUAGCAAGGCAGAGAACUACCAUUCCAUUUAAAGAGAUCAAGCAUUUAUUCUCUGCAAACUUGCUUUCAACGAAAAAGAAGGAAGAGCGCCAUUAACUCCAUCCAACAACCUCUUCCCAGCAUUGAAAGAAGUCUCCUCCUACAUUCAAGUCGAUCAGACGUUCCAGAGGAGACUCAAAGUUCAAGAAGCCUUAUUCUACUCCAACGCAAAAAUGUUUGAGGGCUCUUAACUUCUCUCUAGUUUAUAUUGUAGCAAAUCUGCUUUUUAAGAAGCUCAGUUUUUCUGUUUGUUUCUUAUUCUUUCCAUAUUGUCUUUGCUUGAUUCAAUCCCCCGAUUGAAUCAAGGGUGUAGAGGUUGGUUGGUGAGCCGAGUGUAAAACUAACGUAUAGGGGUUCGAUUGUGAUCCCGGAAAAACAAUCAGGGUUGGUUCUAAUCGGUGAGCCUGGGAAAACCGACCGAGUUCGUUGUGAGCUCGUAAAACAACAAGUUUGGUUGUGAGCUUGGAAAACAACCGGCUGUAAUCCAAGGAGUUAUAGUGAAUUCCCAAGUGAGACUUGGGGAGUGGACGUAGGAGCAAGGGUUAGNNNNNNNNNNNNNNNNNNNNNNNNNNNNNNNNNNNNNNNNNNNNNNNNNNNNNNNNNNNNNNNNNNNNNNNNNNNNNNNNNNNNNNNNNNNNNNNNNNNNNNNNNNNNNNNNNNNNNNNNNNNNNNNNNNNNNNNNNNNNNNNNNNNNNNNNNNNNNNNNNNNNNNNNNNNNNNNNNNNNNNNNNNNNNNNNNNNNNNNNNNNNNNNNNNNNNNNNNNNNNNNNNNNNNNNNNNNNNNNNNNNNNNNNNNNNNNNNNNNNNNNNNNNNNNNNNNNNNNNNNNNNNNNNNNNNNNNNNNNNNNNNNNNNNNNNNNNNNNNNNNNNNNNNNNNNNNNNNNNNNNNNNNNNNNNNNNNNNNNNNNNNNNNNNNNNNNNNNNNNNNNNNNNNNNNNNNNNNNNNNNNNNNNNNNNNNNNNNNNNNNNNNNNNNNNNNNNNNNNNNNNNNNNNNNNNNNNNNNNNNNNNNNNNNNNNNNNNNNNNNNNNNNNNNNNNNNNNNNNNNNNNNNNNNNNNNNNNNNNNNNNNNNNNNNNNNNNNNNNNNNNNNNNNNNNNNNNNNNNNNNNNNNNNNNNNNNNNNNNNNNNNNNNNNNNNNNNNNNNNNNNNNNNNNNNNNNNNNNNNNNNNNNNNNNNNNNNNNNNNNNNNNNNNNNNNNNNNNNNNNNNNNNNNNNNNNNNNNNNNNNNNNNNNNNNNNNNNNNNNNNNNNNNNNNNNNNNNNNNNNNNNNNNNNNNNNNNNNNNNNNNNNNNNNNNNNNNNNNNNNNNNNNNNNNNNNNNNNNNNNNNNNNNNUGAUAAGUAGACAACAAUGUACCACAUAAGUGAUGACAUAAAUAUCAAAAGUUAAAUGAGAAAUAAAAAAUAUAAAAACUAAUACAACCAGUUAAUUCCUAUAUAAACAUGGACUAAAAUACACACUUAACCUCGACUAAAGAAAGUGGCAUGGUAAAUCAACUCAAGAUUAUGGAGUUAAAAACUUUAUACUCAAAGGUUUCAUCCAGACGAGCUGAUGUGUCUGUACAAAACUGUCAGCUCACUUGUUAGCAUGACUGACCGUGCUCCGUCGUCCGUCGAUGGCCCAAACUGUCAUAAAUUAUAUAAACAAAAGCUAUUAACUAGUUAAUAUUCAUAUAUUUUUUUAUACGAAUAUUGAACAGAAUAAUAGAGGAGUGAGCAAGGUGUAUAGAAGCAAAAAAUUUAUGCUCUCGUAGAAAUAUUUUGCAAAAUUAUUUUCAAUAAAUCCGUCUCAACUUGUAGCAAGGCAACAUAAAGAAAUGAUGAAGAUAAAAAGGGAGGAGAAAUUGGAAAUUUUGAAAUGAAGUCAACUUGGCCAAAAGCAAAAAUUCAAAGAAUGAAGACGUGGAAAAAAAGAAAGAAAGAAAGGAAUUCGAGGGUUUAAAUACUUCUCCAAUAAAUUUGGUUGAGGGAUGUAAUUAGCACAUGCAUGUUCAUGUUGUGCAUGCCAUGCGUUUGGUCAAGCUACACGAGUAUACAUAUUCUUACGAGUUUAAAAUACAAAGGUUCAAUGAGGCCCGGGGCUACUGGAGUUCACUAAGAGCUACACAGAGACCUCUUGUUGAAAUUAUACAGCAACUCAGAAGGUAUUGCAACUUAAAUUGUACUAAUUAACUUGUAAGAAAUUCUUGUGCUUCAAAGAGGGUUUAGAAAAAAAAAGAGGCAUCUCAACAAAUAUUCCAUUGAACACCUUAUAAGUGGAUACCAAGGUGUAGCACUAAUGAUGUAGGCUUAACUAUAGGCCUAGAUAUCCAUAUGGAGGGAGCUGCUGGUGGUGCAUACUUUGAGGAGGACGAGGAAGAUGAAGAAGAAAGGUGAGGUGGCAACGUAAAGGUGGAACAAAGGUGGAGGAGGAGGCAAAAUGGAGAAGAGAAAGAAAGUAAUUUUUUUUAAAUUAAAGUUUCUAUUUGAGUAGCUACAACUUGUCAUGCAAUAGUUAUUUUGAUUGUAAGUCGACCUGCCAUGCCAUGAAAUAGUAUUUAGUUGCAACUCACAAGCAAUUUGAUUUACUAUAUAAUUUAAGUUGCAAGCAUCCAAACAAACGAAUUCAUAUGUAUUUGCAACUUGAGCUGCAUAUAGCUCCAUUUACAUUCAAUAUAGUUUAUUUAAAUCAUGAAUACUAAAAAUUUAAUUUUUUUAUUUUUUAAAAAAAUCUAACGCACGGCUUGCCGUCUUUUCUCAUUCAUUAUAAAUUUUUCUCGGGCGUUUAGAUGUUUUGGGGACUUUAAUAAUCGAGCACGGGCAGAUGAGCAUGAGGCUGGGGCCGCUGGGCUGGAAUAUGUACUACCCUGAGCCACAUAUUACCGGUGAGAACCCUCGUUUAAUGGGCUGUUACGGGCUUCCCUGAUCCCUCUCUCAAUUUUCAAAGCCCAUGUAAACCCAUGCACCACCGCCUCCGUGAAGAGCGAAGACGCAUUCAUAGUUCCGUUCGGAAAAGGCGUUAGGGUUUUAACCCAAGAACAAGAGCACGAGACGGGUCACUUUGGCAUCUUGCCCGCUAUAUAAGUCACUAGUCACUACCCCCUCCGACCGUCCUCUGACGUCUCUCAUACCACCAUCUACCUCCCUACCUCUCCAUCUCUCAUCUCCGCUCCCCCCUGGCCUCCCCUAUCCUUCCCUCCGCCCCCACCCCCACCACACAGAAAGGAUAGGUCUCGGUUAUUUCAUCGCAGCCAUCCACCAUCGCCGCAGCUCUCGAGCCCAUUUCCAAACCCUAGGCUGGUUCUCCUCUCGCAUCCAGUCUAGGGUUCAAGCCUCAGUCUCUCAGGAGCCGUUUGCGAAUCAGGCCUCUUUGUUGCAAAACCCUAAAGUUUCUGGUAUGGAUCUCCAACCCUAUUUGAUUUCCAGUGCGGCUUUAGACGGUAGGCGUUUUGAUCGUUCUUGACGAGGAAUUUGGGUAUUUUUCUUCUUCUUUCCAUCGGAUUUCAUUUUCAUUCACGAUAAUCGUUUCAUUAUUAUGCCAAAUCUGUCGCGCGGAUUGGAUUUUUUGAGCUUGUGUUAUAUUAGGGUUUCGAGACAUUCGCGCGUAGUGUUUGUUCUCAUGGUCUUCUUCAAGUCUCUGAUGGCUUGUUGUUGUUAUUAUUGCUCAUCCACCGGAAUCUGGAAACGUGGAUUGAUAUGGAAAAAGUUGUAGUUAUUUUAUUUUAUUUUUUCAUUGCAACAUGCUUCUUUACUUCGUAUUUGAGUACGAAUUGAUAACUGAAUCCAUAGGCGUUGUUAAUUUUGAUAUGGGUUUGCAUUUCUGACAGUCUUACCCUAUUACUGGAUUGUACUGGAGCCAUUUUCAACGUCGAUGCUGAUAAAACAAACCACGGCCAAUUAGUAUUAUUUGUCUAAUGGAAUCUCGAACCCUAGGAUGAUAUGGACAGAGUUUUAGUUCGUUAAUAUAGUACCUUUUGUUUUCGCCUUGAUUGCGAUAUGAAUUGGAUUUAGUGAUUUGACAAGGUGUUGUUUAUCUUGAUACGUUUUUUUGGUUUUUGUGGCUGUCUCACAUUAUCACCGGAUUGUUCUGUUGUUGAGCUCAAUAUCAAUGCUGAUGACAUAAGUGAUGGCCUGUUAGUAUUACUUGUUUAAUCGAAUCUCGAGCCCAAGAUUGGUGUGGAAGGGGAUGAUGUUAUAUUUGUCCCCUCAAUUUGUUUUUUGUUUGUGAUUAUGGAUACAAUGAAUUGACAAAAUUUAGUUGAACCUGGUACAAUGUUGCUUUUGUUACUUCAUCUUGUUGGUGGAUGAUGCUGUAACUAUAUUCAAUGUCACAGAAGCUGGUUAAUGUAGGCACAGUACAUAGUUUCAUUUUAUUUAUAUGCUGUCCUUCGCCACCAUAUCUGAUAUUUCUUCUCCCCUUACUUACUAUGCAUUAUUGGAGCAAGGAAAAAAGGAAGGUGAUGCCUUGUUUUCUAGUUUUCAAUUGCCUGGAAUGGCAUGUUCAUAUUGAUUAUUAUACCAGUGUCGUAGAUAGGGAGGUAGUCUUUUGUUAGCAUGUGGAAUCUUUCGCAUUCCUGGAAUACGUCUCUAAAACCCUACAAGAAUUCAUUGCAUGAUGUAUUUUAGGCAUGUUCUGCAUUCUUUAGUUAGAUAAUUAUUUUCUUUGCGGGCUAUUAUUCAUUUAUUAUUCAUUUACACUCCAUGGUGAAAUUUGCUCUUGACUUUGUGGUCUGUUGCAUGCUUUUUCUAUUUAGAUUUGUGCUGUCAAUUGGUAGUUACUAGAAAUCUCCAUAUUUGCAGGAAAAAUUCAGUCAUUGGUAUAAUUUGAGCUGGAGAGUUUUUUAUCACCAUGGGAUUUGAUAAUGAGUGCAUACAGAAUAUUCAAUCUCUUCCUGGUGAAUAUUUCUGUCCGGUGUGCCGGACGCUUAUCUAUCCUAAUGAAGCACUACAGUCCCAGUGCACCCAUCUAUACUGCAAGCCUUGCUUAUCCUAUAUUGUGGCUACUACUCAUGCGUGCCCUUAUGAUGGUUAUCUUGUGACUGAAGCAGAUUCCAAGGUCCUGAUGUCUUGCCUGUCCAGUUCAUUCUAAAGUCGGUCUUUGUAAGAACCAAUCUGUUUCACUGAUAGUUUUAUACUAUGAUUUGCAGCCUCUGAUAGAAUCCAACAAAUCACUUGCUGAUACCAUUGGCAAUGUAGCGGUUUACUGUCUCUACCACAGGAGUGGUUGCCAAUGGCAGGGUACUUUGUCUGACUCCAUUACACAUUGCACUGGAUGUAGUUUUGGAAACUCCCCUGUUGUUUGCAACAGGUGUGGAACACAGAUAAUACAUCGCCAAGUCCAAGAGCAUGCACAAAUAUGCCCUGUAAGUCUGAAAGAGGCUUUCUGAAUGUGCUACUAUUUGAAGGAGCAAAUUUGUUUUUCAUGAAUUGAUGUUUAUGCGAUGGUCUGGGUGCAGGGCUUGCAACCUCAAGCACAACAGGUAGAGAAUGCCCAGGUUCAAGCUUCAACAGUGCAGAAUCAAGCUGUUAACCAAGAUACGUCAGUAGCUCCUGCAUCAACAACAUCAACUUCUUCAACAACCCCUGCAUCAGCUGCUUCAACAACUGCUGCCACAACAAUUUCAUCUACUGUUACUCCAACAACUGCUGCUGCAGCAGCCCCUGCUUCUGCUUCUGCAGCUACCCCUGCUACUUCUAGUCAGGGACAAACCCAAGCCAAUGCAACAACCUAUCCACAAGCUGUGACACAGGCUCCAACCCCUGAGCAGUGGUACCAGCAGCAGCAACUGCAAUACCAGCAAUAUUACCAGCAGUAUCCUGGAUACUACCCUUAUCAGCAGCAAUAUCAACAGUAUGGUCAAUAUCAGCCGCAAUUCUACCAACAAUAUUCUCAACCCCAGAUGCUGGUUGCUCCCCAGCAUGCUACUCAAGGACAACAGCAGCCUUCACCUUAUAUGCCGCAGCAACCCCAUAUCCAGCAUCAUCCUCAACAACAGACCCAGCCCCAGCCACAAGCCCAGCUCCAGCCCCAGCCCCAGCCCCAGCCCCAACCACAAGCCCAGCUCCAGCCCCAGCCCCAGCUCCACGCUCCAGCCCCAACCACCAACGCCCAGCUCCAGCCCAGCCCAACACAAGCCCAGCUCCAGCCCAGCCCAGCCCAACGCACAAGCCCAGCUCCAGCUCCAGCCCCAGCCCCAACUCCAAUCCCAGCCUCAACCUCUGCCCCAGGCCCAGCCACACCCCCAGGCAGCCCAGCCGCAGUUGCCACAGCAACAUCUUCCUCAACCACAACAACCACACCCACAGCUCCAGCCUCAUACACAUGCUCAAGUUCCGCAAAUGCAGGCACAACAGAUUCAUGUACCUGCUCAGCAUCCACAUCAUCAUCCCCAAACAACACACCCACAACCUCAGCCUCAUCCCCAAGUGCAACCACCACAGCAGCAUCCAGGACUUCAACAGUCUAUUCCACCGCAACAACAUCCACAACCCCAAAUGCAACAUCCACAAGUCCACCCUCAACACCAGCCCUAUCCACAACCUCAAUCCCAGGCUUAUCUACAUGCCCAUUCCCAACCUCAGUUUCAACAACAGCCUGUGCAGCUGCAACCCCAUCCCCAGUCUCAACCCAAUAUACAGCCACAGCCACAACCAGUUCUGCAGCCACAACCUCAGUAUCCAUCAGCUCGUGCAGUGACAGGACAUCAAUCUUAUCCACAUCCGCAAUCGCUCCAACAAAUCCCACCUGGUGCCCCACAGCAACGCCCUUUGCACAUGCAUCCUCAACAACCUGUUCAAGUGCAGAAUCAGUUUCCAUCCCAACAGCCUCCUCAGAUGCGUCCGCCACAUGGUCAUUUGUCGAUGCAAGUCCAGCAACAGUCAGCUAUGCCUCAUCCUCAAGGCCCUCAUACAAAUCUUCAUCCUUCUCAACAACAAGUGCACCAGCAUCCUGGCAUGCGGCCGCAGGGACCACAGCAGGGUUUGCCUCCAUUACAAGCACAAAGUCAUAUGCAUCCAAGCCUAGCACAUCAGCAGGGGAUGCCCCCACCACAGCAUCUAAUUCAUCCUCAGCAACCUGUGCAUCCUCAGGGCCCACCUUACAUCCAGCAAUCUUUUCCUGCACAGCCCCACUCACAGCAGAGUUUGCCUCAAUCUCAGGGUAUGCCGACUCUUCCAGCUCAGGCUGUAGCUGGCAGGCCGGCUAUGAUGGUAAGUCAUGGAAUGCCACAACAAUCAUUUCAACAGUCUACAGGUGGUCCCACUAAGCUUAUGCAGCCUGACAUGAGCCACAAAUCACCGAGUCAGAAUCAUAUGGGGCGAUCCGCUGCUCAUUUGGCAAUAUUGUCGGAAUUGCAGCCAGGGCCAGUGCAGCAGUCUCAGCUCGCACACUCUGGGAGCCAGGGUACAUUAGUACCUGUAUCAUCUGUUAUGCGGCCAGGGAUAUCAGAUAAAGCAGGUCAUGCAUCUGAGCUGGAGGCAGAAAUGGUUUCAAAAAUUGCUGAAGGGACUGAAGCAAAUAAAUCAGAUCAUGCACAGAUUGAAGCAUCUGAAUCAGCUGAAGUGAAGAUUCCCAGCUCAAAAUCUGCAAUCAAUAAGGAUGAAGUUAUUGGAGAGGGUAAGAAGGAUAUCCAACCUGAUGGAGAUCACAAGAAUAUAUCAGAAUCAGCACGUGUUCAUGGGGAAGGACUUGAGUCACAUGCAAAAGAUGAAAAAGCAGAAGUGCCAGAGAUUAAACUGGUAAAAAAGGAAGAAACUACCAACUUGCCAGAUGUGGGAGCUGAAAGUUCCCAUGUUCUGAAAGAUGUACAGGGAGACAGAGUUAUUCAAAUUCUAGAAGCUGAUCUCAAGGAAAAGUCUGCACAUGUUGAGGGUAGAGAUGCUCAUCUAUCACUGGAUGCUACUGAAACUGUUCAAUCUGGUCAGGUUCCUACUGAGGCUGGACGGCGGGAGUCUUUGGGCUCAGUUUCUCAGAAAACUAGUCAAACUAUUGUCUCCCAAGGCCAUAUCUCUGGAGAUAGUGCUCAUGUACAGUCUCUACAACAAGUGUCAACACCUGGUGGUCUAGAUAGAAGUCAGCUGCAACAGUCGUCACGCCAAAAUGCUUUUUCAGCCAAUGAAAGAGCAUUUCUGCAGCCUGGUUAUCAUGACAGAAAUCCAUCCCAAUUCAUGGGUCAAGGUCCUGGAUCAGGGGUGCUCCAAGGCAUGCCUCCAGCAGGUCCAGCACCCAGUCACGAGAGAUUCUUGCAUCACAUUCCUUAUGGACAUCCUUCAAAUAUGAUGGAUGCAGCCCAAAGACCUCCUGUACCUCACAAUGUACCACAUCCUGGUCCCAUACAAGAAAGAAGGUUUCAGGAGCCUCUCCAUCCAAUGCAGGCGCAUGGGAUAGCAAGUCAAAUUAGACCUCAUGGUAGUAAUUUCCCUGAAACUUUACCUCAUCCGGGGCAGCGAUCAGCUGUUCCAGAACCUUUCCAGCCACCUCCGGGGCAACAACCUUAUGGUUCAUAUCAUUCUGAAGUGCCAUCUGCUGGGCCCCCAGUAGCAGGCUUGUCUACCUCCUCUGCAAGGGCUCCCACCCAUUUCGGGCUCCCACAGAAAGGUUUUCCAGAUCAAGCUAUGACUCCACAAGGGCAAGGCCAGGGGCAUAUGCUGCCGCCUCAUGUUGGUGUGGCAAGACCUGCUUUUCCUGAUGGCAGGCAGCCUGAGCCACCUUUUGCCCAGUCAACUUCAGUGAAACCAAAUGGAAUUCCUGGUCAGAGGCCACCUAUUGGUCAUGUUUUGACAGAAGACAGGUUUAGGCCUUUCACAGAAGAAAGGUUCAGACUGCUGCCUGAAGAUGGAACAAGGGCAGCUCAAGAUGAACGAUUUAGGCCAUUUGCAAUGGACCAUGGUAGAGGCAUUGUCAAUCGGAAAGAGUUUGAAGAAGAUUUGAAACAAUUUCCUAGGCCAGCCCAUUUAGAUGGUGAAGGUGCACUGAAGCUUGAUGGUUAUAUAUCCUCAUCAAGGCCUCUGCCUGGGUCCGAUGGAGGUCCUAGUGCUCUCCCUUCGAGACCAUUGCUUCCUUAUCAAUCAGGUGGUCCUUUUCCCACUAGUAGUUUGGGUCCAGAGCACCAUGGUAUGGAUAUCAGAGAGAGACAUAGGCCUGUUGGAUUUCCUGAAGAUUUGGGAAGAAAGUAUGAUCCAGCUCUUGCCCUUCCUGAUCUCCGCAGUUCUGUUUCUGAAUUUGGUCGACGUCGUAUGGAUGCUCUCCCUCCUCUAAGAAGUCCGGGUAGAGAAUACUCUGGCCUUCCAUCAAGUAGAUUUGGACUAGGUAUGGAGAACUUUGAUGGGAGAGAUCCACGUGGAUUCAGUGAGCGAUCAAAAGCUUUAGAUCCAACUGGAAGUACAUACCAUGAUAGUAAGAUUCCUAUACCUUCUGCCCCAGGCUCUGGUGGAUUGCCAAGCCAUCUUUUUAAAGGUGUUCCUGAUGGUCAUGGAAGCCAUCGAAUGGAGCAGCUAGGUGCUGGUUAUUUGACUGGUAAUAUCAGAAAGGAUCUGGAUGUUCCUGAUAUUCCUCCUGUCAACUUGCAUACUGGUGAAUCACUUGGUCAUGGCUUAGCAGGUACCAACAGGAGCGGUGAAGCAUUUGGAGCUCGAAAUUUGCCUAGUCUUCUACGGGGAGGGGAACCUCUUGGACAAGGUCAGUUCCGCAUGGGUGAGCCAACUAGCUUUGGUGGCUUUAGUGUACCAGGCCGCAUUCGUGCAGGUGAUCCAGGUUUUAGUAGCAGCUAUCCUAUGCAUGGUUUUCCAAAUGAAGCUGGACAUCCUACUUCUGUGAGUGUGUUUUCUUCAUUUCUUCUUCAGCGUCUUUCCUGCAUACGUUUCCAAUAUGCUUUCUGAUUACUUGGUUCAUCUGUAUGUUUCUCUUCAGGGUGACAUGGAUGCCUUUGAGUUUCCAAGAAAGAGAAUGCCUGGGAGCAUGGGGUGGUGCCGCAUAUGUCGGAUUGACUGUGAAACAGUAGAGGGUUUGGAUAUGCAUUCACAAACAAGGGAGCACCAAAAGAUGGCCAUGGAUAUGAUUCUGUGUAUUAAGCAAGAGAUUGCCAAGAAGCAAAGGUUUUAAAAUAACUUUCUACAUAUUAAGGUUGCAUUUGGCAACAUUCUCAUUUCUUAAUUUUUAUUUUUCUGGUUCUUAUCAUUUUCAUUUCAUUUUCAAUAUUCUGAGAGUCGAGAAUGUUUGAUAGUUGGUGGCAUGGCAAUAAUUAGUGAUGGUGAUGUUGGUGGUGGUGGUGGCGGUGGCAGCUGUGGUGGUGAUGAAUUGGUGGUAGUGGUGGUGGUGAUGGUGAGGAUGGAGGGUGGUGUUGGUGGUGAUGGGGGGUUUUAACCUUGGCGGCAAUGGCGGGUGGCUGAUGGUCGUGACGGAUGGCAGCAGUGGCAAGAUGCUGGAAAGAGGCCAGAGAGCUGUAUUGACCUUUUUUUUCAAACGUUUUGGAAGUGCAAAAUUUUUGCGUACAAAAAUUUAAGAAAUUCUAGAAACAGUUUUCAAAAACACAGAAUGAAAUGUCUCUGCUGAACAUGUCUCUGCCUUAAAUUUUGUUUCUGUUUAAAAAUAAAAACAGAAAACAGGAAUUGAUAACAAUUCUAGACGGGACAUAUUUUACUGAUGUCUGACCUAAAAUGAUACAUCUGAGAUCAGAUGGCUGAUAGCGGGAUCGUUGAUGUUUUCACCUGAUGUUUGCAGGAUCUCUGAAGUCAACAUGCCACUCGAAGAUUCAAAUAAAUCAAGGAAGGCAAGUUUUGAGAACCAUGGAAAUCGACAGUAGACUCAUGGUAAUUUACCAUACUGCAGCUUUUAGCAUGUGAAUCAUAUACUUUAGCUAUAAGCUCUGUGUAUGAGACAAUUUGCUGUUUUUGGCUUAAACAAAAAGUAAAUGGUUGAUGCUAAAGCUUUUCUAUCAUCCUUUUUCUUUUUUGCAGGUUGCUUCUAUAGCUGUGGACCUGGUUCUUUGUAACCGAAGUUUCUGUGGCAAGUUAAGAUCGAUUUUGAUAACUUUGUCAUAUUGUGAACAGAUCUUGUGAUUUACUCCCUUGUCAUAACUGCAAAGAUCUUUCUUAGAUUUGGUUGCCAGUGGUGGAGAAAUUGUCUUUAUCACCUUUGUACUGGAAUUGCAGUUUUCCAUAUCGAGAAUGCUUAUUUGAGUUGAUGCUUAUUUUGUUUAGUUCAUUUUUACAUGUUUAUCUUCAAGUUGUAAGUCACGUAUUUUUAAAUAAUUUGUAGAUUUAGGUGUAAUUACCUCCCUUCAAUCACCUGUUUUCCUUUUCUGUAUGGUCUCUGUUCUUUCCUUGAUCUACCUUCUUGGAUUGAUUUAAGCUUGUUAGCCCAGCUAGUUCCCUGAAUAUCAUUUAAAAAGGAACUCUGCUGUUUUUGGUGCAGUAGCAGUUAUCUUUAUGUUUCUUCCAACUUAUUCCUUGUUAGGAGAAUCAUACAGUUUUUGUUCUCUUCACGAAAUCUGAGACAUCUAUAUCCUUUAGGAAACUUUUUUGAAUUUUUAAUUACAUUCUAUCCUUAGGAAUGCAUAUUUUGAAAGAUCAAAGCAUUUGACUGGGAUUGAGAGUUAAUAAUAUGGAUGGAGUGCAAUGUUAUCUAUUGGUAUGCAGAAUCUCUACAUAAUCUGCUAUGGUUCUGUGCGUGCAAGUUUUGAUGUAUAUUUGUUUAAAUGUGGCAUGUAAGUUAUAUAUGUGCUACUGAUUUAUCAUGAGCAAUUAUUAGGCAAGUGAUUAGCCAAUAUGAUCUUCAUAAAUGUCAAAGUCUAGCAGCUGUCAGAAUAAGUUUUACCAUUAACUAGGAUUAAUAGCUUCUUGAUAGAACUCUACCCUGACCUGGUUAUAUCUGUAACUUGAUUGCAAGUUUUGGAUUUUGCUCUUGUUUUGGCCUUAUAUGUUGAAGCAGGCAUACUCAGAAAUUUGCCAUCUACUUUAUGAGAUGAAUGAAGGAAUGCUUUAUCUUCUUCAUAAUCUUUUAGAGAUUUCUGGAAUGAGGGCUAAUAUUUAUGGUGUGUUUUUGUAGGCUUGAUUCUCUAUCAAACUUUAUAUUCCCUUUGGAUAUGAAAUGAAAUUCCAGUCAGAUUGAAAAUACAUGUCUGAUCUGUUGUGUUUAAUAUAUUGCAUUACUGUGAAUAUUUCUACUGGUUUAUGCCCAAAAAAGCAUCGAGAUGUCUAAUGACAUCAGAUAGAAGAGAAGCUUUGUGACUGGAUUUUUGUUUGCAAGCGAGAUAACCCUUGUAGCUUGACUUUUCUAAUUGAAAGUGUAAUGCUUUCAAUGGCAUAAUGAAAUUGAGAGGGAGAGAGAGGAGGUGGGGGGAGAGAUUAAACAAAUGAGACUACCAAUGAAUCUAUUUCUGAAGAUCAAAAAAUAAAAGAUACAUAAUUCCAAGAGUCAUCAGCCCUCUUUGAUCUUUAAUGGAGAAAUCUAUGGUCUUCCUACUCUCCUAAAUAUUGCUACAAUCAGAAAUUCAAAGGAAUUUAUAUAAAGCCUGUUACGUGCAUCACAUGCAGAACAGGAGUGUAUUGUUUGUGCUGGAUAUGAUAUGAUAAAGAUAUUCUACUAAUAAUUCCGUCAAUUGGUAAAUUUUUUCUGGUAAAAGAGAAUAGGGAAACCUUUUUUCUUCCAUAUAUUUGGUCUUUGAUGAUUAGAAAGACAUGAAUCUUGAAAACCCAAAACAAUUUUAACAUCCAUGACACAGAGUCCUUGAUGAUUUGAGAGCAUUUUUUACAAAAUUUAUUCCUUGAGGAGGUGAUCUUGGUUUCUUUAACAGUCAUGGUCAUGCCUUGAUAGUUUGAUGAACUAAUUUAUUUUGAUUUCAUGGGAGGUCACUGAAACCUAUCUUUCAAUAUCUGAUAUGGAGGCAUGUUGUAUGAUAUUACAACUGUCUUUUGAUUUGGUGGUCCCUUAACAUGACUGUAUAUGAAAUCCUAUGCUGCAAUUAAAUUUGUGGAAGUUUGUAAUUAUAGGUUUAAACUGCAGUAUUGUUUUGUAGGCUAUAGUUUUUUGGUAUCAACCUGUGCUGCUGAUAGCUUAACUUGAUGGUGCCAUCUGUUUUAGUUUAGCUAAGUAGUUUUUGUGGAAGCUAACCAGGGAAUGAUAAUGCUUUGCAAGUCGGCUGUGUGGUCAAUAUGUUGACCAGGACUUUGGACAAAACUUGAUGAGAGUAAUGGAAGGGGUUUGUCAUCUUAGGAUAUAUUCGUGGCAUAAUAUAAUUCUGUGGCUAAAGGGAGCGGCCAUUCUAAAAAUUGUAUGAGUUGCUGUAAUUAGCAUUGCUGCAUGACAUUAUUUUUUCGUUAAGUUCCUUUAGAUAGAUUCAGGGUUAUGGUUUCACCUGUUUGAUCAUAUAUUUGAUUUCAGUAUUCGGGAUUCUGCUUGUCUUUUGUUAUUGUAGUUUUAUAGUGCUAAUGCCCAGGUCAACCAUAGUCUUUGCUUUGGAAAACAGAUUUAACUACGGGAAUUGUGGUGCCAAAAUCAAAUCAUAGUAGAUUGGAUGCACAUAUAAAUAUCGAUUGUGUUAUGCUUGCAAGUAGAUAGGUGUCAUAUUUAUGGAAUGAAUUGCUAAUCAGUUUGAAAUGUUUCGAAAAUCACUUCAGACUAAUUUAAUGUUGAAGCACCAAACAUUUCAUGAUAUACAAAACAAUUUGUGAAUUAUAAUUGGACCUGUUGAAUAUAUGCUAAUAUGAUUGGCCUUUCAAUAAUUUGAAGUUUUUGAUGAACAUCAAAUAGCCUAUUUAUAGAUGGAACUCAUGAACGAUGCUGUUUAUGUUAUGAUGUGAAUGUUUUAUGAAGCCUUUUUUAUGCUUAAAUCAUAAUUACAAAUAAAACAAAUUACUAUAUGCAAAAAUACUAUUAGUCAAUAAUUGAAUGAUGAAUUUUUUAGUUAGGGGAGUUGAAUUGGAAGGGUUACUACAGUGCAUGAGUGAUUAAAAGAAGGGGAAAUAGAAUUGGAACUGCUUAUAAUUAUUAUAGAAGGAAACUUGGAACUCCAUUUAUUCUACAGCAAUAUGAACUAAAAAUGAUAUUCCACUCCAUUCUCUUAUAUUUAUCUUAACAUAUCAUAACUUGAAAUUGAGUAAUCUGAUUGUUUUUUUUUGGGUGAUAUUUAUAAGCUAUGCUGGUACGAUGUGUUUGGGUGAAAUGAUCUCCCAACAUCUCCUAGUUUCUUGCAAGAAUAGGGUUUACUUUUAUUUCUUUCUAUAUGCCAAAAAUGCUAGUGAGAUAUGGUAGCACUUUUCACUAGUGUACCUUGUCUUGUCAGACCUGUCCUAAAAAUCCUUGAAGAGAUCCCUUUUUUCUGUAGUUUCAUAUAGGCAUCAUUAUUUUUAUAGUACUUUUUGAACUUACUAAGUUGCACAUGUAGUAACCUUGGUUGUUCAUUGCUUUAUUGGUAACUGCAGUGCUGGACGAUGCUAUUAGGACUGAGCAUUCCAUUGCUGGUUGAACCAUCGAUCUUUCCAUGUAAUAAUCUACUCUCUUCUGUUCUUGGGAUCUAGAAAGGACAGUUUGAGUCCAUUUAUUUGAUCACAGUUAAUAGACUUUCAUUUAUUUAUGUUACAACAAUAAGAAAAUUUCCUCCUGUGUGUGUGUGUAUGUGAGCGUAUGCUAUUUUUUUUUUUGCAACUUUGCCAUGCUUAAUUCCUUUGCCUUUCUUUUCCUUGAUGAGGUGAUAUCUUUAUUGUCCCAUUUCUUUUUCUUAUUGGAUUGUGGCCUUUAUUUCACCAUAUAUAAACUCUUUGACAUAUAUUGGCAAGUCAUCAAUACUGUAGUUUUUUAUCACAUAGACUUUAUUUUAUGAGUUUUAACUGUGGAAAGGAUUAUAGGAAAGAGAAUUUCAUUGUUGACCUGAAGAAAGCAUAUAGAGUAGCUGUAUUAUGUUAUUUGCUAAGAAUUGAAAAAAAACAUAUUUGAUGUGUAUGCUGAAAUUAUAUGGAUGUGUAUGAAGGAACAUUAAAGGAUUAGAAACAUCAGAUGUUCAACGUGAGGAGAAUGGUUCUGUUGGACCCAUAUAUCCUUGCAUUUUCUGUAGGUGAACUUGCUGUCAUAUUCAUUAGGAUGUGCCACACUUUAUGUUAUUAGCAAUAAACAAACUUUGACUUUAUGAGUUGAAAAUAUAUUGGGUUGAUUCACUUUUAUUGUUGGAAAAGUUUUGGAGGAUAUAAGUUUUAGUGAUAAUGGCAAAGAGAUACAUUGUUGCUUUGUUAUGCAAGGAACGGAUUAAUGGAUGGAUAAUGCAAUUGAUACCAAGUAUAUGAAAUGGAGAAGUUUUCUAGGGUGUUAUAUGAUUAUUAUAUGCAUGCAAGAUGUAAAGAAGAGUUAGGAGAUGAUAAUGAUGUCCUUGGCAUCGUAUUUACAGAAUAUCAGAAUAUUAUUCUCCAAUAGAAGAUGAGCAUUGUAGUGAAUAUUUGGUUCACUUAUUCUUACCUUUCAAAUUUCCAAACUUUUAGAGGAGAAAAUAAUAGAAUUAAGUUUUCUGUGCUAGCUGAAGUGCUUGUAAUUUGAAUGUAGAGUUUCAGUCUCUUUAUUACUUCUAUUCUAAAUGCAAUAACUUUCACGAAGUCGUAAUAUGUUUAUCUUUUCAGCUACCUUAUUCUGUUUCAUUUUCUUGUUUUUGCCUCUGGUUUGUUGCUUAGGAUGUGUUCUUUUUGUGUUGCUUUCCCUUUUUCAAACUUGAUGCCUAUAGCUUCAUGUUAGGAAGUAUUUUGGAUUUGUUUAGGAUCUCAUUUAUUUAUUGCCCUUUUCUGGUCACUUUCUUUGGGCGCUUGUUCGCUUGACUGUAAUUCUCCAUUCACCUUAUCAAUGUUCCAAUUCUUUGAAUAUGCAGUAUGUUUCCUUGUCAAUGCGCCUGAUUUUAUGAACUGUUUGUCCAUUUCACCUUUAGUGCUAUGACUAGUGUAUUUGUACACAUCUUGGCCCAUGUUUUUCCAUGUAUGAACAAGCUCUAUAUACAAAUUAUCAGUUAGUGGGGAGCUUGAAGGAUUUUGAAACUUGAAAACUAGUUUAUUCUAAUGAUGAGAAUGUGCAUUUUGGAGGCUAUGGAAAUUUGACAUAAUAUUCUUUGUAGUCUUCAAAAUUUGUCCCAGUCCAAGCAAACAAGUGGAUAAUCUUAAACUCAUCCCACAAAAGAAGACAGCUAAAAUUCCCUACCAUAUACAUAUCGAAGCAUGCGACAUGGUUGUUUGACAAUUGCACACAGGAUUGUGCGUCUUGGUUGCCUUUGUUAUGGAUGUGCGUCUUGGUUACCCUUCUAGUCACUCUUCUUUGAUACAUACACGUUUUUACAUUUCACUCACUGAUAGAUGACUAUGAAACAGAAUGUAGCAAAUAGAAACUAAAAUGCGGAGUGUAUCUAUUAAUUAUACUCCUGAGCCCAGAUAGUCAUGGUUGAUGGGGACAUGUCCAUUUCUACUAAAUGCUUCUUCAUUUCGAAUAAACUACAUUCAUAUGCUUGAUGCUAGUCACAUUUAACAUAAAUCGUGAUCACAUUUCCAAAUAAUGAUUUUUAGAAUCUCUCUCCCAUUUUUUUGUCAAAUAAGUAGUAAGAUUUAUCUACAAUUAUUGAAACAAAUAUAUAAUUUUGUGGCACUUUAUGCAAUAAUUCUAGUUCUAGCUCGUUAUGAAAGUGCUAGAGUCAUUUCAUUUAUCUGUUGGGAGCCAGUUGGACAAAGUGAAGGUGGCGAUGCUCUAAUCUCAUAACCUUUAGAACUCUUGCACCAGAUUUAGAGAAUCUAGUGUAGUGUGGCAGAUACUCUCUAACAUCGUAGCUUUAAAAGCCUUGAGUGAGGGAAAUAGGAUCGGUAUAUUUGAGCCUCCAUUCAUUAGCAUAUGAUGUUGAGUGAAGAUCUAUGUGGUGUAAAUGGCUAGAUGAUGUCUUUAUGAAACAAAUCCAAAUUCAUGUCUUGUAUAGCGAACUCAAUGAGUAGUAUCUGAUUUCAUGACCUAUAUUGCCCACAGACUCAUCAUAACAUGUUAUUAACUACUAUCUUAAGCUAAUUAGGUAUCCAAGUAACAGAGCAAAGAUAUGCUAAUUGUUGUUUGUUAAUGAACAAGAAAAGCCCAAACAGAACAGCACCUUUUAAUUCUUGAUUCUUGUGGAGAUGGUGAUGGUGUUUUGCCAAAUUAACAUCAAGUUUUUACAGCUAUUUAAUUACAAUUUGUUGAUUUUGCUUUCUAAUGUUUUGACAGUUUACUUGUUUCAUUCACAAAGCAGACCAAAAAAUGUUUAAAAUAAAGCGCGUGAGAGUAUUAUUUCCAUAUUUGACAUGGUUUAUUUUAAGAUGGUAAGAGCAUGUUCAUGUUUAUACAAUAAAGUUUACAUUGUAAACUAUCACAUUGUCUACAUAAGUGGCUUCCUGAAGAGCUAGGCUUUACUUUUUGGUUGCCUGGCUUUUUUUUCGUCUUGUGACUGGUAAAAUUUUGCAAACUUUUUCAGUGAUUACAAACUUACUAUAUAAUUUUAAUAUCAUAAGAAUUUAGUUUGCAGUAUUUGGACCAUUGAUUUGUUACAUUUGGUGAUUAACAGAAUAUUUUUUGUUGGGAAAUAGUGAAGGGCUGUCUUUCUCUUCAUACUUCUUUUAUUCCUGGGUUUUCAGUAUCUGAGUAUUUGAUUUUUGUAUUUGCCUGCCUUUUUUUGUUUCUAUCUAUAUUCCUUCCAUAAUUGGAUAGUGAAUUGUAUGGCUCUUAAGUUGCAAUGGUUUUAAAGUAUAUGACAUGUAGUGCAUUAUUUCCCAUCAACUACUGUCAGACAAAAUAUAUAUUCUAAAUUACUCAUGGGAAAUGACUGGAACACUAUAAUGUAGUUAGACAUUAUAGAAGGAUUAGGUGCCAUUUGUAAUCAAUGCACAAUUGUUAUUUUUUCUAAUCUUUUGGAUUUCAAGGAAAGGCUGACAGUGUGGUUGAUUGUAGACCUCACUUGAAUUAUCUGAUAACAUUGUUUGCUUGAGACUGUCUGAAGGAUUGUGUCUUACCUGCUUAUUGGUUCUAGGCCAGCACAUGCAUUUGAUGCAUAGAUUGUAUGUUCACCAAAAGUCUAUGCUGUUUGCAUCAGAUCACUAGCUUGUUUUAAAAGAAAAUCUUGCACUAUUAGAGGACAAAAAUUAACCUUCAAUAUACAACCAUGUAUGGUAUGGAAAUCCAUAUACGCUCCCUUUUCUAUAUCGUUGGUUGAUUAUACUUGAAUUUGCUUUGUUGGAGAUGAACUGGUAUUCAGUAUUAUUUUCUGAGAUGGUGAACUCGUAGACAUGACAUGCCGCACUACUUUUUGGACUCUAAGAAGUUGGAUUAUUGUGUCUUCAUCAAUCCUAACUGUUAAAACACAAGCAUUUUCUACUAUGGCAUUCUAGGGCUACCCUGUCAACUAUCAACCGUGCUGCAAUUACUUAAAAAUGUUUGGUGCUUCGUAUUGAAGUUUUACUUCUUGUUUCUUCUUUUCUUCAACUUAAUCUUAUGAAUUGAUUUGUUUAAGUUGGAUUGUCAAUUAUUAGUUCUCUAGUUAUAGUAUUUCCACACGUGUACCUAUUCAUGUUGUAUGAAAAUGCUUCCAUGUUAAAGCAUUAGGGAGGUUAUCUUUUGAGUAGGUUACUGACUUUGUGAAGAAGUGAGCAACAGAAAGUUGUAAGUUGGGAAAAUAUGAGGUAGAGGGAACAUCUUGAUAAAGCAGAGACUGCAAUAAAAGUGACACUGAUUACGUUAUGCAUGGUACAUUUAGAAAAUGUAGAUUGCUGCCAAUUGGUUGCUUCGCUGCUGUUAUACUACAUCAAGGUGUUACUACCAAGAUUUAUGCACAAGUUAAGAAGAAGGCAUCUAAAGCCAAAAAAUCUUGUACGGUUCAUGGUGUAAUUUUUUGCUUCUAUACUAAUGCAAUGCAAGACAAUCUUGAAAGGAAAUACCCGGCUAGUGAUCUUUCAACUUUGUUUGACUUCUUUGACUUGAUGACCAACAUCAUUCUAUUAGGCACAAUUGUUUUCCCUACUUUUAUCUUUUUUUAUGGCCUUCUUUAACUCAAAUAUUCUGAUUCUAUAUGUAUACUUCAUAUUUUGUUUUGCUUAGUAGAACUAGUUAGGCAUCAUAAAUUGUACAUGACUUCAUUUGAAGAGCUUAUGAAAAUAACUAUUCAUCUUUCUUUGAUCUCACCCUCCUUAACCAAAAUGUUUUGAUCUUUAUCAUUGAUGCAUUUAACCUGCGGUUUCUUGUUUUCCUUUCUCUUAGGUUUGCAAUCUUAUACGUUAUCUUUUUUUUCCCAUCCUUAGUGUCUGAGUUGUGAGCUAAGUUUUUUUAUCAGAUGGCCUUCUCUUUGAUUCUCCUAAUACCUCGGUAGCCACUUUCUUCUCACAUGGUAUUGAUUUCUUUAUCUAGACCCCAUUCCCUUCUUUCAGCAUUAUAUAUUUGAAAUUCAUUUGUUUCUCCUCACAAAUUUCAUCACCUAGUUCUCAGGGUUUUAUUUUCUUUUUUCAUUGUUUUCAUUACCUAAUACACAUCUAAAACCACGAUUCUUUGCUGGGUACUUAAACUUUGUAUAACCCUUCAAUCUUUUUACGAAACCUAGUCAGUCUUACUAGUAAGGUAGAAAUAUAUUUAGCUAUCAUGCUGCCCAUUUUUAAAUUUAUCAGUCCUUUUUUAAACAAGUGUUAGCUAAUAUUAAGUUAUAUGUCAUAGCGAACUCCGAAAUGCUAUCUUAUUUCUCAUUUCUAUUUUUGUAACCAUAACGUCCACACCUUUCCAAAAUGUAUACUAUAUUUUUUCCACGUGCCCAUUCAAAUCUACUUUGAUAUAUAUCUUUUCUUGACUAGAAAUCUCUUGAAGCAGUCCAUCCAAGCUGUCUCAAAAGUGCUGCUUUAUAGCAUCAUCCAAUCCUAUUUGAGCAAUAAUAUUAGUAGACUUCUCUUACGAUAUUAGUUUUAUCAAGGUUUUUCUACUUUUCACCAUGACUGGACAUCGAUGUGGCCUGUUGCUUACGGGGAACGUCCUAAUUAGCUGUUGCCCACGUUUCACUAUACCUGGGGUUACGGGAACACCCCAAUGCUUUGCUUAUGUCUUCAUUUGCAUAACAUGUGACUAUAGUUUUAUGCUGGCUGUCAUCCUACUGCAAUUCUCCUUUGCUCGGGCUUAGGGUUGGCUAUGUACAAAAUAUAGGUGGAGUUAAAAGCUAUUAAUUUAUCAAAAUGUAUAAUAAUCCUGCAGGCUCAUGCUAUGUUGAUGUAGGAUUGAUGUUGGCCGCUCCUCAUAGAAGAUAAAAAUUAUUUUAAAAAAUAUAUUUUUUGUUAUAUUGGGAUGUUAUUUUUAUUAUUACUUUUUUAAACUCUUUAAUUCUCUUUGAAAGUCAAUUGAUACUCCUCCCGCCCACCCUGUCUCCAUAAUGCUAAUCAAAAAAGUUUCUAAAAGAGAGAGUUACCUGCCACUCCUAUAAAGGGUAAACAAGUGCUUGUAUUUCAGGAUCUGUUAGUUUUGUUCUAUUAAUUUGAAAAAAAAGCAAAGAAUUCCAUCACUCUAGAUGGUUAAUGGAAUGCACGUAGCAAUCAUUAAGGCCCUUUCUCAGACCCAUUGUUCAGGUUAUGAAAUAAACUAUACUUCGAAAGAGUCUGAAAUUUGUGACUUAUUUUGUCUAGCUGCAAAAAUGUGCUACCAUAAAUGCUUGAGCAAAGACUGAUGCUUGUUGCAGGGAUUUAAAUACCUGAUUUGGCUUUAUUCCUAGUAGGCCAACCAUGUUAACGAUUUUCUGAUCGCAAUGGUUAACAGUAAAAACAAAUGACUAAAUUGAAUUUUUACAUGUACUUACUUAUUCAUUCGUGACGGAUAUUAAGUGCUGGUUUGAAACAACGAAUUUUAGUGUCUGCUUGAGAUUACUCAUUUCCAGUUGCCAUAAAUUGGUAGCACAUCAAUAUGAUGGCUUCCAAAUAUUACUGUUUAAAGAUGCAUUAACUGUUGAGUUUUAAAAGUGGCGGAUUCAGCUAUACAACAUUGUCUGUUAUUGUUAAAUUGAAUGUGAAAAGAAUUCUGAUGUUAAAAUUUUGAAAUCACAGUUCACAAAAAAGCUUAUGGAGCAGUUAAAACCAGCUGACAAUAUACGGCAAUUUUACUAGCAUUGCAUUCGCGAGUAAGUGAAUUUGGAUGUGUCAGAAACCAUAUAGGGCGUGGUGGAUGAAGUGGAUGAGCAAUUUCAUGAUUACCUAAAUGCCUGAAGGACAUUCUAGGGAUGUGGAAUAGCAAUUGUACAGGGUGAGUGAACAGAAUGGAGUUGUUUGGAUGUGUUUGGCGGCAAUGUGGUUAUUAUGGUUGAUAUGGGAUGAAAUUAGGAGGAUUACAUAAUGUUGUAGGAAACCUUUUUAAUAGCCCCAAUACUAAAUUGUUGGAAGUCAAUUGCGAAGGUCUGGGUAGGCUACAGAUGGAUAAGUUCAGGUCGUUUAAUUGGAAUUUUGAUUUGGAUGAAUAAAAUUUUUCGUUAGACUUGACACUGCUUUGGAUGACUUGACAGUGCCUUGGAUCAUUGAGCUUGAACCCAUUUGGGUGUUCCUAUAUUUGUUUAGGCAAAAAUUGCCAAUUUUAUAAUAAUGCUUGUCAUGGUCGCUCAAUUUUUAUACCUUAUUAAUGAUUAGGGUAUGAUUUCUGCUUCCCUUUAGAGUCAUCUUUGGUAGGGGUUAAUCAAGGAGGGUUGCCCCUUGUUUGAUAGACCAUGCAUUCAACAAAGGCAAGUUUUCCUACCUGUAUGCUGAAGUUCUAGGUUUUAUGGCGGGAUAUUCUCUUGCCUAAAAUAGUGAUAUCUGGUGUUGGUCUGCAAGGCUUUGACAUUGAUCUUUUGUAUGUGCCUUCUGUAAUCAUAGAUAGAUUGUUCAAUUUUGAACAAUAAUGAACUUCUAAGUGUUACAAGGUAAAAUGUGCUUAUAUGUAAAGUAUCAUUUUUUUGCUUUGAAUUAUUUAAUCACAUUUAACUAACUUUAUCUGUAAAUUGUUCUGUACAACAACAAUUAGUCAUAACCAUGGAUUUGUUGUUUAGUUAAUUAAAUCUAUGGAUCAAUGCUUUUGACCUUGACUUCAUUGUGAUACACUUGCUAUUGUCUGGCUUGUUUCUAUUUAUAUUGUCUUUAUGUUGUGUGAACAAUUUCUUAAUUAACUCUGGUAGGAGGGAAAAUAAGUUCUCUUUGUACCUGGACAAGCGACUAAUGUUUUAGAUCUUACCACACUAGGAACAUCGUCGCAUCAAUAUCCCAAUUGCCAUCUUCUUUUUACCACUUGAAUACUUCAUCUUUGGAUAUGUCCAUCCUUUCUUUUCAUGAGUGUUUUUGAUGUUAUGUUAUGUUGCUCUUUUGUUUGUUCUUUUUCACCUUGUAUACACUUUUUGUUGUUUGUUGGCGCCUUGGUGCGUCUGAACCUCUUAUGCUAAUCUCUGCACUUUGAUUUCCAGUGAAGAAAUUCAUUUAUCCUUUUAAACAUGUGGAAUUGUAUGCAAAUAUGCUAAUGUAACCACUGCCUGGGUUGCACAAGCAUCGUGCAGUAACUUAGAAUCCCUAGCAUGAAAGGUAACCGAUAUUGGCUUUAAAAGAUCAAUUAUUAUGCAGGUGGUUGACCGAUUGCCGCGAUAACCGCAGCUUGUAGAUAUCUAGUGUCGUGUUAAAACUAACCACUUCAGGGGCAUGGUUUUUCGCUUUGCCAAGUGCAAAUUAGAGAGGUAAAGGUUGGACUGCUGGAGUCUUAUCAAUAUGACUUUUGACCGAUAGAAAAUGACGACUGACUUGAUUUUGCGGUACUAGCUAGUUUUGCAGUCAGGAGUUCGUUGGGUGGACUGUGUUUCAGACUUAUCGUGACAUUGACAUGAUGUAAUCUUGUAGUAGUUAUUUGUGGAUUGGUGGCAAUUAAAAUUCUUGAGUUAAUUUUUAUCAGAAAAAUUCUUGAGUUAAUUACCUAGCUUUGGAGAUAAUAGUUGUAGCUUGAUAUCGACUGAAAAAAGAUUCCUAUUUCAAAGUUUGCCUUCUUGCCAUCGGACGUAACAGAGGUGAUGCUCCCUGUUUGACGUACUUUGACUAGCUAACCGUGAACAUAGGAUUUUUUUACCAUUCGGUUUGUCUGCCGAGUCUCACGACUGGUAUUGCUCCCCAUAACAUUUGUCGUCAGGAAUGAUAGUCGCCAGUCGUGUUGUUUAGUGUGAGGUUGUCAGAUGGGCUGCUGAUCCGUCGUAUGGUGUCAUUUCAACCUUUUUAUUCUUUUUUUAUGAUGGAAUAACCUGUUUUUCUUGUUGUAGUGUUCGACUUUUUUUCUUUUUUUUCCUUAUAACAUGUUCAUUCUUGUUAGCCAUUCCCAUUCUAACAGGGAAAUGAUCGGUUGAUUGGUCAAGAUUAUCCUCUCUCCGGCUUUUGUGUAUAACCAGGUUUUUAAGUUAUUUCAGUAAUUUUCCAAAUUAUCCAACAUCUGUCUUCUGUCUAUUUUGCCUUCGGAGUCUCAAAAACCUGAAUUGCAGCCUUUUUUUAGUACGUUCAGGUACUACCGUUUUUCGGUCUUUCUGGUUUUCAUUUAUUUGCUCAAGAAAUUUUUGCUAGUCCAGAUAUGAAUUCUUAACUUAUGGGUUUGGAAUUUAUUUGAUGAAAUUGUAUGACAUGAUUGAGUUAAUGUCAGUGGUAACCUCGCCUUUAUUGUUAUACGAUUAAGAAAUCCAGAGCCUGUGGGUUGGAUGGCAUCUCUCCCUCUUUAUGGUGUUAACAUGGAUGGUUUAGUGAUACACAGGUUCUCACCUUACGGAGCUGAAAUUCAGUUCUGAAUGAAUUUGGCAUGCGAGUUGAAGCCCAAGGUGAGAUUAUCCACACGGACUUCCCUUUUUUGGCUAUCAGGACUGGGCUCUUUGUAAGGCUUUGGUCUAUGCUCAGCCACAGCAUAUUUAUGGAGCCAUUAUUGAUGUGAUGCUCUUGCUUAGCUAUCCAUUGGGAAAUGGGGUUAGCCCAUCCCUGUUUCGAGUAUCUUCAACUUCGAUCUAUAUGAUCAAAUUCUGCUGCGGAUUGGAUUGCCGACCAUGCAAAGGGGGAGAAAACUGUAUCAUGGUAAAUGCUGUACCCUGUGGCCUUUAAUUUCUUUAGACGUUUCGGUGCUUGUAAUGGAAGGGUAUGACUGGUUCUAACAGCUGCUUUGACCGCCCAAAAAAGGAAAGAAACACUGGUUCAAUGGAGAUUUUUGUGGACGGAAAACUUUCUUUGAAACAACCUAUAAUUUUUCAAAUAAAAGUUUAACCAAGACAUGGAUGGGGAAGCCGUCUAUGAAUGCUGUGAGCCACAUCCUACUCCGACUAUAAAGCGUUGCUAUACUUUUGCAGGUUCGCUUCGGGGUACAUGCCAAUUGGCCCGAUUCGUGUUCUUAAGCAAAUGAUUGUCUCCAAUCAGAUUAUUUGUCCCCGCAUGCAUUAGUUUCCUGGCUUGAAUCUGGGGAGGACUAUUGGAGUUUCAAAUUUCUGGGAUAUGUUAGUCACAAGCGAGUAUGUCUAGGUUGUACAUUCCUCUAGUAUUUAUACUCCUGUAUUUUCAUCUGUUGUUGAUUGUCCGUUCGUCAUUGUCCUGAGGGUCUAUUGGGUUUGCUGUAAGUAGAUCCAUCCGGAACGAACUCUGCUAAAAAUCAUUUCAGGGCUCCUUUCACAAGCAAAAAGGCAAGUCCGGGUCGUUUCUCAUUUCUUCCAAAAUUGGAUCAUUUUAGCUCCAUCUAGAGCCAAUCAAUUAUCAGAAUUGGGUCUUUACUAGUUCGAACUGAAUUUGGAGUUUGAAUGUCCGGUUACUGGCAAGUACGUAGGACCCAAGCAAAUCUGAGACCUUCAAUGUUCGCUUCGUGAGGUCAAAUGUCUAGUUACAGGCAGCUGAACGGAUCGUAGGUCAAUAUUCCGUAUAUUAUUUUGAACACAUAACUUGCUACUACCUUCAAAUGGUAUGAGCGGACCACGGGACAAGAUACCCCGGCCAUUUAUCCUAGGACCCUGGCAGUUUCCCGAGGAGCCAAGGUGUCUUGGAGGAGCGGCAUGUCAGGUCACACCCCAGUCUCAUGCCUAGCUCUUUUACUCAGCCGUAGCAAUAUUUCAAAUUAAAAAAAACUUCAAAACUCAAUGUUUCUAUCAAGAAAAAAGCCUCAGGAAUAUUUUAAAUUAGAAAAUGCUUUAAAAUCCAACCUUGCUUCAGGAAUCUGUCGCCGGGGAGUCGGCGUUAUUCAUUGGUACAGGAUUUGGGCCCCGUAAAAUUCCAGCUGAAUUGACCGUUGCCCUCCCUCCGCUGGAAGCUCAGCUCGUCCCAGCCCUUCGCUUCUACCAGUUCCCGACAGAAAUCCCCAGUGCCACAGGGCCAGGAUUCAAAAUAUGAAGGAUGAUACUAGCCGUUACUUCUGCUCCCUGUAUAUGCCAACCCACCCUUUCUUCUACAUCUGAUCUCUUUCUCAAGCUUCCCGCGAAAGAGUGUGCUCGAAUAUUUUCGGUUGUCUUUCCUUCUUCUUUGUGAAAGGGUAGGAAAAAAUGCGCGAGAUUCUUCACAUCUAGGGAGGGCAAUGUGGCAACCAGAUCGGAGCCGAUUUCUGGGAGGUUUGUCUGUGGCGAGCAUGGGAUUGAUGCCAGACCUCCAGCUUGAGAGGAUCGAUGUCUACUACGAUGACGCAAGCUGUGGCCAGUUUGUUCCCCGGGCCGUGCUCAUGGAUCUUAGAGCCAGGAACCAUGGACAGCAUCCGAUCUGGCCGUAUCGACAGUGCUUCCGUCCUGAUAACCUUGUCUUUGGGCAGUCCGGUGCUGGGAACAACUGGGAUAAUGGGCCGUCACACCGAAGUUGCUGAGCUUAUCGAUUCAGUGCUUGAUGUGGUUGGGAAGGAAGCAGAGAACUGCGACUGCUUACAAGAUAUGAUCUUCACUCUUGCGCUCAAAUGUCUUCAACGAACGCCCAUGUGAUGGCCUUUCCAUUGUAUGUUAAAUCUCGUCUUUUAAAUUUCUUUCUCGUUUCCUUUUUUUUUGAAAAGAAAUUUCGGGGACACUUCUGAUAUCUAAUAUCAGGGAAGAGUACCCUGAUCGUAUGAUGCUCACAUUCUGUCUUCCCCUCCCCCCAGGGUCUCCGACGCUGUCGUUGAGCCUUACAAUGCCUCUUUAUCGUCCCCCAGCUUGUCGAGAACGCUCAUGGAUGCAUGGUCCGGGACAAUGAGGCCCUCUCUGACAUCUGCUUCAGAACCCUCGAGCUCAUUACCCCUAGCUGUAAGCUCCCUGCUUAGUACCACCUGCUUACAAGGAGUACUUGCUAAUUCUAGUUCACUCUGUACUAAUUUUGCUAUCUUCCAUUUGAGCAGUUGGAGACUUUGGAACCACUUGAGCUCUGCAACCAUUUAUGGAGUAACAUGCUGCCUGAGGUUCCCUGGCCAGCUCAACUCUGACCUCCAAAAGCUCGCGGUUAACGUCAUUCCCUUCCCUCGUCCUCAUUUCUUCAUGGUGGGAUUCGCUCCAUUAACCUCCCGCGGGUUUCAGCAGUGUCGUGCACUCACAGUCCCAGAGCUGACCCAAAAAGACGUGGGAUGCGAACAUGACGUGCGCAGCUGACCCACGCCAAGGACGGUAACUCACGGCCUUGGCUACGUUCCGAGGUAAGAUGAGCACCAAGGAAGUAGAUGAGCGGAAGAGCAGUGUACAGAACUAGAACUCUUCCUACUUCUGUCGAGUGGAUCCCAAACAAUGCCAAGUCGACGGUGCGCGACAUCCUAUCGAUUGUUCUGAAGAUGGCAUCGACCAUUACUGGGAAUUCGACUGCUAUUCAGGAGAUUCUCCGGACGGUGAGAUGGAGAGUAUCAGGGGAAGGAAUGGAUGAGAUGGAGUUCACCGAGGCAGAGAGCAAGAAGAAUGAUCUAGUUUCAGAGUAUCAGCAGUACCAAGAUGCAACAGCUGACGAGGAUGAAGACUAUGAUGAGGAGGAAGAAGCUCAGGAAAAUGUGAUUGGAGAGCACCGGCUCUUGUGUUUUUGUCCGGUGUCUUAGAUUCUGAAAAAAAAAUUGCAGGUGAAAGCAAAUGACGAAAAUAUGUUGACGUUGAUACAUAAAAAUUAUUAUUUCCGGUGGGUCAAUAUUGUUGUGGAUGCAUCAUGCCUUUUGGGAGAUGACUAAAUUAGUUUAUAGCCAUUGACCUCUGAAUGAUUGUGCACAACAAUGACAAAAGUUUUCAUGCUUCUAAAUUUCAGUCUGAUACAGUAUGAAAUUUCUUUUGUUCUGGAAAUAUGGGGUCUGUCAGAUCACUGCAUGUACCGAGAUAAUAGGAAAAUGAUGGUUACAGCGAAGGGACGAUAAUUUUGAUGCCAAGAAAGUGGAAAGAAUGCCGACAAAUCAGUUUCCUUUUGUUGCACCAUGCUUCUUCAAAGCAAAAGAGCAUUAGAGCACCAUCUUUUUGCCUUUGGUUGCUAGAAAUAUAUUUUAGCUCCAUCCCAAUUCGCCAAAUAAAAAUGCUUCAGUAGCUAAUUUGUUGUUUUUUCCCAUUGAAUUGGUAACCUGAAGUGUGCCACAUAAUGAAGCAUCGAGAAUGGUGCAAAAGCAGCUGAGUGAUGUUUUUGAAUGAUUUUUCUGGGUUACCGUAGCAUUGCCCUUCUUGAAACUAUUUAUUCAUGGAGAAGCUGAUGUAGAUUAAAGAAAGUGGGUAAAGUCUGAACAAGCAGCUCAGUGAUGUUUUUGUAGCAUUGCCCUCCUUGAAACUAUUUAUUCCAUGGAGAAGCUGAAGUAGGUUAAAGAAAGUUGUUAAAGUCUGAACUAUUCGAACCAAAUGCACCGAUGCUUUCAGACAGUAAAAAUGGCUCCUUUAAUAAAGUGAUUACAUUUUUUCUAUGGACAGGGAAGAAAGUUGGAUUAUAAAGGAGAGGAAGAGAGCUUCUCUUUUAAGCUUAAGAAUUGAGUGUAUAAAAAGCAACGCCUACAGGGAAAAAUCAAAAGUUGAGUGCUUUCCUAAUUAAUAGCAUCAUUCCUCCAGCAAUAGAAAUUAUAAACAGAGCCGGGGAAACACAUUUUUCAGCACAGGUGCAAAUUAUAACAAUAUUUAGAGAUAGAUACUCUGAGAAUAUUAGAAAAGAUGGUAGCAUCUUAUUGUAGAAGCAAUCUUCUAGUGGUCGAGUAGUACCCCGCUUCAGUAGAUUUCAGGCUGGUGCCAAUCAUGCUCUUUCCAUUAAGCAUACACAGUUUGCUUCUAGUUUAUUCCCUUAAUGAAAUGAAGCUAGAUGGGAUUCCCAUCCCCCUCACAAAAGAGAGAGUGAUAUCUUUCUUUGUAUGCUUUGCUUUUCCUCUGUCUAUCUAUUGUUUUGCAGCUUGGCUUUCCUUGGAUGUCGAUGCAUUUCCUUAUAUCAGUCCUCGUCUUCUUCCUCAUGCUUCUACCCUGGUAUUAUCUUUUAUUCUUUUCUCAGACCAGUAUUAAGAUCUGCUAACAGCCAACCUUCUAGCUGAGAAGAAAAACAGCACACCAUUCUUCUCAAAAUCCUAAUCAGUUAAAUCUUUUCACUAUUAUUAGCCCUAGACAACCCAAUAGCCCAUCCCUCUAAUCCUAUUUCUCUUUGUAUAGGUAUUGCCUUAAAUUGACAGCAAUCGUAUCCUUGUUUCAUGCGUGAUAUCUAUAUACACACACUAAUGAUAGGUUCACCUCAACAAGUCCUUCUAUGUAUUGAUUCUCCCAUAAAGAACCUUUAUCUAUUUUCCCUUUUUUUUGUUGGGAAAUGCAUAAACAACCAUUAUCUUCAUUAGCUGGUAAAUAACAAUAUCAACAAUAUCAUCAUGGUAUCCCUUCACCUUGCAAGCCUGGAUCAAAAAAAUCAACAAGCCAGGGUGAUGCCAAGCGAACAGUUAGUCAUAGAUUGAACACCAAAAAUGAUAUGUUUCAUUAGCUGGUAAUAACAAUAUCAACAAUAUCAUCAUGGUAUCCCUUCAGCUUGCAAGUCUGGAUCAAAAAAACCAACAAGCCACGGUGGUGCCAAGCGAACAGUUAGUCAUAGAUUGAACACCAAAAAUGAUAUGUUUCCUUGAGCGCGAGCUGAUGGUGAAUGCAGUGCUUGAUAAUUGAGGCAAAAAAAGAGUUCCCAGAUUAACCUGUCAGUUAUUGGUUCGAGCUCACAAAAUAGAGGCUGCCAACACAGGUGUUCUUGAUUCCAGUUAGGAUCUAGAAUUCAUGACAAAGGGAGGAAAAUUCUGUUAAAUUCAAAACUCAUGGUGAUUCUCUCAUCCUAGGAUGAAGGCCUGCUGUAACUGGACCAAUUAGCUUCCAAAUGAGCUCAUUAACAGCUGAAUCAUGCAAAUUAUCCUGGAUAAAUCUAUUAUUAGUGCCUUUGCUAUGAAAUGAGCAACUGAAUUCCAAUCAGAAAAGGAAAAAAAGACCGUAAAAGGAAACCAGUCAGCACCAUAAAUUACCAACCUAAGAGAGAAACAGUAACAGGUUUAAGAAUUUAAAAUAGUGAAUUAUAUGAAGUUCUUCAAUUUGGAAAAGAUGUUCAUGCUACCAUUACUACUAUUCUCCGAAAUCACAGUUGAAAUCCAAACUUGCAGAGCAGAGACCUCUAGUUCAUACAUCCAAAGAGAAUGCAAAUACAACAGUUUGAUUUCUUGAUGGAAACCAUAGCAUUUGAGGAAAUUUGCCACAAAAGCUACAUUUUCCAUCAGAUCACAGACGAUAAAAUACAAAGUGGGAUAAAGAAAAAGAAAGAUAUACAAGACAGACAACAUCUUCACCUCCAAGCCUCUACUUCUUAGUACUGUCUACACCCUUCUCGCCAGCAACCAGCUCAAUCUGUUGAUACCCAACCUCGACCGGAUGCACAGGAUACUCUACCGGAGCGACCGGACGCCGGGCAAUGAGGGCAAACCAGACAAACAUCACAAAGAAUGUGAGCAGACCCCCACAAGCAGCAGCAAACACCAUUGCUACAAACACACCCCAAGGAUAAGUCCUCCUAAGAUGAAUCGGAGGGCUCUCACGAGCCCGCACCACGAAUGGACGAGGAUCCAGGGGCUCAGAAUGCAUCGAAUACGGAGCUCCACGUUUAACAGCAAAGCUCCACGAGUAGACACUGCUGGUCUGAGUCGAGUUUCCACUCGAAGAGCUGAUGCCCACAAGCUUCUCCUCCCUCUGCAGCACCCUGGACAGAUCAAUUGGGUAGGAAACCAGCGGACUCAGCGGCCUCGAAUCACUCGAUUUGCUCAGCCUCACUUCGAAUCUCUUCGAAUCCCCAUCAUAAUCGACCCAAGAAUGCACCUUUUCUCCACCAUGCAAGACCAGACUGACAUUGGAAAGGUUGCUGCUUUGCUUGGAUAUUUCGCCACCAACUUCGACCCUGAUGUGGCUGCCAGUCUCAGGUUCCGUCCGUGUCUCGAAUUUCACUGCGGUAGCCCCGGGUGGAAGCCCAAAAUGCAGCCCGUUGGUCGAUUCUUUCACAGGAGAACUGCUCGGGGCCAAGAAGAAAGCCAAGCCCUCACCACCGUCGGGGGAGGAGACAGAGAAAGCGAAGUAGGUCGAGAAACUAGGGUUUCUCCCAAGAAAUCUGACGGGUUUCCGGUACACGACCCGUCCCGAGCUGAAGACCGCGGGCCGCGUGAUGCCGACCACAAAAUCGCUAAUCUCCGCGUCGCCGUACAGAGCAAUCACCGCAUCCAAGCUUCGAUUUUUCUCGAACCGCUCGAAGCGGAAGGAGAAAGCGGGGCCUUUUGCCGGGACUUUCGCAAUGGAGGCCGGCGAGAGAGGCAACGAAGAGGAUGGCGAAUAAGGGGGAGUACCUGGAGACGACCAAAAACGCCAUUCUUCUCCUCUCUUGGGCUCAGCUCUUUCCUUCUCCCAUAUAGGGUUAGGGUUUUGGCCCAGAUUCGAACAUUUGGGACUUAGGGUUAGGGUUACAAGUGCACGUGCGAGGUUGGGAAGGGGGGGAGGGCAAGGCAAGAAUAAUGACGCGAAGCCCCAAAAAGAAUCUCACUGUCACUCCACACCCGGGCUGACUAGGAGGUCAAAAGUGGGAGACGGAGUCACACCACUGUCUUUGAAAAUGAGAUCUCAGCCGUCGGAUGCAGUUGAUCGGAGGGGUGGAUCGAAAGGGACUGUUUGCUUUUUGGGAGUGCUGGCUUUAUCCCAAUUCCCGAGUGCCACGCCGCUGCCAGCGAAAUUUUGGAGGAUCCGGUGUCUGGUAUGGCACAGCGAACAGGGUGCUCAGGAGCUGAUACCAUGUCGCCGUGUCUUCUUUUGCCCCCGGGGGGGGUUGGGUUCUGCCCUCGGUUCCAACGUGGACCAGGUGCAUUGGUGGCUUAAUUCCACUGUACCGGUUGAUAGGAUUAGCGAGCAGAGAAAAAACAAAGUUGCCCAGCUUGCAAUGCUUUGUGUUUUUCUGGGACCUUGCGAAAGAUGUUGGUGCGUGUACCUUGUUAUUGUCUCAUUGACAUCGACUGAUGAUCCCUGUAGGAAUACACAGCGAUUGGGCAGAAUGGCGUAUUUGGAUUUUGCCUAUAUUUUUUCUUCGUACGUGCAACCGGGGCCCAUUAAAUCAGUAGAACUCUGCAUAAGCUAUUGGCUUUUGCUGCACCAUAUAUAUUUUUGAAUCUGUUCAUUAUUUUGGUUCCAACGGUCUAGAUUUAAGAUUUCAGUCUAAGGAACCACUAGUUUUUCAAAAUAACAGCAGCAACAGCAAUAGCAAGAAAAAAAUUGAGACUUUAUAGUUUUGAUGGCUGAGAUUUAAGUUUUAUAGCUGCUAUCGUGAAAAUGAAGAUGCAUCAAAAUAAAAUACUAAGUUAUUUUGAGAAUGGAGUGGAUGGAAGGAAGCGAGAGUGAGGAUGCAAUGUAUCUUGAAUUUCUUGCAUCAACGCUUAAAAAAAAAAAAAAUCUAUUGAAUCAAUUAGGACCUUUUAAAUUUAUUUUCAAGUUGUAGUCAAAUGAUGAAAUGAAUAAGAAAACUUUUAUAAGAACACGCACUGAUUUGCAUAACUUUUACUUAGGGUACGAAAACAAAAAUGUAUUAGCCAAAUGUAUGAAUAUAUUUACAAAACAACCAUAUAUAUUUGUAAAUUUUCAAGCGACUACGAUGGUCGACGCUUUUUCUCUCAAGUAUCCCGCAGGCCUUGGCAAUAGUGUAUCCGAACUUUCCCAAGCCCAUAUAUUCUCUUGCCAUCAUGAUCACUUCCUGAGGUGGAUCGUGGAUCAUGAAAGUCAGAGAGAUAUAAAAAUCUCGAUCGUUCGACGCAUUAAGCCCAUCACACCGUCGAGGGCCGGCGAGGCGAGCUUUCUUGAGGUGGAGGGUGCAAGGGGUCCACCUUGGGGGUGCCAACGUAGAGGAAGAUGGAGAUGGAGGAUUGGGGUCCUCAUAGUCGUAGAUCAAUUAGGGGUUGAGGACGCCAUUCGAUACUGUGGAUCACACCGUCGGGGUGGGCCACUACAUCCAAGUGGACCGCGGCAGUGAAGCCAACCUGCCUCUCGGCUGAGUUCGAGUGCUUCGCUGCCAGGGGCUUCGUUGCAGGGAUAGCCGAUGGAGCAGGAGAGGGAUUGGGGACGAGGUUGAGAAGGGGAAAAGGUAGGCCCUCUCGCCGAGGAUCAUCUNNNNNNNNNNNNNNNNNNNNNNNNNNNNNNNNNNNNNNNNNNNNNNNNNNNNNNNNNNNNNGUCGCAUCCACCCUGCCCCCGUUUUGUUGUGCUCUUCGCUUGGCAAAAGCACAGCAGAGUUGGUGCAGUCCUAGGGCCCAGCCCGGCCCAGCCCGAUGGGGUUCGCCGGCCGCGCUCGAUCUCCUGUCUGCUUUUAUUUUCCCUCCGUGAAUAUCCCCCGGUCCCUCACCAUUUUUAGCCCAAAUAGUCAUUCAAAAUCUCCCGCUUGUUGUUUUCGCUCCUCUUCUCCUUCGCUAUAAUAAUACCAACCCUUUCGCCGUGGAUCCUGCACCGGCUGCCGACAUGGCGAAGCAGCACAAAGCCAAGAAGCCAGAGAAUCUAGGGAAGGGGAAGGUCACCCCCGUCCAGAUCGCCUUCAUCGUGGACCGCUACCUCGCCGACAACUACUACACCGACACCCUCUCCGCCUUCCGAGCCGAAGCCUCCGAUCUCUUCUCCAAAACCAAGAGUAAAGAGGUAUGGCCCCUGAUGCAAUCUCUCUCUCUCUCUAUAUAUAUAUCCCUAGAUAUAUCUUCUCUUUUACAUUUUUUUGCGUCUUCCGUUCGAUAGUAUCUAUUAGAUAGAUUAUUCUCAUGACUGCAAUUGGCAGGUGCCGAAAGGGUUGCUGAGUUUGGGGGAGAUUCUGGACGAGUACAUAAGCUUGAAGGAGCAGAGGGUGAUGGUGGAUCAGGAGAAGCGGAGGGUGGAGAUGGCGUUGCAAGGCAUGCAAGACGUGAUGCGGACCUACCACUCUGCUGGGAAUCCCGCUCUCCCUCCUUCUCCCCCUCUCCUUCCUUCUCAGUUUAUGGCAACGCCAGUGGCGCCGGUUCUUCCGGCCUUAUACCCUACUAGUGGGUCUCCUCCAGGUUCGAUAUUUCGACAUCUAGUUUGUACAUUGAUCAUUGCAUGCUGUUUCAUGGUCCGAACACUCUUUUUACUUGUUAGCUUCAACUAAUUUCUCUUCCAUGCCUUCCAACUGUUUGUUUUUUGUUGUAAUGGAAAAAACCCUGUAAUUAUCUAGAUAUAACAAGGGGAAAGAAUGCUGAUCAACAAUAAACAAGAAGAAAGAACCCUGCUGGAAAAUAGUCAGAAUUCUUAGGGAAAAUUAAACGAGUUGCCUUAUCAUGAAGUUCUUCAAUCCCAUUGUAAUGACUUGUCAAUUUUCUAUUCCCUUGUUCAGUUGGGUGUUGCUUAUGUCGCCGUCUGUUUGAAAGGUUAUCAGUUCUCUUGAAUGCAUUCUGUAAAAUCUUUGUCCGAGUUUAUAUCAGUGUUUAUAAAUGCAAUUUGUGAAGAUUCAGCACGAGAAUCAGUCAGGAAAUUGGCUAUACCAUUGUAAGGGUCAGCACUAGGAUCAGAGCAUUGAGGUUGCUUAAAAUAAUUAAAAGAAAUUGACAUAUUCCAAUUAAAGUGCAAUAGCUUUAUAUUGCAGUUUGUUGGAGUUCUGGGAUUUGGGAUACUACUUAUUGUCCUUCUGAGAUAAAGCUUCAUAUGCUGCCAUGUUGGAGCUGUAUCUUUCUUUUUGUAGUGGAGUCGUUUUGGUCGUAUUUGUGCAUUAUUUUUCUCAUUUUUUUUGCUGGCAUAUCUCUAUUCACUAAUCCUAGUCACGUGACAUCAGAACAGGUCUGGGGGCAGGAUAAUUUGUUACAUGAACUUGGUGCAACAAUAUUUCAGCGUAAAUUUGACUUAUGUCUGCAACUGCUAGCUAGUAUUAUCAUAUCAAUUAUACACUAUUAAAUGAAUGCUCUUCACACUUAAUUGACAUGAAGCAACUAGGAAGUGGGAAAAAAAUAAACAGUGUAUUGUCGGUUAUUUGGGGUUGCAAUAUUUAUUAAAAAAAUAUGCUAGUUCUGAUGAUUAAUGGACAAGGUUCUUAACGAUACAUUUGCUGGUCAUGCAGUGGUCAGAAACCCUGUCAUGAAUACUGCACAACAGCCCGUUGUGCUUCCGCAUAUAGAAACAGAACCUAACAAUAGUUCAACUCCAGUACAUAAUUCUUCAUCUGCUAACAAGAGGAAAGCUUCAGAGUCUGCUUCCAAGGUUCCUUCAGCUGCAAAGAGAAAGCGGACUGAACUACCAAUUAGGUCCUCCCUGGUAGAAGGUGAUAAUCAAAGUCCUAAACAAAUAAAUACCAAUUAUGGUUCCUUUCUUACAUUUUUUUUUUGUUCUUUCAGAUAAUGUGCUGAUCUCAGAUGCAACAUGCAGUCAUGAAACACAAAAAUCAGCUGUUCAGUCAACAUCCCAUCAUCUGAUGUUUAAAUCUCCAGUUCAAGGAUAUUCUGUUGAAAAGAGCUUAUUCAAUCAAUCGCCUGAUUCUCAAACUGAUUCUUCCCCUAAGACCCCUCCACAAGCACUUCCUUCUCAACCUGACAAAUUAGCCGCUCCACAAAAAAACCCAUCAUUUCAAAAGACUGAUGCGAUCAAAUCUCAGGAAAUAGCUUCAUCCAAAAUCUCCUUAGUUGCUUCUGAAACUAUCAUAGUCAGCCCUCUCAAGGGUACAGGUUAUUAUGCUGUUGAGAGGAGCUAUCAUAUGACUUCACCCUACAAAUCAAGCCCAAAGAAGCUGAGCAAAAGAGAGCAUGUAAAAGGGAAGCUGGAUUUUGAAGAGCCUGAUGUACCGGUACCAAUCAAUUCAGAAAAAACAGUUGCUGCCAACAGCUCUACCUCGUCAACAGAUGCAGAAUUGCCUGGAAGUUUUGACUUAGAUCUUCCAGAUUUUGAUAUCUUAGAUGGUGAUUUCUCCUUCUCUGAGCUUCUAGCCGACAUGGAUAUCGACUUUGAAAGGAUUCCAUCUUGCCAGCCACCCUCUGGGGAUUCAAUUCCAGGGUACAGUUUCUCUGAACCUUUUAUAUGUUCUCUUGUAUUACACUUUCCUUGUGCUAUUUUUGCAUUGUUUUAUACUUUCUAACUUGUGUAUGUUCCACAAAAUAAUACAGGCCAGGGAAUAAUUUAAGCAGUGAAUGCUUGGAAACAAAUCAGACAUUACCGGAUUCUAGUUUGUCAACAUUAAGUGUUCUUUCAGAGAAGGAAAUGAGCAUUCAAGGUAAUGAAACAUCUCUUUUAUGACAAGCUUUCAUAUCUUUACAGUUUGUGUUACUAAAAUGCUCAGCUUGUUACUCUAGAACGCACCUAUAUUAUCCCUUGUCUUCUAACAGAGUUAAAGUAUGUUUUGCUGUGCGUUUAUCUUCUAUACCAAUCAAGGUUACCUAUUCUUUUUUCCCUCCUGCUUCAUGCACACCAUCUUUAUUGGCUAAAUGGGGGCAAAAUCCAUUAUUUUAGAUCUGAAACCUUUCGUUUGAAUUUUGCCCCAUAAACUUACAAUCAUUUUCUUGGCCACCAAUUUCACACAACCAAACCUUUUACUUCGUAAGCUGUUUUUUUGAAAAAAAACAUGCAUAUUCUUUUAAAAACAUUUUUCUGGUAAUAAUGUACGAAUGGGUCACUAAGUGACUAACUGUAGGCUACACAUCUCCCUUUUGAAAUCUCUAUUGGGAAUACAAGCAGGGUUGAUCAAGAAUCAAGAUUGCUGCUGCCCCAAGGUGGAAAAUCCUUUAUUGACAAAGAAGGAAAAAAAAGUCAUAAAUAAAGUAGAACAAUUUGGAAAUGUGUGCGCGUCCUUACUGCAAGUCAGUUGUACUUGUUUGAUGAGGUUUUGCAGGAAGUCGACUAUUGGUUUGUGGCUUAAGUUGGAGUCCUUGUAUAUGAUAAAAUCCCUUACCAACAAAUUGUAUUGAAGCAACAUUUGUUUACGCUGUGUAUUGUAGAAGGUAUAUCCAUUAAAUCUCAUCUUGUUGAGUCUAACUCCAUUAUUAUGGAUAUGAAGAAUAUCGAUGUCCAAAUUGAUGAUGAAGUUCGGGCUCUUUUGUUAUUGUGUUCUUUACCUCUUUCAUAUAACUCUUUCAUAUAAGUACUUUAGAGAUACCUUCCUCUAUGGGAGAGAUAUGAUUUCUAUAGAAGAUGUUAAAACAUUUUUGCUUUCUAAAGAAUUGUUUGAAAAGCACAUUAUUUAGGAAUGCAAGUGAAGGUUAGGCAGAAGGCUUGGCUGCUAGAGACAGGUCUAAUGAAAGGGGAUUGGAUAAUAGUAGAGGUAAGUCUACAUCCAAGUCUAUCAUUGUUGUCGCAAGCAAGAGCAUAUUAAGAUUGAUUGUCAUAGGUUGAAAAAUAAGCAAUUGAAGGAUCAGAAAAAAAGGAAAAAUUCGUUAAAGCUAGUGCAGCAGAAGAUGAUUCUGGAGGUGUUGAAGAUGUUUUCUCAGUAACCAAUGGAAUUAGACCUAAGGAUGAAUGGAUUUUGGAUUCAGGUUGUUCCUACCAUAUAUGUUUUAAUAGGGAUUGGUCCUCCACAUAUGAAGUAGUUGAUGGUGGAGUUGAAUUAAUGGGCAACAAUACCCCAUGUAAAAUAAUUGGAAAAGGGAUAAUCCAAAUUAAAAUGCAUGAUGGUGUGGUGUAAAUCUUGAUUGAUGUUCAGCAUGUUCCAAAUUUGAAGAAAAAGCUCAAUCUCUUUAGGCAUCCUUGUUGCUUAUGGAUGCAAGUAUGCAGCUGAAUUUCGAGUUAUAAAAGUUAGUAAAGCUGCCCUUGUUGUAAUGAAAGGUAACUUGCAUGUACUUUAAGGUACUACUAUUAUAGGUGCAGCAGCUAUGUCUUUGUCAUUUAUGAUAUAUUCCGAUAUCACCAAAAUAUAGCAUAUGAGGUUGGGACAUGAGUGAAAGAUGGUUGGCUAUGUUGAGUAAAUGAGGUUUUCUUUGUGGCUAGAGUAUAGGAAUGAAAAGAGUGGUUUUCUUUGUCUAUUAGGCAAGCAGAAAAGAGUUAGUUUCAGUAUGUAGUUUUAUCUUAGAUUAUAUUCACUCAGACUUUUAGGGACCUUCAUGUGUUCGUUCUAAGGGUGGUGUUCGGAAUAUGGUUACAUUUAUUAAUGAUUAUUCUAGAAAAAUUUGGGUGUUUAUGUUAAAACACAAAGAUGAAAUCUUUAAGCACUUUAAUUAACAGAAGGCUAUGAUUGAGAAGUAGACUGGAAAGAAGAUCAAGAGGCUCAGAACUGAUAAUGGAUUGAAGUUUUGUUUUUAUGAGUUUGAUGGGUUCUGCAAAAAUGAGGGUGUUGGCAGGCAUGAGAUAGUUAGAUAUACGCUAAAGCAGGAUGGAGUGGUUAAGCAUAUGGACAGAAUCCUCUUGGAGAGAGCUCGUUGUAUGCUCUCAAAUGCUGGCUUGUCAAAGGAUUUUUAUGUAGAGGCGGUUUAGUUCCUUUGCAGCAUAGCUCUUCUUCUUAGCCUGGUUCAGAAUUGGUGCCUGGUAUUACUGAGGCGAAAGAAACAUCAUAGGAUGGGAAGUACAGUAUUGCUAAAGGCAGAUAGAGAAGAGAGAUUAGGCUACCUCAAAGUUGUUUCUUGUGUUUGAUUCUACUAAUUCGUUAGUUGCUAUUGCAAGAGGAGAACAAGCCUCUUCUAGUGGCCAAGUUCAAGCAUUGCUUGGACUUGAUUGAUGUAUGCAGCACUUGAGAUUUGUCUUUUGGGGCUUAUGUGGAGAAGGUAGAGAGAUGUUUUACUAUUUUGUGGUGUAGCUUGAUAAAAUUCAAAUCAAAGUGGAGAUUUGUUAAGGAUGCCUUGAAUUUCUUGUUCCAUCUUGCUCUAUGAUUUUGUUUGAGAAAUUUGUAGUAGCGUCGAUAACAAUCGUGUGAAGCAUGGCAUUGGCCAUGGCUCAUGCUAGUCGCACUUCCUGGCUGCAUGGGAUGUGGAGAUUGGAAAGCGCGUGAUGUGAGAACGGAGAACUUGAGCAAUUCUUUUGGUAUGUAUCUAUUUUUGUUUUGUUUGGAAAGUUUGAAAGUUGGGUGUACUAGGAUUAGGGUUUUAUUGAGAUGGCUUUAUUCUUAUCCAAUCCUUUUGAUAAUGGAAUCUCUUUUCCAUCCUCUCCUGCAGAUGUAGGCUUGUGGCCAGUCCACGUAAAUUUGUGCAUGUUGUAUUUUUUUUUAAUCUCUAUCUUCUCGAAUCUCUUUGUUCUUAUCUUUCAUCAAGAUCCAUCAUAACACUUUUCAUUUGCUUCUUAAGUAAAAUUUUGUUCUUCCAGUUCUUAUCUCUGAUCAGUACUGUAUUCAAUGUCAAUAGGUUCUGAUACUGCAACCUCAUUAAGAUCUAUAACGAGGUGCAUCAAAAUUGUAAGUCCUGGUAAGUUGUUGUCUAACUGUUUCUCUCUUUGAAUUUAUGCUUGGUUUUGGAAUCGCUAUUUUCAUUCAGGGACAUUCUGAUAUGAAUUUAUUUGCAGUUAAAAGCAGGAGAAAUUGUUCUCUGAGAGAACACCAUUCACCAGCAAAAGCAUAACUAGUCUGCAUCUGGUCAUAAAUCUGACUUGUGUUUUUAAAAUGUUAGUGAUGAGAGCUGAUUCCUCCAUUUUCUAACCCAACUGUUUUUGCCAUUUAGUUAUUGAUUUAGCCCGCUGUAUAUAGGUAGGCCACUGUUAUCCCAUCUUGUGAGCCUAUUUAUGGGCUCUGUUGUGCUUUCUAAUUUAAAGAAUUUUAAAGUUGAUAACCCAUAUUUGGAGAAUCAUUUUUUCUAAUUAUGAAUUGAAUAAUCUCAUGAGCCUAUUUUGAGAUUUCUUGCUAUCUCAAUUGAAUAAAAUUAUUGUUCAGUGAAAAUAAUGUGCUUGUUUUCAGAAAAGGAGCAAGAAUAUUAUCACAGGCUGUUCACUUGAGUUUAACCAGAAUGGACAAACCAUUGAAUCAUCUAUAUUGAAUAAUUCAUAUUCUCGCAACAAUGUUGAAAUGUGACAGGAAUAACUGAUUGUGAUUGUGGUGCAAAGAGUAUUCUAAGAAUUUAUAGUUUGCAAUGCAUACUUUGUAAAUGCCUCUGGGAAUUUUAUUGUGUAAUUAGUCCAAGCAACCCUUGAUCCCUUAGUGUAUCACCACCAACUUCUUCACCUUCUCCCCUUUUUCCACACUUUCAAUGGACAGGAACUUUUUGAUGAAUCAAUCAUUUUAGUAACCGACAAAAUAAUGAUGAAAAAGGAAAGUAACAAUUAUAGUUCUAAUAAAGUUAGAAUCGAUAAAGUCCUAUCCUAUAAUUUGAGUUGAUUGGUAGAAGGGCUCAUGAAUGCUUAAAGGUCCCUGUCACUUCUGAUGUGGCAUUAGAGUUAAGAGUUGACAAACGUCGGCCCAAUGCCCAGUAGGCAGGCCCAUGAGUACUUAAACGACCCAGGGUACCUACCACUUUUGAUGUACGAAUAAAGUAGGAAUUGAUGAAAUUCCCUACAAUUGCUGAUGUGAGACUAAAGUUGAGAUUUGAUAAAGUCCGGCCCAAAAUCUCCAGUCCCUUCCACCAUCUCAAGCCCUUUAACACUUCUAAUGUAGGAAUAAAGUUAGAACCGAUAAUGCCCCACCCAGGUACUCGAGUCCUGCUGUGGGUACUUGUAAAUCACAACGGUCCAUCGCUUCGAUCGUGGGAAUAAAAUUCGAGUCCUAGAUAUCUGAAUUAGAGCUGAUCAUAGGUCGAGCUUCAGCCUAGACUCUAUUUAUUUUUAAUCGAGCUUCAGGUCGGCUUUAUAUGCAAUUUGACAUUUUAUGUGUCCAAGCCCGGCCCAUAAUUAAUUUUAGCUUGAAAACAAGAGUUCUUACCAUUUCAAAUGUUAAAGUAAAGUUAGAAUUGAUAAAGUUUUCUAUAGAUCAUUAUACUUGAUCUGGUUCAUUUUAGGUAUUAUGAGGAAGACUUGGUGGUACUUGCAAUGUCUAGUUUUGGUUGCAGAUUCUAUGAGAGUUUUCAUGUUGCUGUCCGCUGUUUUUCGUAAGCUUGACGGUUUUUCUUCCUUUCUCAGUCCCGAUAGGCUCCAUUUGUCUUCAUCCUCUACUCUUUUUUUUUUUCUAACUUGUCUCCUUUUUUUUUGAACUUUUUUUUUAGCAAUCUUAUUUUCUUCUCCUGAUUAAUGAUUGCAAUGAGAUUUAUAGUCAACCGUUAAUUAAACAUGAUUUUGGGCUCGGAUAAUUUGACUUUUUUUCAGUUUAGGGUCAAUCUGCAAUUCAGGCAACCAACCAAUUAGGGGACAACGCUAUUUUAGGGACGGGGAUGCAUGGGAACGCCCGCACAGCACCGUCCAUGCCGCCUCCGCGCAACUGCAGCCGUUCGUACAUAAACGACCAUGUUGCAUUUGGGUGCAUGCAAAGUGCCACGGGAGGGAGUUCGACGCCACGAAGGGUGUCUCACACGUGUUCAUAAGCGGCACCAUUCACGGAAUUGGAUGCCCCUAAUUAGGAACCCAAAUAUAGGUCAUGCUAACAGCCCUAUUUGGUACAUGAAAAAUUCUCUCCCUCAAGGAUGCUGAGUUAUAAUAAUAUUUAUAUUAAUUAUCUUAAAAUAUCUAUAUAUCAUACUUAAUGCUUGGUUCCUUAAUCUUUUAUAAUUUAAUAAUAAAUAAGGCAAGGUUUCCACUUCAAACAAAUAGGCAUACGUUCAAAAUAAAUUUAUAAACAUAAGAUAUUAUAUUCCUAGAGAAAAGUUAAAUUUUAAUGUUUAUUUCUUAUUGGACCGGUUCCAUCAUCACCCACAAUUGUUUUGUGGUUUUUGUGUGAGAAAUCUUAGAAUAUAUGAAAUUAUAAUUGUAUAUUAGAUAGAGAUUUAUUUUAAAUUUGAGAUGUCAUACUUUCCAUUCCCUGGCCAAGGAAUCAAUGAAUCGUGUCGUAAUUAUAUGAGUGUGCAAAUGUUAUUGAGCAGAAGUUGAUCAACUGAUUCAAGCGGUCCUCCAAUAGAUCUGCCCAGCUUCUUUUGAAGAUUGUUGCGGAUGUUGAGCUUGUUUAGUAGAGCCAUCUAGCGGAAGUACUCUGCUUCUGCUAGAGUUUGAACUGAACUGUUGAGGUCAGACAAAAUCCGAAGUGAAGUGGUGAGGUUGGUUGUUCGGAUUUCAAGCGGAACAAUUAAGCUAGAGAGAUUUAUGUUGACAAUGACUGAGCUUGAACUUGGGUGUAGAAGCUUGCCUGGCAUGACCUAUCCAAUCUAAAAAUAGAAAAAGAAGUCUAUUUGUUGGAGUUUGUUUGGAGGCAGAACUUCCGAUGUUUAAGUUAGCCCUAUUUUGAUGAAAUAGGUAAAAUUUCAGAGAGCUGCAAAAUGUGGGAGUGUGUGAGUCUGAGAAGGCGUAUUUGGAAGUCCUUCAGUGGCCCCUUAUAUAGAGAGAGGUUGACGUCUGUUAUCAUCUUGUCGAGUCAGGCAGAAGUGUACCUUAACUGCUCGGUAAUGGUUCCCAUAUUGUGCACUUGAUGGAUUUUAACCCUGUUGAAUGUGCGGUAACGAUCGAUCCACUCGAGAUGAGCUGCAACCGCUCCUUAGUUGGCAAGAUUGUGAUUAUGUCUUUAAUAGUUGUUAACGGCUUUGAAUAUGUUUGAAUUGGAGAUACAUGGCUUAUUGCCGCUGGUCGGUCAAUCCACUUUGAUUGGCUUGAUGAUUCAAGUCGAUAGUUCGGUCAACAACGAAGUCAAUGGUUCGGUCAAUUGUCGUGGCUGGUGGCUCGUGGCUCGUGGCUCGUUCGGUUGCUAAGACUGGCAGCUCGGUAGAUGCCCAAGUCAUCUCUUUGAUUAGAUGCCGAGAUCAAAUUGAUGAAUAUAUACCAUAUCACACUUAUAUUUUUUGGCACUUUUGCUAUUCACAACGUGGUGGCAUGAUUUCAUUCAACUCCUCUGGAGACGAGGAAGCGGGAGAUAGAAGCAGUGGAAAAACCUUUUGUCUCAUUAGGCCUCCAAAUCACUUUGUACGGCUCCUAAUUAAGUUGGAGGUUAGCUAGAAGAGACAAGAUGGAGUAAAGCUCCUCUAGCUCUUCGAGUGCAGGCCGAGAUAUUAUUGCAGGGGCAGGAUGUUGCCUGUUUUGUUCCUGCGAAGGAGGUAGAGGUUAGGAAAAAUAGUUUUCAAGAGAGCUUCGCGAAGCCAAACGUCCUCCCAAAAUAGGGCUCUAAGCCCAUUACCAAAGACUAAAACCUCUUUUGAUGACUUUCAUCCGGCUGCCCAGCAGAAAGACUUUUAAGUGAUAAAACUCUUGGCUGAUGGUUCCCGAAUCUAUUAACGUUGACUGGGCCCAUAGAUGGGUCCUUAGGAGAAAGGGAUUGGCAUUUGUUGCUGCUAGGAUCUAGGCCGCGGUCAGUCACCGCUCAAGCAUGUGCUGAGGUUGGCGAAGACCGAGGUAUACCAAGGUCGGUUAACAUCGAUGCACGAUAGGGCCGUUCAAACUUUCGGCGGACGUCUCUUCGAUGCUUAAGUUAAUUGAAAUCUAGAGCAAUAAUAGAAGAAAGAUAAAAUGAGUACGGAGGGGUGCUCUACAAAAAAUAUGAGCUUAAUAUCUAUAUAUUGGAUGAGAGCGGUGCUACCUUAUUUGUUAGAAAGCGUCAUAACCGCUAUAAAUGGCUAAUUGUGGAUUAACUUUCCGCAAUUGAUAGCAUGUGGUGAUAAUUGCAUAUCUUUAUUGCGGGUGUAACCUAUGCUUCGAUCAUAAUUGCAACUCAUUAAAUGAUCUUCGGCAUUACUUCUAGGCAAGACAAAUUAGAAUGGCGCGCCACGCCGGCCAAUACUGAGAUCGGAACAACCUGAAGCUAGGAUGACUCGUUGUGUCAUGAAGGCGUUGGCAAGGAGGCAUGACGGGAGAAGAAUUGCGGGUCACGGGCGACGAAAAGACAAGGUGACUGAAAUCUCAUUUAGCAUCAGCUGGCGGGUUGUAAACCCUAAUUAAGUUAACCAACUGCUAAAUUUGGCAGCGCACAAGAUGGCUGGUUUAUAUAUCGUUUCCAUUAUGAAUGGUCCUAACGAGGCGUCUAACCGGGUCCAUACCAUCCGCGUUCUCACCAUGAUCAAUGUUCAUACCGAAGCCUAUGCUUGAAAAGUCCAAUUUUAGAAUCAUUUACUUGGACCAUGUUUAAGUAACGAACAAGGUAGGUUGGCGAGAUAAGUCAACAAUGUCAAUUUCUGAUCCCCCGAACUUCCACGCCAAGCAACAAAAGGGUACCAUCAGGACCGUCCCAUCGUUGGGUCAGUAGGAAUGAGCCGAUCGUCCAUUGGUUUGGGUGGACCCAAGUACUUGAAACCGAAGCACCGGAGGGAAGUUUCACGGCACUUGACUGCGUCAAACCUCCCCCGUAGAAUCCCAAACCUUCGAGCCUUCCAGCACGCCCGUCCGUCCGUGACCACAAACGCAGCCAUCGUGUAUAACACGGUGUCCAAGUGUUUGAAAGGACGCAUGAGACGGCGGCUAAGGACGUGGCUUCUCUCCCAUCCCGGUCUGCCAUUCCAUCCAACUCGUGCCCGACAGGCAGGUAGAAAAAAAAGUGCGUCUUGCUACAUGUCAGGUGUCCAUUUGUUGGAAUGGUUGUACGCCGCGUUCGCAGCGAAUGAUGUCCCAAGUCCCAACCAAUACCGCGUUAAUAAUAAGAGAGGGAAAUAAUAAUAGGUGGUAAAGUUUAAUGACAGAGAUGGCGCUGCAGAUGAUGCGUGCUCUUCGCGUCGAGCUAAAAAAGUGGGGAAAAAAAAAUAAAGACCGUUGACGCCGGAGUCGUGACCUUGCAAGAACCCAGCACCUUUUCCUUGCCCCUCACCAAUCUAUCACCAUUACGUUCCUUCCUCAUUCCCACAAGAAAAAAAUAAAACCAAACGACAAUCGGGUAACAUUCCCCCUAGAAUCCAGUCAGCAAAAUCCAGUUAGAGGAACAACAAAGGGGAUUCCAUUCCACCACCCAAGAUGAUGGCCUUCCCCCUCCUCCUCCUCCUCCUCCUCCUCCCCUCCGCCUUAGGUACGUACGGAGGACCAGAUUCAAACCCGUCUUUCUCAUGCUCUAUUUUUCUAUCUUUUGAUGGCAAGCGAUGUCAAGUAUCGAUAUGUAUGUGAUGGUGGUUGUGCAUGACAGCGGGGGUGAUAUGCGAGGAUUUGCCGCAAGACCUGUGCGCAUUUGCGAUCUCGUCGUCGUCCAAGAGGUGCGUUUUGGAAACCAUCCCGCGCAAAGGGGGCCCCACCAAGUACCAGUGCCAGACGUCGGAGGUGGUGGUGGAGCGGAUGCCGGGUUGGAUCGAGACUGAUAAGUGCGUAAGAGCGUGCGGCGUCGACCGUAAUUCCGUUGGGAUCUCCUCCGACUCGCUUCUCGAGCCGCAGUUCACCGAGAACCUCUGCUCCCCGGCGUGCCACCAGAAUUGCCCCAACAUCAUCGACCUCUACUUCAACCUCGCCGCUGCCGAAGGUAAGAGGCAAACAAGAAAAACGACGUUUCCGUUUUAUUACUCAAACUUAUCGGUGCCUCACAUGAAACCAAGUUUUUGUUACUUUCACGUUGGUCAUAGCGGCGUAGGAGCGUCAAAGGAAAUGAAACGUGGUAAGGGAAAGCGAAAAGAGAAAAAAGCACACACAAAGGAAUCGAUCUUUUACUUUUCUGACCUUUUCUUUCUUUUCUGAUUCCCUUAAGACUUGGGAAUUGAGAUAACAUGGAUGACGAACCUAAUGCCCGGGAAUCAGGUCCUGGUUCGACAAAUUUGAGAUCUCCUUGUACACCCGGGAUAGGUUUGGGUUGAAAGAAAUUCACCACAACCCAAGCCAUCGAAUCUGGAACGUAUAAUUAUUUAUACAGUUUCUUUUGGACACAACCGUUGGGAAUCCAGCGUGUUUGCUUCUAAAUAUUUUAGUUUUGGGAAGCUGGCUGAAGGGAUCCAAUUCUUGGGCUCCAACAUAGGCUUCAGCUGUCAAGAGAGGCGUAUUACCCAACACGAUCUAACCGGCCCAAUGGGCUAUCGUUCGUGGAAACUCGUUGCAAGGCUCCUAUUGGACUGUACUGCUGUGGGAGGCCUAAUCUGUGAACGGGAGAUUAAUUAGGCUCCUAGCUCAAUAUUUAUAACUGUUAGUGACGAGUUAAGAAUUUCCUUUUUUUUUUGUUAUGUGUGUGUGUGUGUGAUACAAAUUGGAAAUAAGGAAAUGAGUGGUAUUUGACGUUAUGGUGGUAUCAAUGUGUAACAGAUGUGUUCCUGCCCGACUUGUGCAAGGCUCGACAAGGAAGAAAUCCACGUCGGUCAAUGUUGAUUCUCCGCUCUGGGUUUAAAACACCAGUCCUUGCCGAUGGAGGGGAUGCGGCUAAAUUGAAUGUAGCAGCUGCACCAGCUUGAUUUUAUUUCUUUUCUUUGAUAGCAAGAUUAUCGAGUAAAUUAGAAAAUUCCUCAUGAGGUUUAUAUUCAUUAUACUUGCAUCCAAUAGUUUAUAAAAGCUAAAUUUAUAUUCAGUUAAAUUAAUGGCAUUGGUUUAUCUCCUUAUAAAGCAUAAUGUGCGGCAAGUAUUUGAUCAGUUGCUGAGUUGUUGGCAGAAAUUCAGAUGCCUCAUACUUUGGCUACUAAUUAUCUAGUGGCUUUGAUUGGAUGUAGAGUAUGUCAUGGUUUGGUUUCUUGAGUAAAGAUUUUAAUUCUUAUUUUUGUAUUUAUAGUGACUAAUAUUAAUUUGUUAGACCUUUUGGUUUGAAUUUAUAGCUCAGGAGGACUAAUAUUGACUCUACUUUUCAUUAUCUCAAUGAAGAUUGAGUGCCUCCUCCCCCUCCUCAAACGGAUGUCAAGCACAGAUAGCUAGGCUGAAAAAAAUAUUUGCAGCCAUGAUUCUUAUUGCAGCAAUUGAAAUUAUAGGCACCAAACAUCCCCUAAUCAAUGGAUGCAUAUCUAUGUCCUUUUACCUUUGGAUUCAUAUUCAGAUAUUCAUUUCCAAUUCUUUUGAAAGUAACUAAAGAAGUCUCAGUUGUUGGACUGGGAAAACAUCAAUAUGAUGAUCUAGGGUAAAUUUAGGAUUUCAUAAAAGGCUCUGAUGAUGACUAGCUAGUGUCUAUGACGUUGUCCUAGCUUAAAUUCAUUGGCCAUCAGGAGAUCCUUGAUUCUAAUUUAUUCCCUUAACAUGCAAAAAUCCUAGUGCAAAGAUUAAUCAAUUAAUCUAUUCUAUAAAAGAUCGAGGACUAGAAUCACCUCGAUCGAUCGGGGCUUGGGGCUGGUCGGUCGGCGCCAGAGAGAAGGGAGGAGGAGAAGAUCCUCGGAUGGAGGUGAAGCUUGAUCAACGCUUGAGGGCCAAUCGGUCGGAGCUGGAGAGAAGGGACGAGGAGAAGAUUCUUGGAAAGAUCCUCGGGCGGAGGUGAAGCUCGCUCGAGGCUUGAGGGUCCGUCGGUCGACGCCGGAGAGGAGGAAGGAAGCUUGAGGGUGGAGGCAGAGCUCGUGCCGGAGAAGAGGGGCUAGGGCUCGAUCGGAUGGGUAUUCGGGGAGGCGGAGAAGCGGAAAGGAGGCCAGGCUAGGGCUCAAUCUCGGAUGGGUCGUAUUUGGGGAGCAGACCACCGACGUUUCUUUAAAGUGUGACAAUUUUUGGCGCCGGGGCCGUUUUCUUCCGACGCGUGUGACUAGCGUUGGCAAAAAAAGGUCGGUUUUUCCCAAUUUAACUGUAGUGACCUCAUGCAAAAAGUCAAAAUUAUCUUUGGACAGGGAGGAGGAUGCCAUACAUUAUCUUAUAUUAUCAAGUUAUUGGGUGUAAGUACAAUUUACCCCUAAUCCUAAAGGGGUUGUUGUAAUGUACUCGCGGUUAUUUGUUCUGUGGAAUUAAAAAAAAGAAAACAGAGACCUAGGAUUCUUUGUUUGCUGAGUAUACGAGUUAGUGUCCGUUUCUGAGGAAUGAUCAGAUGGUUCUUUAGUUUGUUAGAUAAUGGCAAGCAUUUAAAACCUUCACACGCCGGGCUCCUUACAUGCGUGUGGCAUGAUAUCAAAUAUGCUAUCCAGCCUUAAAACGAACCCCUUGUUGGUCAGUGCUAUGACUGAAGUUUAUUUGAUAAGAUUUUGGCAAACAUUUGCAUUGUUAUGUGAUUGUCUUGCGGCUUAAGACUUGAUUCGGAAACAUCCUGGUAUCAAAAUACAACAAGAAAAAAAAAACAUGGGAACGAACGGAGAAAAGAACAAAAAGUUCUUAGGGAUGGUGAGACGAUUCGGUGGCAUUUCCGUAAGAUAGAAUUAAUGUUCCCAUGCGAUCCCUUGCGGGGACGGUGUCCCAGUUUUUGAAUUUUAGCCUCGGUCCAAACCGUGAGGCCUGACGAGGCCCAUGGGGGCAAAUGGUCCUCUUGUGCAAACAAAUAAAUAACAGUAACAGCCUAUACUAGCGUAAGGAGAGAUUUUGUUUUGAAAAAUAAAAAGUUAAAAUGAACUUUUGAGACUGAAAUUUGAGGGUUGCGAGCAGAGGUGCUACUGUGCUGAAAAGUGAUCCAUAUGAAUCACCGGACUCAAUAUGGAUUAUUUUUGUCACUACGGGUAUUUUAGAAAGAUCAUCAAAGUCGAUGUGGAUCACUUUAGCCAUUACGGAUAUUUAGGAGGAUCACUAAAUUCGAUGAGGAUCAAUUUGGUCACUUUAGGUAUCUAAGAUGAUGACCAAUUCGAUAUGAACUAUUUUAGCUACUAUAUGUAGGAUCAGACAACGUCCAAGAGCAAGAUCUGCCACACUAGGAAGCUGAGUCACGAACUAAACUUUCAGAGAUCAUAUGAUGGCCACUUGAGAUAAGUUUUUUAAAAAACUCGUACAACAUUUUGAGAUCUACCGUUCAGAACCAAACCCCUGAGAGGUUAAAACAUAAUAAAAUUUCAUCAUUUGAGUUCCGAAAUUGGUUAGUCAAACGAAAAAUUUACGUUUUGGGAAAGACUUUGACCAAGCCUUUCUUCCGAUUUAUGAAAAAUUAGAUAGAGUGAUAGAGGGCAAAGUUGAUAUAUAAGUCGAAAUCUAUUGCCCGUAGAAUUUUAUUUUUUUUGUGAUUAUUUCUAUUAGUUAUAUUAUUUUUGAAAAUCUAGAACUAUUCAAAUUAAGAGAGAAAUCCGAUCCGAAUUGUGCAAGAGACGAUCUUACUACUAUUUUAAAUAGGAGUUAUGUAUUUCAGUUUAUGAUGUGUGGAUGAUCAAUAAAAGAAAAGAGGACGUAGACCUUAUUUUUAAAAAAAUUUCAUCAUUUUAAAUUUUUGUAGGGAUAUAAGUUGAGUUGGUUGAGGAAACUCUUCUUUCUCCUUCAUCGGAUCAAGUUGAUACAAGAGUCAUGCUCUUGUCUAGUUAAAUCUAACUUGAUCUAGCUGGAUCGGGUUGGUAUCAAAGCUUCGGUCCUCUAUAUCUAUAGGAGCUUUAGUGCAUGGUCUAGACCCAUAAGUAGUACAAGGAGUCGAAAGAAAUAUUUUCAGUGGUUAAAUUAUAUCGACAGAUAAAGACAAGUAUGGUUGCUAGUUUUACUACGAUAGAUGACAAGAUAAAGAAACAUCUCACAAACUAGAAGGGAAGAUUGGCCAACUCACCAAGAUCAUAUCUUGAUUGGCAACCCCUUCAACACAAGCAUCAAUAACUCUUGUAGCAAAACUGUCUCCCACGCCUAGAGAUGAGGAUCUAUUAUCUAGCAAGGUAGGCUAAGAUCAAAAACCAUUUUUAAGCAUAGUUAAUUAGUUUAGUCACGAGGCCAAGAAGCACGUAUUUUUCUACCUUCAAUUCUAAUUUAGCAGAAGCUAUAUCCUCUAAGUAGGAGGAACCCUGAUCCAUGUGGAUCACCUGACUUGAUGUGAAUCACUUUGGCUACUAUGGAUAUACAGGAGGAUCACCAGACUCGAUGUAGACUAUUUUAACCACUAGAGGUAUUCAAUAGGAUCACCAAACUAGAUGUAGACUAUUUUAGCCACUACUAGAUAGAUAGGAUCCAUGAGUGAGAUUUGUCACAUGAAAAAUUGAGUUGCGAUCCAAACUUUCGAAGGCCAUAAUUGGGCCAUUAGAUGCCCGAUUGAGAUAUUUUUUUUCCAAAUCGGGUAACAUUUCGAUCUACAAUUUAGAGACAACCUCUAAGGGGAUUAAAAAGGACUGAAAUUCCAUCGUUUGAACUUCGAAACAAGUUGGUUAAAUCAAAAAUUUUCUUUUCUGAAAAGAAUUUAGUCAAGCGUAUCUUCUAAUCGAUAAAGAAUUAGACAAAGAGACAGAAGGUAUAGUUGAGAUCUACCUUCUACAUAAUUAAUUUUUUUUUGUAAUUAUUUCUAUUAGUUAUAUUUAUUUUUAGAAACUUAGUUCUAUUUAAAUUAGGAGAGGAAUUAAAUCCUAAUUGUCCAAGAGUGGAUCUCACUACUAUUACAAAUAGAGGUUAUAUACCUCAAUUUAUGAUAUAUAGAUGAUCAGCGAAAGAAAAGGGGAUAUAAAUUCUACUUUCGAAAUUUUUUUAUCUUUUUUUUUUUUUGUAAAGAUUCGAGUUGAGUGGGUUGAAAAAAUUCUUCUCUUUCGGAUUGAAUCAAAAGGAAUGCAGUAUGAGGGUAGGAUAACUCCACAAACCAGAGCCCACUUCAAAUUUCCAAUGAGAAGCCAUUGACUGCAGGCCACAAUUAGCACAGUUAUGUUGCACACUCCAACAUGCUGCCUUCCAUCACUUCAUCCUUCUCCACUCUAAUAACUUUAAUUCCCAAAAAAUGCAGUGGGUUGGCACUGAAGUUCUUGAUGCCUACAUGGAGCUGAUGUAGUACCUUCCCGACCUCCUUUAAGUUGUGCCAAUGUCCGGGCCGGAAUCCAUGGCAUGCAUGAAUGAUCGGCAUCCUGUAGCAUUUCUCUAAUAAGUUCUCAACAAUGGUGGAUGUAAGAUAUUUAUCAAAGAGUUGUGGCAUGUCCUGGUGCAGCAUAAUAGGCCAAAACAUAGUAUAAUAUCUCAAAUUCGUACAGCUAAACAUCAAAAUGAGCUGCUGCAUAUCAAUGCAUCCAAGAUAUUAGUUCAAGUUCUAAUUAAUAUCUAUAAAUAGCUCUUGCACACAGCGGCUAUGGUUGCUCGAUCAGUUGCAAGAAUCCACAUUUCUUUGACUAGCCUCAAAACUUCAUCUCAAACAACAAAUUACAUGGUUAGUUGCCACAAAUCCACCUUUUAAGAGACCAAAAGUAGGAGACCAUCUCAUGACAAUACUGGAUGACUCCUUCGUGGAAUGUCGACCUAAACUAAUCCCCUCCGUCAUGUACUUCAUUCACCUUUAACUAAAAUAGGUGUCCACAAUUCAGUCACCAAAGAUUUCAGAGGCCUAUGUUAUGGUGCUUAGAACAACUGCACUCGCAAAUGGUUCAUAUCAACUUCCCAGGGUCCGUACUAGUUCCCAUGUUGCAGGAGGGUUUUAACUGCCUGUAAGAAGUAGCUAAUUUAUUACUGAAAGCUCUAAAAUGUCAAAAGACCUCUGUCUGUCCAAUUUGUUUUGUCGUCAAAUUUCAGUAUCACCAAAUGCAAAAACAUCGGCUCACCCCAGUUCCUCGCUCCCUCCAAUCAGUAAAGUGGAACAGCACUAUAAUCGUUUCAGAGAAAUUUCUCUAAAAACAAAAACUGCAUCAGGGCUUUAUGUGUCACCCAGAACUUCAAUGUGCAUCCUAGUUCUUAAACAUAUGUUUUUGUUGAUCAAGAUUACAAGAGGACAUAUGUUCUCAGAGAGAGAGAGAGAGAGAGAGAGAAGUAAACUCUUUGCUGACCUAGAAUGGGAUCCUGAUAUGCAACACCUUUCAGAUUCAACUAAUUGCUGAAGAAUAGAGGUAAGAUGCAUGCAAAAAUUUGAUAGUUGGGAAAAUGAUUAUCUUUUAUGUUUGAUGUCUAACUUGGGAGAUCUUUUUAGGAGUUGUCUACAAUUAAUUCAGUGCAUGUGUGCAUCCUAACUUUUCAUCAGUACGCAUCAUUCUAGGCAAUUCUACUUCUAUGAUGAGCGUGCUAUUCAGCACCUUCACUAUAUAUCAAUCCUUGUAGACAAACAAUUAGGUCCACAUGCCACAGGCUCAAUUCUGACGUUUAUCUACAAAAAUAAACAAAAUAAGAUAAGAAAACAAUAACUCUAGCAAAUAUUGUUCUGCAUCAUGAAAUCAAUUAAAUUAAGUUGUCACAACGAAUUAAUAAACCACUUGAGGUAUCAAAACAAGAAGUACAAGACAUCCAUAAGAUGUGAACUGAAAUAUAAAACCGUUUAGUGAGAAUCUUUAUGAAAAAAAAUUAUCCUGUGAGAAAAUAAAGAUCAGCAAUUUGCCAUCACCAGAUGACUCCAGCUACUCUUGAGAAUUGCUUCUUGUAAAUCUGUCAUGAUGGAAGCACAUCAGCAGACUGAGACUCACAGCCGAAGUUGUGGUCGCCCUCAGUGGCUUUUAAACAUCUCUCUUUUUGCUAUCCUCAUCUUUUGUUCAUAUUUUCCUUCUACAGAAAAUAUGAUUUAGCCAAGAUAAGAAGAAUGAAAUAUUUUGCAUCUAUGUACUUCUUCAGAAAGCAAAAUAACAAAGCAUGCAAUUUCUCUUCUUUGUAUGGAAUCUGAGAUCCAUCUCAGUAGUAAGGAUGCAAAGAAUGUAGAGAAUGAUAUCUGGUAGUAAGAACGGGAACACAGAGGUCUGUAGUGAAGCUAACUGGUUUGAACAAGGGCUGUCUUCAUCUUCCUUGGAAUAUAAUGAUGAAUAAUGGAGAGAAACAGAAAGAAGGAGGAGAACCGUAGGAAAUGACAGAUGGCUGCUGACAGAAAUGGCUAGAGGAGGGAUCCAAAAGGAUCGCAUGAUCCGGGUUCCAUUGCCACCAAAAAAUGCCUGUAAAAAACGGAUCAAUGCGAUCCCUUUGGAUGCUCCCUCGUGCCACAGACGCUACAAUCAACGCAGCAAAAUUUUCUUUCUCCAUCCUCCUGAAUACCCUAACAACAAACCACAAACAUAACUGUGGAGGUGUUCUGCAAGAGCACUUAAAUUGUAAGGAAGGAUGACCCCUUUUAAAGGCUCUCUCUCUCUCUCUCUCUCUCGGUAUCUUAAUAGCUCAAUACAGUUGCUUGAAACAUGCUUAACAUGAUGUAAAUUUACCAAUAUAGCCUCACAAGUAGGGGAAAAUCUGCUGCUGUCCCAUGGAAAGGUUUAGAUUUUGCAGUUAAUGUAUAUCGACUAAUGGAAGAAAGAAGGAAAAGCAUUUAUUGAAUGAUGAAAACCCUUUCCUUCUAACCUCCAGAUGUAUCAUCUCAAUUGAUUUUUUCUUUUUAAUCCAAUCUAAAUUUAACAAUAAGUAUGGUUUAGUUAGUGUCAUAUUAUCUCCCGUUUAGCUUUCUUGGUUGCAAAGUGGUUAGUUACAGUAAGAUAGUUUUCUCUUUCAUUUGAUUGCAUGAUUAAAACUUCGAGAAAUCUGUUUUGCUUUAUGAAAAUUAAAGAUGGGACAAUAAGCCGUCGGGCCAGAGUGCAAAGUAAUUGAAAAUAAUGUUAGUGUCAUUGGUAAAUCACAUGAGCAAGCAUAAGAAGCAUGACGGAGAGAUGUUCGACUUCAAUCAUUGUGCUAUUCAUAUGAUCAUUCUCCCCCAUCCUCUAUUUGCAUACCCAGUCUUCUGUUGCUAUUAUCCUAAAAGAGUCGAUAGACUGUGGUCCUAUACCAAUGACCAGCUAGCUAGGGUUGAGAUACAUGCUGCAUAUUAGCCUUAACAGAUGAUAAUUACCCUUAAGCUCAAGCUGUUAAACUAAAAGAGGGAAAUAUUAUAACUACCCUUGACAACCUAUACCCAUGUGUAACUGUUCCCUAAGUGUGCACCUUUUUAAAGAGACUAAUCUAUAAAGCCUGUUUACCCUUGGUUAAAAUAUGGCAUCCUGGCUCCACCAUAUCUAUUGUUUACAAAUUAACCACUAAACUAUGUUUCUCUUAAUGUCGUUAUUGUAUGUUUAUUAUUUUAGAGUGCAUAGUCAAGAAUUACAUGAACAAAUGGCCUCGAAAAUUUUAUCCAACCAUAGAAUAUCGGAAUGCCAUUUAUUACGUACGUUUUCUUCUUUUUUUUGAGAGGAGUUUAUUGCAUAAUAUUAAUUCUUUGAGUGCUCCGCUUCUUUGUGGGGGUCAUUAUCAUCAAACAAUACCUUUUUCCAAGACAGGAUGUAAUUCUUUGGAAUGAUUUGAAUGCUGUGAGGAAGAUGAUCGUUAUUGUCAGUAGUUCACCCCAUCAAAUAACUGAGAUGGAAAAUGCCAUUGUUUUACAGAUUGGAACUUUGAGGACGUAUCUUUGCUCCUUUCUUUCAGUUCCUAAAUUUAGUUGAAACAGUAAAAUGAGAUAAAUGGCGAUGGCCUCGUUGUGGGAGGAUUCAUGGUAUACAUGUUUGGCGCAUCACAAGGGCAGAUCACUAAGGUUGGUUCUCUUGUCUCCUCUACUGGACAUAAGUGCUGGCUUUAACCCCCUCGUCACCCAACUAUAGUAACACUAGAGCUCACUGGAUGCAUGGAUCCUGUUGCCCACAACUGAAAUCAUCUCCCGUUAACAUAUCAGUAUUAUCAAAACCCCAUCAUAUCUCUACUGCUACGUCUCUCCAUAUGGUGAAGAAUCUUACCGAAGUUCACCCCCAUUUGGUUCCAGCAAAACAGACCCCACUUGUCUUGCCACAUGCUCUGCAUCAAGUCCUUGUUCUUGAAUACAUUUGGAAGAUGACCAGCAGAUGGCACUUCCAGAUGCCUACCUUCUGCCUUUUCUCCCCCAGCAUGCAAGAUUAAAACCAAUGAAGUAUUAAAAUAAGCGUCAUAUUCACUAAGAAUAAGACAGCAUAGAGUCUCAUCAUUUCUUUGAUCAUUCCGUUUUUAGUGUGGAGAUUCGAAUGUUUUUCUUACAAGUUGGGAUCCUCGAACCAACGUGGCCUCCAUGAUGCCCAUGAAAACAUUUGUGCAACAAGUAAAGAUGAUUUAAGAAUCAUAAUUUGGUAUGUUGCUUUAAUGUUUGGUCCAAUCACUCACCUUCCACCCUCUGGAGUGUGGUAGAUAGUUGCACUUGUAUAGUAACAGCAGGUGCAAAGUUAAGUGAAGGCCGUGAGGAAGGCCCCCUUUACUGUUUGGAAACCUUCUUUUCAUCGCAAAUGAUGUGACAGGAGUUAUUUUCCUUUUUGAUCAUUGUCCGCAUGUAAAGGAUGCUUUCCAUAAUCCAGUUAUAAUCAUAUAAAAAGCACCUUUAAGACUAUUACAAACCAUAUUUAUUUCAAGAGGAGACCUCUUGCUUAAAGUAUCUCACCAUUUCAUGACUUACAAGUAUGAACAAAGGUGCGUAGGAAGCUUCUUAUGGCCUUUCGGGAAUCAAGUAAGCUGAUUAGAAGAAGCCUUGCAUUCCACACUUCCUUCAAUAUAUUCGUGCAAGUAUGCGCACAUAUUCUUCCUUUUUCUUGUUCUUAAUCAUGAGCUGGGGUUGGUAUUAUUCCUUGUUAAGUUCUGUUUCGUAAAACCAUCUGCCUCAGACCACAGAUACAUGCGGACGGGUAUUACUAGAUUGAUGCAUGGGGUGUUAUCUUCUGGGUAACUACAGCAUUCUUUUGGGCCAUCCUAAUAUACUCCUCGUGUUCUUUUAUUCCUUUCUAUUUGAGUGACAAAUUGCACAGAAUCACCAAAGUGCAAGCACCCCCAAAUCAAGGGUAUCAUUCGUCUUUCCAGUAAAGGAGUGAGAUGGUUCUAUUUAAUUUGUGAUUCUGAAGUGCAAGAACCCAAAUCAAGUANNNNNNNNNNNNNNCUUUCCAGUGAAGGGAUGAAAUGGUUCCAUUUUUUAAUUUAUGAUUAACAAGGGACCACCAAUGGAAUUUUUCAUUUAACCAAUUCUUCGAACUCAUCCAAAUGUUGAGCAGAGAGAGAGAGAGAGAGAGAGAGUUGGAUCCCCGAAGAAUUAAUAAGGGACUGAGGGGGCCAGAUGUUCUUCUGGUAAUCAUUGUUUUGGUGAUGCUGAUCGAUGGGUCAAUGUGACUCGAUCAAAUUCUUCCAGAAGCCACAUCUUUAACUCCAUCAUCUCUCACUAAUAAUUGAAUCAUUUAAUAUUAGCAGGCUAAGUUACCUAGUUUUGCCAAGAUAAGAGGCUGUGGUCGGAUGCGCAGCUCUAAUAUAGUCUGCUCACUUCUGCUUAACGAGUCAUUUGGCGUUUCCUUUGGUGCACAUGAUUGAGUUCUUUAAUUUAAGCUUUCCUCUUGUCACCCUCAAACACAG
rnacentral:lncRNA from 1 species